rnacentral:lncRNA from 1 species
CUUAAGCAAAUGCAUCCAACUAGAUCGUCCUUGUGCUGAAUAAUUGGAUAUCGUAUCCACUUAAAGCUGCCUUGUGUAGUACGUCUUUGUGUCUCUCUUUAUAUUCCAAUAAGGUCGGUGAUCUUGAUGCCACACACUCAGAUGUGUGUUCAUCUCCAGAUACUACUCCAUGCUACCUGCCCUUUGUGUUUUGUUCAAUAACUGGGUAUCAUAUCCCAGCCAGUAUGCCGUCUGUUUUGUGUUUGUUUCCUUCUAGUUCCAAAGGGGUCAUCAUGAUGUUACCUUCUUUCAAUAUGGUGCUUUGCAUGACUACUGUUGUAUGGUACCAUCUUGUGGCCAAUAAGUACAUCUUAUCCUAUGACCUUUGCUAUGACCCUUUGCAAAUAAGUAGAAGAUUGUUAUAAGCGUCAAUACUCCGUAUAAAUUGAUCGCUGCUGUGAGUUCCCUUUCAGCUUAUCGUAGGCAUACAUUAUUGCUAGCACGGUAAAGCCAACCAACACGAAUGAUGAAGUAAACGUAGCGGUACUUCUGUAUACCAACACCCUUACUUAAAUGUACCGGUGUCAUUCCCUACUGGCACAUAUAUUCUUAUAUGCUAGCCAGCUUGUAAAAUUAACCAAUUAAAAUAAUUAUUUCAAGAUAGAAAUAACUUAUCGGUUUCUGGAAGCAUGUGUAAUGUGAAUUCAAGGACUCGACGGAAGUUGAAUCACUUCAUCUAUAUUGCUUUCAGUAUUUUGGGUAACUAAAUUUAACAUUUGCACAUACAAAUGUUAAAGUACAAAUGUUAAAUCUAGUUACCCAAGCAGAAUAUGAAGAUAGUUUAUAGUAUAUAUAUACUAUAUAAAUCUAGUUAACAUUUAGUCUAAAUGUUAAAUCUAGUUACCUAAAAUCCUGAAAGCAAAAUGUAUAAAUAUAUAUCUUUUAAGGCAGUAUAAGCUUCGAUUCCUAUUGCUGCUCUGUUAAAUCUCAUCUUUCGUUGUGGCCCAACACUCUAGUAUGCAUGUUGCACCAAGCUUCUUUGAGCCGCUCUGCCCUCUGAUUUUGCUGCGUAGGGGAAUCUUUAUCAGGUUGGGCUACUUCCAGUUGUGCGAUGUAAAGAUUCGUAUUUUCUAGAAGGUAGACAAAAAACUCGCGUUCUCUUAAGGCAACAACCGGAAGAUUCUGCAGCGCACAGGGCAUACCAUUAUUGUAGAAACGACCUUUAGUACCGAUCUCCAACCCCCUUUAAAACUGGUUUUGCAACCGGUACCGUUAUGUCGGUCCUUUAGUACCAGAUCAAAUAAGUACCGGUUGGUAACCAGUAUCAACUUGUUUUGCGGCCAAAAAAAUAAAGAAAAAAACAGUCAGAAGGCUCGCGCACACGCGCAUCACAUGAAAUAUGCGUGUGCGGGGUCCAUGGGAUUCGAACCCAUGAAAUCAAGCUGCGCGCGACCCUUCGUUACCAUCUCACCUACAUAGCGCAUAUGCUUUCCUGAAGUAACCCGUGGAGGAGGCUUUAGUACCGGGUCAUAACACCACCCGGUACUAAAAAUGACUCUUCAGUACCGGGUCAUAACACCACCCGAUACUAGUAUCGGAUGGUGUAAUGACCCGAUACUAAAAGGCCUCUAGGGACCCUCAAAUUUGAACCCGGUACUAAUGCUAAUAUUAGUAGCGGGUCAAAGUGCAGCCAGAACUAAAGCAUGGGAUGAAAGGUCAUAUUUCUAGUAGUGUAUAGUUGUUGUGAAGGACUGACUUGGCUGUCCUCUCUCUUCUCCAUCCCCUUGGUCUUACGCCGCCGCUCGCACGCGAGCCGGUGCCCAACCAGAGGAGUGAGAGCUAGGGGCAGGUUGGGAGGUGGGGAUAGUGACUGGUGGCCAGGGUGAUGGUUGAUCCUGGUGGGGUUAGGGUUUUAGGGUUUUCGAGCUUCCUAUGGUCGGCGAACCUAGAGGAGGAGCUCAACAUCAGCUGCAACCCGCGAUGGUGGUGGUUUGGCCGGCGCCCGAGGCGAGGCAGCGCGGGAGUGCUGCCGGUGGGUUGGUGUUGGCACUCAUUAUUGACAACUAUUUUGUUCAUAAAAUAACACUCAAACUUGCUGCUGCUGCUGCUGCUGCCAUCGCCACCCUAGCCAUAAUAUAAAGGCAAAAUUUGCUAAAGGACAUGCAAAAUGAUGCUAGUUUGCUGGCGGGCAUCGUUGACCUUGUAAUAUGCUACAAGACACUCUAGUUGUGUAUCAAUUUGCUGAAAGACAUUGCUAUGACUAAAAUAAUGUUUCUGGACUGAGUUGGAGAGAGAGAUGGAGUGAAAUGUCUGUUUUGCCCAUGACCCCACUGGUCAGAUCCUUCUUCUUCCACCCUCCUUUGUUCUUUCUUCAACCAUUACCCAGCUCCAGCGUGUUGCAGAUCUACGAGGGUGGCGGCCUGGGGCGAGGGGCAUCGCUCGCCCUUGGAGGAGCGCUGCGAGCGACGGCGCGGGGGCGGCAACAGCGCGUCAGAACCUGACUGUUCGUUAGCUCCUCUCGCUGCUGGGGAAGGAGGGGGAUGGGCCAUGGACGGGGUUCCCUUGAAAACCUCAGCGUCGAGCUCGGGCGGCUACGCGCAGGCAGCACUAGGCUGCUUCACGGGGAGGGGGCGCGGCCAAUCAUUGGCACCCCACUGGUCCAAUGCUGAUGAAGAUGGUGCCAGCGUCGUGUGAGGACAUCUCAUCUCCUCGAGUUCCAUGGCCAGCACAGGUGAGCUGCCGCUACCACAAAACAGAGGUUUCGUGAGAGUCAAAAAACCUUAUGAAAAUAGCUAAAACCAUCAUGAAAAUAAUCCGUGACAUGACACUCUCACGAAAAUCCUCUCACAAAUAUGGUGCCAUGAAAAUACCAUUUUCAUGAGAGUGAACUGUCAUGAUUUUAUUUCGUGAGAGUAUUUCCUAUCAAUGACCUCCACGAAAUACUUUGUGCCACCAGGUCUUCAAGAUCAUUUUCAUGAGAGCUGAACAUCAGGAAAAGUCCGCCACAAAUGUUUUUCUUGGAGCCCCUAACUCUCAUGAAAAUCAUGCGGGCCGCCACGAAAAACAGCAUGACCAAAUGACAAAUUUCAUUUUCAUGUGUUCAUACCGCCAUGAAAAUGGUCAUUUUCAUGAGAGUUGAUGAAACAAAAAAUAGUGCCAUUUUCAUGAGAGUUCAAGCAACCAGGAAAAGACACUAAUAAACAUCCAGAUCCCAUCCAGCACACAUCCAUGCACAUAUAUAACCCACAUAUUGCUCCAGCACACAUCCAUGCAUAUACAAGAUCCAAAUGUUAAUAUAGUAGACAUCCAUGCCUGAACUAGUCUGCCACACAAGUCAUUGAUGCUACAAAUCCUACAAUCGCAGCAUGUGCAUACAAGUCACAGAAUGAGACAAUGUACCCAAAACUAAAAGGUUAGCAUCAACUGUGCUUCAACCAAAGUUGUCAUCCCAACUCUCCUCUUCAUCCAUGCCAUUCUUGUCGUGGCCGUCACUGUCAGUCCCCAUGGCAUUGCCAAUGCUGUGCAUGUCUUGGUAGGAACCUACAUGUGAUGAACUAGUAACCUGCAAAAAGAGCUCAAAGGAUCUUGUUCUCAUAUUGUAGCUGUGAAAUUCUUACAAGUAGUGUUGCAAUCAGUUCACUUUGAACCAAAAGAGCUCAAAGGAUCUUGUCCUAAAAGUUCCUCAUAAAGCUUAUGGGUUUGCUGGUGGAACUGGAAGGGCUUGAUGCAGCAGAUGCCAUUCUGCAAUAGAGAAAAAUUUAGAGAGCAGUACUAGUUAAAAUUGGAUGCAGAAGAUACACAUGAAACUAGUAUUUAUACAAGUCUAUACAAUUAAAAUCUAAGGAGACUUAUCAUCGUUUUCAUGUGUUGUGAAUUAAAAUAAUGAAGGAUACACUGUUAGGUGAAAAUUCAAGAAACAAAAUUUUGCAUAGAGAUAAAGGUCCAACAUUAUUACAAGUUAAGGUAGUUUUAAAUAUCCUUGUAAUCUUCCUUUGGUUUCCUCAACGAUUCGAAGACAAUAACCUUGCUUCUAUCAAUGAUAAUUAUAAGGAGAAUCCAGUGGAAACUGUGUAUUCGUAUUAGAACUACCUAAGGUUAAUUAGGUUAGGAAAGGAAAUUGAAAAUAGAUGGUACCCACACUUACUUAAAGUUGUCGGGCAAUAGUAUGUAAUGCUUGUAAUUCCGUUGCUCCAAGAAUUUGUAUAUGUGGUCCAAUGUAGACUUUGGUUGAUCCCGUAUCUGCUGUUGGUUAAAUAAGUGUUUCUAGCCAUUUCUAGCCAUUAGAACCGGGACUAAAGGGGGCUCUUUAGUACGGGUUGAUAUUACUAACCGGGAUUAAAGAGCCCCCAUUAGAGUUGGUUUUUGGAUGCGGAACUAACAACUCCUUUAGUCCUGAGUACGAAAACAACUGACAUAUUUGUUGCUGGAUGGAAGGUCCUUUCUCUACCGUGAAUAUUGCCAGAAAGAAUUGAAAGAGACUGCUUGCUAAAAAUAUGUCAUAGAUGUAGACCAAGCUACCAAGGAGGUAGACCAAACAUGAUACACACCAUGCGUACCUUGCUGUGCAGACUAUGCAUUGACAAGAUACCCGACCACAUGUUGGCCUCGGUCACAUCAAAAGAAUCAUGUAGGCCACCAAUAAACUACUUGAAGCGGCAUUCCGUAUCGUAUAUGCAUUGCCGGUUCAUCUGCAUUACAUUACAUAAAGCACUAUUAACUAUUUGAAUAAAAUGAACCAAUUUAAAAGUAAUGUGUUGUACUCUACUAUAGAAAGCCCUAUCACUGCCGGAUCCAAAAACAUCAUUGUUAAUGGUGGUUAAGUACCAAAUAUGACGGUCAAUAUUCUCAAGAAUAAUGGAGAAUUAGCAUUUCUUAGACACAUAUUUGGUUUUGAACAAUGUAGUUCCACAUGUCUUUGGAGAUUAUUUGGGUGUGGGUGAAAUAAUACAAAAAUAAGGAGAAAACACACUCCCAUGGCGAAGAAACACAACUCCAACCAAUGAGAGAUAGCCACAGGGGCAGCACACGGAUCCAUGGGCCCACUAACCGCAUCAAACCAUCUUACCAAGGCAGGUAGCACCCACAACCGUCAUUAGGACCCACCUGGAAGUCUACCAAGAAGAAGGUUGCGAGUGGGGCCAGGAGGGGUUCGGUUGAAUCAUCUCUAGCUAGCUCCCCUCAUCCCCAGCUGGUGGGUGGUGGUGGUUGAUGGUGUCCCUACAUCAGUUAGAGGAGAUUCCCCCAAAUAUUCCUCCUGUAAACCACCUCUAUGGACCUAUACAUAGAGGGGUGUGCUCUCCAUUCCAACACACACCACAAGUUGAAUCACUCUCUCCCUCUUUAGUUUCCAAGUUUAUGGAGUUAGGCUAGAGUAGCUCUGCUCAAGGUUCCAAGUCCACUUGGAGUUAAGCAUAUGUCUCUUGUAUCGUUAUUUCCUAAAUUGACUUUAUGCUUAGUUCUUAUAUGCAUGAGUUAGUCUAAUACCCUUGCUAUAUUGAUAUGCUCGGCUUAUAUGCUCGUAUGCUAGUCAUAUACCCUUGCUGUCGUAGUAUAGGCUUAUAUGCUCUCAUGUGUGCCUGUAGACCUUGCUAUAGUAUAUACUUGUUGUGCAUACAUACCAUGUAUAGGCUAGUCGAUCUAUACCAUGGCAUUGGUUCAAUAGCCAUGUUUUUGGUGGCUCCAACCCUAGUCACAAUAGCUCGGGACAGCUGGAGUGUUGUUAAAAAUGCAAGAGUGGUGCUUGGGUUGUUUAGCAUCGUUGGAUAUGGGUUUGCCCCACGGGUUUCUAACGGUAGGCGGCAGCUAGUGACAUCCCUGUCCGUCCUUCGUAAUCCCCCCACAUUCAGGUACGCCAUAAAUGUUCGUAAAUUAGCAGUAACUACGCCGGUACACCUGUAGGGUAUUGUCUCCCUGUAGUACCUUGGUGCAUAGAACUAAGUCCUAUACACUGUGUGUGUAUGUUUACGCUGAUAUGAUCUGUGCAGUAUAUAGGAUGUAUAUAUGAACCUAGAGCUAACUCCUAGUCCGUUCUCCAUAGCUUAGUUAUCUUGAGAUGAUUCUUCUGUAUGUGUAACACUACCCAUCUUAUCAUUAUCCUUGAUCCUGUCUUGUGUAAUAUAUCUACUCAUCCUAUGAUAUACUCAUAUGCAUAGUAAACUAUUUUGACCUACCCGCCUUCCUUUGGGAAAUAUGAUACCUUGGAAUAAUCCUAGGUGAAAUCCUACAACGGUAUAUCCAUGUAAAUGCGGAUUUAUUCAUGACCAUUAAAUAUACCAACAAUCAUCACUGUGAGUUUUGGGCGUCGUUAGUGAAGGGUUGGUAGUGAUGGGCAUCCCCUUCACCAAUGGACCUGGAACCGGCGGUGAUGGCUAUUAUAAAAAAGGGGACACCACCCAGCGUACCCCACGACCCGGCCGGCCGCACCUCCCAUCAUCCCCGCCAGCCGCCCUUCCUUUUCGCCGGCCGAGCAUGGUCCCGGCCUUUGUCCCUACCACCUCGCCUCCACCGCGACCCCCCGCCGAUGCCCUCGUGCCUGGCCCCCCUCAUCUUGCCGGCCACCCUCCCGAUGCGUCCACUGGGGCCCUCGCACCACCAACCGCCCUUGCUUAGAGAGGGAGAGAGAGGAGGGAGGUGAGGCCACGCACCUCGUCCUACACCGCCGCUGUUUCUCCUCGGCCCACCGCGCCUCACCCCACACCACAGCCGCGCCUUGCCAUCUUACCGGCUGUGACGCCUCAUCUCACCGGCCACCGUUCCUCACCCCCACUUCGGUCGUCGCCGCUCCUUGCCCUACCGCUGCUCUUUGCCGCUGCGAAUGAGCGCCGAGUGGAGGAGGAGGGAUGGGGCAGGAGGAGGGCAAGAUCCGGGAGGAAGGGAGAGAUCUCGGGAGGUGGAGAUGGAAGGAUAUGGCGGAAGGGAGAGAUCCAGAGGGAGAGAGCAGGGGAGAGAGGGGGGCGUGUGGGGAGAGAGCGCGUGUGGGGUGGGGCCGGGCUGGUGGGAUGGAAGGGAGAGGGGCUAGACGGGCGCAGUGCAUUCAACUGGAUGAAGUAAAUAUUUUGGAUUCGAGACCCCAGCUUUAUUAUCACCGCUGGUCCGUAGUACCAUCCGGUGCCUGCUCGUAAUUUAAUUUGAAUCUGCGGUGAUGUUUUAUUAUCACCAUCGGAUCAUAUAAAAAUCCGGCGGUUAAAAAUCCGCUGGUUUCGAUGAAAACCGACGGUGAUAGGAUGACUGUGAUAGUCUCUUCUCUAGUAGUGGUAUAUUAGUACCGGCUGCCGGAUGGUGUUGCCGACCAGUACUUCUCCGGGGGCGAUUCAGUACUGCUGUUAGCAAAGCUUGUUCUCUAUGAAUUUGGGGAUGGAAAGCUAGUUCUCUAGUUGUGAUUUGUUACAUAUAUAUCUAUGAUAGUCUAGAAAUUGCAUGUCCUUCGUUGACAUAGUUGAAGCUGCUUCAAGAAUUUACUUCGUGCAGUCGUGCAGCAUAUUGGAUUAUCACCUAGACAGGAUACAUAGGUGAAGCAUUGGAUGUGAUUGUGGCCGAUAAUUAUGCAGGACGCUGUUGCAAUCAACCACCAAGAAGUCUGGAGUGAUGGGGUUGCCUCAUCAAUAAUUUUUAUAUAUGGCUGCAGUAUUAUUAAGCCCACGUCAAUAAUUUUUUGUCCGCACCAUAUAUCGAUGGGGUUGCCUCAUCAAUAAUUCGCGCAACCAGACAAGCUGCAGACUCAAUAUGGUACGAAGCUAGUUGCUCAGCCCACAUGCUCUGAUAUAACAUUGACAUCUGCUGAUCUACAGUAUAUAUGACCAGAAAUAUUGUGCCCACCUCAAUAACUUUCUGAAGUAUCGUGGGGAAGAACCUACGCGUACUAUGCCUCGGAACUAACUGACAUAUCGGCCCAGGCGGUCUAGGCCGAUUGGACUGGCUCUUCCUUGUGGCUUCUCACAUCCCCUUCGUCCCCAAGUAAUUUCAGGUGUUCUGUAGUUUUCUUUUCACUUGCAUCUGAGCCUCCUAUAUCAAUAGCUUCGGGAUAAGAAUGCCUCUUGAUAACCUUCCAAAUCCUCGCUUGAUUCACAUUGAUUCCGAAAUCAUCUUGCCAUAUCUUCAGAGACUUAGGUCCUAAGGCAUCAUGGAGGAUUGCUCGCCAAGAAUGAGCACCAUUGGGCUCCUGAGGACCCUAGGCCGAUCAGCCCGGGCUCUAUAGGUCGAUUGGCCCAGGCCCUCUCUGGGCCUGUUGGCCUUCAUCUUUCUUUGAGUCGACGCUUAUUCAGGGCUUUGUCCAAUUAUAGUCCAUUAUAGUCUAAUUUCCUAAAAAACAGAAUGUCCUCCAAAAUACAAUGCAUAUGUGAAAACAACCCAAUUAUUAGGUAUGAUCAAUAGUUUAGGUAUUAAAUUAAUAUUAUUAUUUAAGAUAAACAGGGGUAAAGGGUGUCAUUAAUAACAAGCGCCAACAAGCGUCCUAGCUGUUCAAUAAAUUUUUUCUAGUACCGAUUGGUAACACUAACCGGUGCUAAUAUGUACCCUUUAUUACCGGUUAUUUUACCAGGUACUAAAGGAGACAAGAGCAUCCUAACAUAAGGUUAAUAUCAUCCAUUUCAUGAGUAAAAUACUAUGAUUCAAAAAUAAUUCAAAUCCCUUAAGACAAUACCUAUCAAAUGAGUAAAUUGUAAAUAGAGUAAUCUUGAUCAAACAAUGUCCUAAUGAAACGGAACACUUCUGGUUCGUGUAGAGCACAAUAUAGAAAACAGUAGGGUAGCUGUAUGAUUGACACGUGGUCCAUUAAUUAUUGAGCCAACACUAUGGACAUGUCUUCAUGAGUAGUGUACUAGUCAUAAUACAUGGUAUGCAGUAGGUGGAGGUAUUGACUUAGCCAUGCUAUGAGCACUUAGUUACAACAAACACUUUGCCAUUAUCGAGCAUCCCAAAUCACUACAAAAUCCAUAGUUUACCAUAUACUACAAAAUCUGAGUUAAAAUAAGAGCAUACACGGAAGAGUCCGAAUGCACGGCACAUUGAAUUACUAGACAAAAUUUAUGGGACAAGGUUUUGGGUAACCGCAUGAAAAAUAUUGGAUUUUACUGAACACUUAGUUACAAUUACCAUGCCCGUGAGCACUUAGUCACCACAAACAUUUAACCACUUUAGAUCAUCCUGAAUCCCUAUAAAUUCUAUACCUUACACCGUACCAUGAAAACGACAAGAACAGAGACAGAUGCGGUGAAAAUCUCCAGAGCAAGCCUGAAAUUAAAAUAAGAGGAGGCAGUCACUAUCGACAGGACACGGAGAUUGCUAGCCAUGACAGAGGAAGACAUGAUAUGAUAUUCACCUCUGAAAUGCAGCGUAGACUAAAUGAAGCACAAUUGCAAGUGAGUGUGGCAGAUAAUGGACCAUCGAGACCAUCGAAUGGUAUGAAGCAUGAUUAUCACCUAGACAUGAUAUCCUAGACAGGACGGUGAAUUGUAAAAAGAGUAAUCUUGAUCAAAGAAUGUCCUAAUGAAACGGAACAUUUUUGGUACGUGUAGAGCAAAAUAUAGAAAACAGUAGAGUAGUUGUACGAUUGAAACUGCAUCCAUCGACGUGGUGCAUGAAUUGUUGAGCCAACACUGUGGACAUGUCUUCAUGAACACCAUCUAGUGAGGACAGCAUGCAGAAAAAUAUAAAAACAUGUCAUAGGGAGGCAGACCAAUCUUGCGAGGUAGACGAAACGUGAUACACGAUCUGCCUACCUUGUCGUGUGGAUACCCCAAGUGAAGAUGUCAUAGAGGUGCAGACCAAGCUAGCAAGGAGGUAGAUGAAACGUGAUACACGGCCUGCCUACCUUGCCGUGGAUAUUAGUCCUGAUAUCAUUCUAUUGUUCAAGGAAUAACACUCAAUGCUGCUGCUGCUGCUGACCUGGCUCCAUAAAGUUAUAUUCCUCUAGCCGCUUGCACUAACUUUAUCUGAAGUAUUAUUCUCUCUGCACUGUAUAUAUGGUUACGGAGUUUGCUGGAGUAUCCGGGGGGAAGAACCUACAUAAUAUGUCUUGGAACUAACUGACAUUGAUUCACAGACAAGGUGCUGUUGUUGACAUGGUACAGUAAAUAAUAUAGUUUACCAUAUACCGUAUACCAUUAUAUGUUAGCUAAAAUAAGAGCAUAACAUGUCGCAGGAGUCCAAAAGCACCGGUUGAGGACCAGGUACAUUAAAUUACUAGAAAACAAAAGGGGACAAGGUUUAGGUAGCCACAUGAAAAACAUUUGAAUUUACUGUACCAUGAACACUUAGUUACCAUGCCGGGAGCACCUAGUUAACACUAACAUUUAGCCACUUUAGAUCAUCCCGAAACACCAAUGACCCUCAAUAGCGACAAAUUUUGGUUUAAAUGCCGUCACCAAUGAUCCUCAAUAGUGACGUGUUUAGGUUUAAAUCCCAUCACUAAUAACCCUUGGUAGUGACGUGUUUUGGUUUAAAUCUCAUCACCACUGAUCCUCACUAGUGACGUGUUUUUAGCAACACACGUUAUGAAUGACUUGUCAUUGGUGACAUGUUAAACGCGUUAUCUCAAUGGCAAAUCAAUGGUGACGUGUUUAAAAAAACAUGUCACUGUGAGAGUUAUUGGUGAAGGGUAAUUAAAAUGCAUCACUAAUUUUGUAGCAUUAGUUAUGAUAUAAUUUUGUAACGCAAAAAUCUACCAUAGUAAUGAGGUUUAGAGCCAUCACUAAUGUGGGUUUCUUAUCGUAGUGAUGCAAGCUCUACAAGGUGCUGUUGUUGCCAUUUUAAAGCAUCCCAAAUGACUACAAGAGUCCGGUUGAGGACUAAACAAAUUGAAUUACUAGAACCAAAUGUAUGUCCAGAACAAAGAAAGGGGUCAAGGUUUGGGUAACCGCAUUAAAAACAUUGAAUUUUACUGUACCAUGAACACUUAGUUACCAUUACCAUGCCUUGAGCACCUAGUUACCACAAACAUUAAUUUAGCCACUUUAGAGGUUCCACAAUCACUAUAAAUAAUAUACCAACACCGUACCAUGAAAACAUCAAGAAGAGAGACGGGUACAUGGACCACCAUCAAGUGAGUAGUGACAGCACGCACAAGAAUACCCGGAACCUUUUAGCUUGUCUGUAGUGAUCUGUUUUCUUCGCCACAAAUAAUGAAAGAGGCUGACCAAGCUAGCAACGAGGUAGAGCAAACGUGAUACACGUAGGUUUCAUUCAAGACAUCCAUGUAAGAUUCAUUCAAAACAUUCAUGGAAAUUUCUUGUAAGUUUUCAUGUAAAUUUCAUUCAAGACAUUUGUUAGAGGUGUUGUAUAUACACUUAACGUACAUAUAUCUAUGAUUUCAUGGUUGUUAGUGAUGGCAGAUGAGGAGCAUGCAAGGUGUUUAAUGGAGCAGAUUAUUGCUAGUGGUAGUGGCUCCAACCUGCCCGUAACGUACACCGACGAAGAGGGCAGCCAGGCGGACAUGUUCCUCAACAUGUCCGGUGAUGGCAAUGAAGAGCCCGAGCAAAACCUUGCCGUGACGGAAGGUUCCAUCGAGGUAUAUAUCAUUUCCAUUAUUUUACCCCAUCUAUAAUUUCAUAUUCAUUAUUACUAUGUGCUAAUUAAUGAAUCUUGAACCGUUAGUCCUCUAGAUCAACGAACCGAAAUAAGCCCCGAGGUCUUACAAAGAUAAUGCAGGGAAGGCUUCACAUCAUGGAAGUCACAGAAGAGGGCACAUCGGUUGCUCCCGAACAUGUGGCAAGAAAGUACGUGAGUCAAACCGGGGCAAUCGUAAGGGACAACAUGCCCAUCAGCAUCAGGGAAUGAAAGAGCAAUAGAAAUGAUCUAUACGCACCCCCGGAUACACAAAAGGAUAUGUUGUGGGCAAAUAUCAAGAAACACUUCACAUUUCCCAAAGGAUAUGUUGAAAAAUAUGUGAAAGCGUGGAUGUUGAAGAAGAUGGCCACCCAAUUCCAGACAUUCAAGAAGAUGUUGGAUGCCAACUUCAUCAAGAAGGGUCGAACUCCGGGUUUCAAUGAGUGGCCAAAGUUAAGGGACCACUGGGAGUCGUUUGUCGAAUACAAGACGAGCGAAGGUGGUGCGAGUAAGGUUCACAUCAAUGUUGCCAAUGCUAGCAAGGAGUACCAUCAUCAUCUAGGGCGACGUGGUUACAGCUCUGCAAUUCCCAGAUGGCGCAAGAUGGAACAAGACCUGAUCGAUCGGGGUAUCGUACCAGCAACUCUUGACUGGAUCGAUUGAAAAAUUGGUAUUAUGCUCAUGAAGGCAAUCUGAGCCAAGAGGAUCCGACAUUGGUCUUCAAUAAAACAAUACGUCAGAAGGUCGGAAGGCUUAUUAGGAACAUUGAAGAUGCUAAAGCUGGGAGGUUCAAGGUGGAUAGAGAGAAUGAUGAACUCACAUUGGCCCUCGGGACUGUCAUCUCUAGCACUUCCAGCUCCAGGACUAUCGUCACCACCGGGACCGUCGCUUCCUGCUCGAUCACAGUCUCCAUCUCCAGCACAUCCUGGUGGUGCGAGCGACGACGACAACAACACCCCUCCCUGCCCACCAUUGCCGGGACUAAGACCCGCAUUGAGUAAGGAACCUGCAACACCACUGAAGAAGUCGCGACCACCACCUUCAAGGCAAGUCAGCAAAAGAAGAAAGCAGAGAAGCCUAAACCCACUGAGAAGCCAGCGACUGAUAUGACCGAUGCGGAAAGAUGGAAGGCACUCAAAGAAGAAUGCAGGGAGUGGUUCAGCGAAGGCGAAGGUGAGAAAGUCGUAUGAAUCGAAUUCAAGGAUAUAUAUGAAGUGAACCAUCAGGAUGCCCUUGAUGUCUCUCUCAUCAGCGCCUAGGUUCUGUAAGUGUAUGUUUAUCUAUAAGUAAAUUUUGGCUCAUAUCAUUAUUUUUUUUGCGUGCGUCACCCUACUAACUUCGUCUUCCAUUUUAUGUAGGAUGCUAAUUCAGACGUGCCGCAUAGAAGCGUACUUCCAUGUUGGAUUCAUGGAUCCAUCCCUAGUUAACCAAAAGCCGAUACGGAAGUAGCUAGAGAAAACGUUGGAGGUGGUGUACAACCUCCUGGACAAACUAAACUACAGAAUAGGGGCAAUAUGUGAGGGUCUUGUAGGAUUCCUAGUGGACGAGGUGAUAAAUCCAUAAGGAGAAUAUCAUUCCAACGGACGAGCAUUAGACACACUGAGCAACACCUAGAUGGGAGGAUCCUAGGAAUGACCUCGACAGAUUUUGGUAUAAAUAGUAAUUGUGUAAAUACUAGUUUGAUUUGUAUAGGAAUAUACUAAGAAUUGUAUAUAUAGUAAUUGUACAAAUACUAGUUUGAUUUGUAUGAAUACUAGAUUGAUUUUAUUAUAAAAAAGUUUUAAGUCGUACGUGCAUGCGCCUACAAAGGCGCGGAUGCCUUUUAAUCCCAGUCGGAAAAACAAACUGGUACUAAAGGGGCUCGUGCCGCACCUGGCAUGACCACCCCUUUAGUCCCGGUUGAACGACCCAGGACUAAAGAUCUCCGCGUCUCAAAAAUUUUAUCUCGGAUGCUUUUUAGAGAGAUUUGAGGCCUAUCAACCAAGACUAAUAUCGAGUUUUCUACCAGUGAAACUAACUAACGUUCACAUGGUUUUGACAUUCACCUGCCAUUUGGUGUAGACAAGGGCACCCUAACAUAUGGUUAAUAUUAUUCUUGAAAGAAAAUCCUUUGAUUCAAAAUACUUCAAACCUAAUAAUACAAUACUUCUCACAUCUGAAAAAUAUGAGACGGCCCGACAGUAUUCUAAUCGACGCAAUAAUAUUUUGAGGGCAGCACUACUACAGCGACCCUCAUUCGUGCCGGUGCUGGGACUCCUAUCACGACCCUGAUACAAAUGAGGGUACAUUAUUGGUGCCAGUGCUAGAACAGCCACGAAUAACUUGCUAAACGUGCUGUUACACUCACUACAGGGACCAAGAAGGUAGAUAAAUUACACGACAUAGCCUUGGUUGCCGUGGAAGCGCCAAGAAGGGAGACAAAUUACAGGGACCACACCAUCAAGUAGAUAGUGACAAUAUGCAAAAGAAUACCCGCGCCUGUUAGCAUGUGAACUGACCACACCACGAAACGUGAUACACGGCAAGCGUACCAAGGCCUUGCUGUGCAGACUAUGCAUGGACAACACAUGGUACCUGACCGCUUUUGGCCUCAGACACAUCGAAAAACUGCAUCGUUCCACGUUGUACAUCCAUUGCUAGUUUAUCUAUAUUACAUAAUAUAUUAUUAGCUAUUUGAAUAGAAUGAACCAAUUAAAAAAUUGCGUUGUAUUUUUAGUACCGGCUGCAGGAUGGUGUUACCAACCAGUACUAAUUGGCCUGUAGGAGUGAUGGUUAUUAGACUUGGUACUGUUGUUAGCAUCAUUAACCUAAUUGUGCGCCGUAUGAAUUUGGGGAUGCAAAGCUAGCUCUCUAUGAAUGUGAGGGAUGGAAAGCUAGUUCUCUAGUAGUAAUUAUAUAUAUGACAGUCAAGAAAUCGAACACUAUGCUGCUACGAGUCACCAUCAUUUCCUUCAUUGACAAUCUGACAUAGGUGAAGCUGCUUCAAUAAUUUCCUUCGCGCAGUCGUGGAGCUUAUUGGAUUAUCACCAGGACGGGACACGGAAAUGGCCAGCAAUGAAGCUGAUUGCCGUCUGAGGAAGACUACAUACUUACCUAUGAAAUGAAGCGAUUGCAUAGACUAAUGAAGCAUUGCAUAUUUGCAUGUGAGUGUGGCAGAUAAUUCUGCAGGACAUGAUUGCAAUCCACGCACCAUCGAGAAGACUGGGGCGAUGGGGUUGCCUCAUCAAUAAUCACGUGGAUGCAUGCAUGCAUGUUCCCGCAACCGGACAAGGGUCUGAUAUAUGGCUAUAGUAUUACUGAGCCCACAUCAAUAAUUUCCACUGGUGUAUCGUGUGGGAAGAAUCAACAUACUACACCUCGAGUUCUUGGAACUAACUGACGUUCACAUGCAACCUCCACAAGGUGCUGUAUGCUUUUGACAUUCACCUGCCAGUUCGUGUAGAGAAGGACACCCUAACGUAUAGUUAAUAUUAUCCAUUUCAUGAGUAAAAUACUGUGAUUCAAAAAUACUUCAAAUCCCUUGAGACAAUACUUCUCACUUGACUAACCACUAACCAACCCCGAAACCCUAACUCAACUCCGAACCCUAACCCCUAACGGCAUAACCACUCCGUUUUGCCGGCGAGAUGGAGGAACUGGCUGGAAGGUAGAGAGGGCAGCGGUCCAGGGUUGAAAACGACGGGCGAGCGCAGUAACAUGUGGAGGAGGAAGUGCCACGUAUUCGUUCACCGCUAUUGGGCAGCGACACACGACACGCCCAAUAAGAUCUUCGCACGGUAGAAGGACGUCAUGUAUUCAAUAAUGUUAUUGGUCCCCCAUGUGCAGAAGGGCGCGCGCGUAUGGAAUAACAAGUAGGGACACUGCAACUAAUCUACUCUGCUCGUCCAGUCCCUAGCCUAUAAAUAGAUGCCAUGCUAGCUCUUGUUGUGCUCACAAUUAAUCCGAUUACACACGAGCUUCUCUCCCUGGCCAAGACACAACCAUAGUAUGAUGAAGAACAUGGCACUAGCCGGCAAUGGUAUGAAGAAGUUAAUCCUCGCUGUUCUCUUACUGUGUCUAGUUAUAGGGCAGAUACAAGUGGAAGCUAAGAGCUGCUGCCCAUCCACCACUGCAAGAAAUGUCUACAAUACCUGCCGUUUCACGGGUACAUCCCGUCCAACGUGUGCAAAACUGUCAGGCUGCAAAAUUAUCAGCGGGAACAAAUGCAAGCCCCCUAACGACCACCUCACCCUUGACCCGGACACUGGUAAAUAAUAAAUUUAUCUCACUUGAUUUCUUCGUGAUUUGAGUCGUUAAUGUAUUUUCCAUCUGAUGAAACGUAUUGGUUUUGCAUUGAAGAGGAAGUUAAUGUGCUUAACUUCUGCAAGUUGGGGUGUGCGUCGUCUGUGUGCAACAACAUCAACGCUGGUAAGCAACUUUUGCUCAGACAGAGAAAACAAUAAUCAUUAAUUAGCGGCAGCUAGAAUCCUAUAAUCUAAUAUAUAUAUAUAUAUAUAAUUUUAUCAGCUCUGGGAAAUGAAGAGGCGAACGAUGCCGUUGAGAGUUGCGACCAAGCCUGCUCUAGCUUCUGCAGCGUGCAUGUUGGCAGCGCCACCGUGGUUGCUUAAGCAAAUGCAUCCAACUAGAUCGUCCUUGUGCUGAAUAAUUGGAUAUCGUAUCCACUUAAAGCUGCCUUGUGUAGUACGUCUUUGUGUCUCUCUUUAUAUUCCAAUAAGGUCGGUGAUCUUGAUGCCACACACUCAGAUGUGUGUUCAUCUCCAGAUACUACUCCAUGCUACCUGCCCUUUGUGUUUUGUUCAAUAACUGGGUAUCAUAUCCCAGCCAGUAUGCCGUCUGUUUUGUGUUUGUUUCCUUCUAGUUCCAAAGGGGUCAUCAUGAUGUUACCUUCUUUCAAUAUGGUGCUUUGCAUGACUACUGUUGUAUGGUACCAUCUUGUGGCCAAUAAGUACAUCUUAUCCUAUGACCUUUGCUAUGACCCUUUGCAAAUAAGUAGAAGAUUGUUAUAAGCGUCAAUACUCCGUAUAAAUUGAUCGCUGCUGUGAGUUCCCUUUCAGCUUAUCGUAGGCAUACAUUAUUGCUAGCACGGUAAAGCCAACCAACACGAAUGAUGAAGUAAACGUAGCGGUACUUCUGUAUACCAACACCCUUACUUAAAUGUACCGGUGUCAUUCCCUACUGGCACAUAUAUUCUUAUAUGCUAGCCAGCUUGUAAAAUUAACCAAUUAAAAUAAUUAUUUCAAGAUAGAAAUAACUUAUCGGUUUCUGGAAGCAUGUGUAAUGUGAAUUCAAGGACUCGACGGAAGUUGAAUCACUUCAUCUAUAUUGCUUUCAGUAUUUUGGGUAACUAAAUUUAACAUUUGCACAUACAAAUGUUAAAGUACAAAUGUUAAAUCUAGUUACCCAAGCAGAAUAUGAAGAUAGUUUAUAGUAUAUAUAUACUAUAUAAAUCUAGUUAACAUUUAGUCUAAAUGUUAAAUCUAGUUACCUAAAAUCCUGAAAGCAAAAUGUAUAAAUAUAUAUCUUUUAAGGCAGUAUAAGCUUCGAUUCCUAUUGCUGCUCUGUUAAAUCUCAUCUUUCGUUGUGGCCCAACACUCUAGUAUGCAUGUUGCACCAAGCUUCUUUGAGCCGCUCUGCCCUCUGAUUUUGCUGCGUAGGGGAAUCUUUAUCAGGUUGGGCUACUUCCAGUUGUGCGAUGUAAAGAUUCGUAUUUUCUAGAAGGUAGACAAAAAACUCGCGUUCUCUUAAGGCAACAACCGGAAGAUUCUGCAGCGCACAGGGCAUACCAUUAUUGUAGAAACGACCUUUAGUACCGAUCUCCAACCCCCUUUAAAACUGGUUUUGCAACCGGUACCGUUAUGUCGGUCCUUUAGUACCAGAUCAAAUAAGUACCGGUUGGUAACCAGUAUCAACUUGUUUUGCGGCCAAAAAAAUAAAGAAAAAAACAGUCAGAAGGCUCGCACACACGCGCAUCACAUGAAAUAUGCGUGUGCGGGGUCCAUGGGAUUCGAACCCAUGAAAUCAAGCUGCACGCGACCCUUCGUUACCAUCUCACCUACAUAGCGCAUAUGCUUUCCUGAAGUAACCCGUGGAGGAGGCUUUAGUACCGGGUCAUAACACCACCCGGUACUAAAAAUGACUCUUCAGUACCGGGUCAUAACACCACCUGAUACUAGUAUCGGAUGGUGUAAUGACCCGAUACUAAAAGGCCUCUAGGGACCCUCAAAUUUGAACCCGGUACUAAUGCUAAUAUUAGUAGCGGGUCAAAGUGCAGCCAGAACUAAAGCAUGGGAUGAAAGGUCAUAUUUCUAGUAGUGUAUAGUUGUUGUGAAGGACUGACUUGGCUGUCCUCUCUCUUCUCCAUCCCCUUGGUCUUACGCCGCCGCUCGCACGCGAGCCGGUGCCCAACCAGAGGAGUGAGAGCUAGGGGCAGGUUGGGAGGUGGGGAUAGUGACUGGUGGCCAGGGUGAUGGUUGAUCCUGGUGGGGUUAGGGUUUCAGGGUUUUCGAGCUUCCUAUGGUCGGCGAACCUAGAGGAGAAGCUCAACAUCAGCUGCAACCCGCGAUGGUGGUGGUUUGGCCGGCGCCCGAGGCGAGGCAGCGCGGGAGUGCUGCCGGUGGGUUGGUGUUGGCACUCAUUAUUGACAACUAUUUUGUUCAUAAAAUAACACUCAAACUUGCUGCUGCUGCUGCUGCCAUCGCCACCCUAGCCAUAAUAUAAAGGCAAAAUUUGCUAAAGGACAUGCAAAAUGAUGCUAGUUUGCUGGCGGGCAUCGUUGACCUUGUAAUAUGCUACAAGACACUCUAGUUGUGUAUCAAUUUGCUGAAAGACAUUGCUAUGACUAAAAUAAUGUUUCUGGACUGAGUUGGAGAGAGAGAUGGAGUGAAAUGUCUGUUUUGCCCAUGACCCCACUGGUCAGAUCCUUCUUCUUCCACCCUCCUUUGUUCUUUCUUCAACCAUUACCCAGCUCCAGCGUGUUGCAGAUCUACGAGGGUGGCGGCCUGGGGCGAGGGGCAUCGCUCGCCCUUGGAGGAGCGCUGCGAGCGACGGCGCGGGGGCGGCAACAGCGCGUCAGAACCUGACUGUUCGUUAGCUCCUCUCGCUGCUGGGGAAGAAGGAGGGGGAUGGGCCAUGGACGGGGUUCCCUUGAAAACCUCAGCGUCGAGCUCGGGCGGCUACGCGCAGGCAGCACUAGGCUGCUUCACGGGGAGGGGGCGCGGCCAAUCAUUGGCACCCCACUGGUCCAAUGCUGAUGAAGAUGGUGCCAGCGUCGUGUGAGGACAUCUCAUCUCCUCGAGUUCCAUGGCCAGCACAGGUGAGCUGCCGCUACCACAAAACAGAGGUUUCGUGAGAGUCAAAAAACCUUAUGAAAAUAGCUAAAACCAUCAUGAAAAUAAUCCGUGACAUGACACUCUCACGAAAAUCCUCUCACAAAUAUGGUGCCAUGAAAAUACCAUUUUCAUGAGAGUGAACUGUCAUGAUUUUAUAAGCGUCAAUACUCGGUAUAAAUUGACUACUGCUGUGAGUUCCCUUUCAGCUUAUCGUAGGCAUACAUUAUUGCUAGCACGGUAAAGAGAACCAACACGAAUGAUGAAGUAAACGUAGCGGAACUUUUGUAUACCAACACCCUUACGUACCGGUGUCAUUCCCCACUGCCACAUAUAUUCUUAUAUGCUAACCAGCUUUGAAAAUUAAGCGAUUAAAAUAAUUAUUUCAAGAUAGAAAUAACUUAUCGGCUUCUCGAAGCUUGUGUAAUGUGAAUUCAAGGACUCGAUGGAAGUUGAAUCGCUUCAUCUAGAUUGCUUUCAGGAUUUUGGGUAACUAAAUUUAACAUUUGCACACACAAAUGUUAAUGUACAAAUGUUAAAUCUAGUUACCCAAGCAGAAUAUGAAGAUACUCUAUAGUAUAUAUGUACUAUAUAAAUCUAGUAAACAUUUAGUCUAAAUGUUAAAUCUAGUUACCUAAAAUCCUAAAAGCAAAAUGUAUAAAUAUAUAUCUUUUAAGGCAGUAUAAGCUUCAAUUCUCUGUUAAAUCUCAUCUUUCGUUGUGGCCCAACACUCUAGUAUGCAUGUUGCACCAAGCUUCUUUGAGCCGCUCUGCCCUCUGAUUUUGCUGCGUAGGGGAAUCUUUAUCAGGUUGGGCUACUUCCAGUUGUGCGAUGUAAAGCUUCGUAUCUUUUAGAAGGUAGACAAAAUACCCGCGUUCUGGAAGAUUCUGCAACGUGCACGUUGGCGCUGCCACCGUGGUUGCUUAAGCAAAUGCAUCCAACUGAAUCGUCCUUAAGCUGAAUAAUUGGAUAUGGUAUCCACUGCUUAAAGCUGCCAUGUUUAGUACGUCUUUGUUUUUCUCUCUUUAUAUUCCAAUAAGGUCGGUGAUCUUGAUGCCACACACUCAGAUGUGUGUUUAUCUCCAGAUACUACUCCAUGCUACCUACCCUUUGUGUUUUGUUCAAUAACUGGGUAUCAUAUCCUAGCCAGUGUGCCAUCUGUUUUGUGUUUGUUUCCUUCUAGUUCCAAAGGGGUCAUCAUGAUGUUACCUUCUUUUGAGGUGUCUAUGAUGACUUCGUUAAUAUCAAUAUUAACCAAUUCAAUCUGUCUUAACUAUUUGUAAGGGGUAUGAUGUAUGCAUGAUUAUAACAAUGAUUGCGCAUACAAUCGCCGCCAAAGAAACGGUCAAUACCAUUAAGACAUAUUACAGACAAUUCUCAUAAUCUAUAAUGAAUAUACAUAUUCACUACUGCAGAAGACUGUCAUUUGUAUCGGCUCAUACGUGCCAGGGCAAAGGUCACCCUUGCAUUAAGUACAUUUGCACGGUAAAGACAACCAACACGAAUAAUGAAGUAAACAUGCCGGUGCUUUUGUACACCAACACGCUUACUUAAAUGUACUGGUGUCAUUCCUCACCGGUAGCCGGCUUGAAAAUUAACCAAUUAGAACAAUUAUUUAUUGUAUCGGUGUGAUUUUUGACCUAUUGGAAUAUGAAUUUGACCGUUACUGCAUUCGUCAAGACUCAAGAGAGAAAUAACUGAUCGGCUUCUUAGAGCGUGUGCAAUGUGAAAUCAAGGACUGGAUGGAAGUUGAAGCGCUAGCACUAGUAGAGAAACGACUUUCCAUCCACCCCCUUUUGUCCCGGUUUAAAGUUGGCUCGGGAUAAAAGGUUCACCAACCGGGACUAAAACUCAGUCACUGGUGGGAGGCUCACCAACCGGAACCUUUUAUCCCGGUUGCAAAGGCUAAUGGGAAAAAAAGACUCUGAGAGGCCUUUUAUCCCGGUUUGAAACACCAACCGGGAUAAAAGACCCCCCUUUUAUCCCGGUUGGUAACACCAACCGAGAUAAAAGGGUCAAGAGCCUUUUAUCCCGGUUGGAAACACCAACCGGGAUAAAAGACCCCCUUUUAUCCCGGUUGGUGUUUCAAACCGGGAUAAAAGGGCCCCCACGAGGUGACUGGAAGGUGACUGGAAGGGGAUUAAAUCGUGGGGGACCCUUUUAUCCCGGUUGGAAACACCAACCGGGAUAAAAGGGGGUCUUUUAUCCCGGUUGGUGUUUCCAACCGGGAUAAAAGGGUCCCCCACGAGUUAAUACAAAAGGAUAGUAUCCCCUACAUAGUCAGAUGUGGUGUGUAGGUGGGAUGGUAAGGAAGCUACGCGCGAGCUCCGGAAUUUUUUUUUUUUUUUUUUGCAGCGUCGGCGCUCUCUACCCUUUUAUCCCGGUUGGUAUUACCAACCGGGAUAAAAGGGGGUCUUUUGUCCCGGUUGAGUGACCCGGGAUAAAAGACCCCCCCUUUUUUCCCCGGUUAGUUUAUCCCGGAUGCAUUUUCGGGAUAAAAGCACCCUACCAACCGGGAUUAAAGCUCACUUCUCUACCAGUGUAGCUUCAUCUUCCGCUGCAAGUUAAUUGCUUGGAUAAGAAGUUGUAGCCGCUGCAAGUUAUAAAUAGUCCCGCUGAUGCUGUGCUCCGAAGUCUAUACUAUAUAUGCGGAAACUAGAUUGCUUUCAGGAUUUUGGGUAACUAAAUUUAACAUUUGUACAUAAAAAUGUUAGUUUACGAAUGUUAAAUCUAGUUACCCAAGCAGAACAAGAAGAUAGUAUAUAGUAUAUACUAUAUAAAUCAAGUUAACAAUUAGUCUAAAUGUUAUAUCUACUUACCCAAAAUAUUGAAAGCAAAGAAAGAAUAAGUAUAUAUCUUUUGUUGGAAAAUUGGUCCACGGAGAGGCCCAUUUAGGCCUCGUUCGUUUCACCGGGAUGGGAUUCCAGUCAGGAUUACUUCCAAGUUCGGUUUGAGUGAUUCCACCCGUGUCACUCAAUCCGGCUAGGAUUCAUUCUAUGGGUGAGGAGGUAUGGUUUCAAUCCAGGCCAUCUAAUGUAGAAGGAUUCCAAUCCAGGCCGGUUUUCGUUCCAGGCCAGACUAAAACGAACAACACUUUCAAUGCAAGUCUGGUUUCAAACCGGGCCAUUUCAAACCACCCGGAAUGGACCUCGUUCCAGGCCAAUCCGGUGAAAACAAAUGAGGCCUUAAUGGAAUCCCAAAGCAAGAGUUCAGUGGCAUUCUAUAGUCCCAUGCUGCUAGUUUGAGUUGGUCGAAGCCAACUUAAAUAGGAGAGCUCUCUCACUUCUCUAAAUACGUAACUGAAGGAGAGAAGGGGGCUUGGGUUACACAACGCACGCACGCACGCAUAUUUGCGUUCUUUUCGCGUAACCAACCGCGUGACUUGAAACUUGCGACGUAGCGUGCUGCUAAGUCAAGUUGAUAUAACCUUUUUGCCGUUUGCAUGUAAUCUUUUGACAACGGUCAUUGGAGGUGAUAAGCACGCAGUCAAUACCUUAAUCUUGAGUUAAUAGGGUGGUUACUACUGCCAAUUAGUGGGGCAAUUUUGUAGGGGAAACGGUUAGCAGAGGGCUACCGUCUUCUCUAUAAGAAGUUCUGGAGACGUCCAGGAACACACAUGUACAUGUGAGAGACCCACAAAUUCCUUCCCUUCUCCCUUUUCCAUGUGGUGAAGUGUGCUGUGGUACUGAGCUGCUUGAUCUCGCCGCUCUUCUCCUUGGCAUGCACCGAGGAGGAGGGUGAGCGGUAUCUCCGAGCUAUUGCCGUCAGGAAGCCUGCACGAGGGACAACAAAAAGUUUUUGGGUAGCGCAACUGCCAGCACAACUCUCCCUCCGCCUCUUCUUCACGGUUGAUGGCCACCACAAGCAUAAACCUCGCCUUCGCAUCCACGCAAAAGGGUCGCUGGGGUGCCUUCUUGCAUCGCUUCUCAGCCUCCUUGACUUGCGGCCAGCCAAGAACUGCGCCACCACCUCGGGUGCACGCCACCACUCCAGGGCUGCUACCCCAUGCCUGCGGCCGCCGCCGGCCACCACGCGUGUGCAACCGCGUCGCACCGCUUCCUUGCUUUGUGCCACCACUGCUGCUGUACCACCAGCUCCACCACCUUGGGCUGGUCGCCAGAGUGACUGAUAACUUAUUAUCUGUAACUACUAUUAACUCAGGGAUACAUGCGUCUUUUGCUUCUCCUACUAAUAUGUCCUAAAAUAUCUAGGAUGCCUUAUAUUUCUGGACAGAGGAAGUAUUUGAAUAAAAUGAACCAAUUUAAAAAAAUGUGUUGUACACUACUACAGAAAGACCUAUCAGUGUCAAACCCAAAAAUGUUGUCACCGCCAGUUUUGGGCAUCAUUGGUGAAAGGUUGGCGGUGAUGGGCUUUCCCUUCAACAACGGCACUGGAGCCGACGGUGAUUGACAUUAGAAAACAAAAAAGGGGACCCUACCUAGCCACCCCUGCAACCCGGCCGGCCGUGCCUCCCCUCAUCCCCACCACCUCGCCUCCCCAUGACCCCCCGCCGGCGCCCUUGCGCCUAGCCCCCUCAACUGCCCAGCCGGCCACCCUCAUCACGAGAGAGAGGUGCAUGUUGUAUAAUUGCGUGAAUUUUUUAAUGUUUAAUUUCAUGUAAGUUCCGUGUAAUAAAUUGUACAAGUUUUAUUGUAUAUAUGAAUUCCAUAUAUAUAUAUAUAUAUUUAUAAUUUAAUGUAUGGUUUCAUGUGUAUAUUUCAAUCAUGUGUAUAUUUAGUAGAUUGCCGAUUUUCUUUUUCUACUAGACAAGGGUUGAUGUAUAAUUACGUGUAUAUGUUUAUUGUACGGGCAAUUAGGACAAGUUUUGUAUAAAUUUCUUUUAUUUGAUGGUUGUUGUAUGGUUUCAUGUAUAUACAUUUAUUGUACUACUUUAGACAAUUUUUAAUUUAAUGUUUCUAUGAUUAGAUGUGUGUAUAACUAAUUGUAUUAUUAGUUAAGAUGGGAGCUAAAGAGGAUGAAAGGUAUAUAAUGGAGCAGAUUAUUGCUAGCUCAAACGUUGCAAGAACCUACACCGAGGGUGAGGGUAGCUAGGUGGACAUGUACCUCAACAUGUCCAGUGAUGGCAAUGACGAUGAGGAGCACGAGCAUGACAUCUAUGAUAAUGCGGAACAAGACAUUGCAGAAUUGGAAGGUUCUAAUGAGGUGUGCUUCAUGUUGACAAUCUAGUUGGCUUUUUUUCGUUGGUCACACCUUAGUUACCAUAGAACUUCGUCUCGGGAGAAGAUUGGUGGUGGUAUGGUGAUUGGAAUUUUAUUUCCACGAAAUCUGAUUUCCAUCGAAUCAUAUCCCUUGUAUUUAUCUUCUUUUUAUUUGUGAGAGCAUCUUCUUUAUGCUUGCAAAACAAUUCAAGUGCACAUACUACCCCUAGGGUGACGAUUGGGAGUAGAAAUAAUUGCCAACAAAACAACACCACAUCCUAAGAUUCUUAACUUGUGGCAUAAUUAGUCUAGUAAAAAGAAAGAUAAAAACCUAAUGGGUGUAUGUGAGUGCAAUGUGUAUAUGCAUAUGAGUGGAAGGCAUAUAAGCAAAGACAAUAUUUACACAUAGUUCUAAACACCAUGUUUACAGCUAGGUUGCUGAAUUUCUCCAUAGCCAUAGAGAUUAAUUAACCAAGGUCAAAACACGAUGUCUAUCCCAAGAUCAGUAAUUAUUUAUAGCACAAGAAAAAGAAAGCGCAUUGCAAAGUUUAUAAACCAACCAAUACAGCAUGAAAACAAGAUGAAUAGCUAGCAAGGUUUAUUAAACUGAAUGAUGACGGUCUGUAAGCAAGUUUAAACACCAUCUUUACACAAGAUUGCAAAUGGAAAAUGCCCAUAUGAAGCACUAACAUGGAUAUGAAAUCAUUCAUCAUAAAGCGUAAAGAACAACCAAGCCAACCAUAUGCAAAGCAUGAAUGGAAUGCAAUGAAGGUGCAAGAGAACAUUUUUGGAUGAACACAUUAUGAUGAUGGCAAAAUGCAAUGCAUGCAGAAAAAAUAAAUAUGAACAUGAAUAUGAUGAUCAGGGGCGGACCCACUAUUGUGGCCUGGGUAUUCCUCGGCAUACCCAAUAUUUUUGGGAAAAUGUUUAGUAGUUUUUAAUGGCAUAUACAUGUAUAAUAUAGUUUAGGUGUUAAAAUUGAUAUUCACAGCUAUUUUGGGCUCCAAUUCGCGUCCAAACCAACCUGGCCCACAGACCGCACCCGGCCGCCCGGCCCAUCGGCCCAUCUUGUCACUGAUCCUCCCACCACCACACUCAGCCCGUCAGUUAGUCAGGUCCCGAGCUCCUGCCUGACCUAGUCCGCUACCACCGCCAGGCGCCAGGCACAGCUGUACACGCCGCCCCCGUCCACCCACGUCCGCCGCACGGCCGCGUCGCGCCCCCCCCCGGCGCCCGCUGCUGCCAGAACCCAUUAGGCCUCCACCGGCAAGUCCACCCACAGUCCCGCGCGACGCGGCAGCCUCUUGGCUCUCGGCGCUCGCGGCGCGCCAAUGCCUGCGCAGCCCCAGCAGGCGACUGCCCCCCCCCCCCCCGCAUCGGGCCUCGGCCCCUCCCCAGCUCCCCCUCCCCCCUCCACCAGGACUGCCUGCUGGCCCCCACCGCGAGGUAAUCGAAAUGGACUGCUCAAUCUCUCAAUCUGUUGACAUGAUGCACACGGUUGCAAAAAUAGAUGUGUCAAAAUAGAUGUAUUGCCAAUUGCUAUAGAUGCAUAUGGUUGACAUGAAGAAGUCAAAAAUGACAUUUGGUUCCUUGUAGGCAGUCAAAAAUGAAGAAGUCAAACAAUAUUGAUCUGAAAUCAAUGCGGGAAAGGGCUACGAAGACACACGGGUAGAUUCCCUUGUGAACUUUUUAUGUCGUUCGUCUAAAUAUAUUUUUGCAAUGGGCAUACCCUACUCUGAAAUCCUGGGUCCGCCACUGAUGAUGAUGGUCUAAACAUAAAACAAGCCUAGAUUAAUUAGCUACAACUGAAAUUAAGCAAAGGUUAAUGUCAUUGACCCUAGCUCUAUCCUAGCUUUUACUAAAGUCCCGGCACAUAUAGUGGUUGGGCCCACUCUCUCUACUUCCCUCUCUGCUGCAUGCACACACACGAGCAACUGGAGGCCCAACAAAGCCCAGAAGGGUUCGGCCGAACCCGUCCGAUCCAGUCUGAGCGCCGCUCCCUCCCAGCCUUCGCGCAGAUGCUCCUCCAACGUUCCUUGACCCCUCCCUCAGUGUCCCAUUGGGUUUAACAUUGUAGGAGAGGAGUCCCUUUUUUAAAAUCUCAACCACCUCCUCUCCUCAUUCACUCCACUCUCAUCUCCAUCAAACUCACCAAGAUCCACAUCGGAAAUACCUGCUUACCACCAUGGCUGGCAAAGCCCUCGUCCCUUUCACCAACUUGGGCUUGACCAUUGAUCUCGAUGGGAAAAUCACUCCAGCAAAUGUCAUUGUCCCUGUCGGCGAUCUGGCGAUGGAGGAGGUCCAGGCACUAGAGGUCGAGCCCCUAGCCAUCAUACCGCCCAAGGGGUAAAGCAGGAGCAUGACAGGCGCUGCUAGGGGUUCAGCCGAACUCCCAGUUCAGCCAAACGAGGACGGCGUCGCCUCGGCCUCCCGCUCGACUGCAUGCUUCCCCUUGCCAAGGAGGACUCCAGAACAGCGGGCGCGUGCGUCAAGUCCCUACAAAAGGCUGAAAUACAAUGAAUAUCCAGGGUCACCCUUGAAGAUGGGUGAACGCUACGCCGGGUCCUUGUUUGACUAGUACGGCGAUGCAUUCUGCCACCGCUAUGUCGUUGUCGAGAUUAGCGGAUCAAGACUUAGACUAGUAAAUUUCUUUUAUGCGCGUAAGGCUUCAGAUGGUGGCGUGGGAGACAUGGGUUUUAUACUAGUUCGGGCAAUGGAAUACCCUACGUCCAGUGUCUGGAGCUGCUUGUGUUGCCCACGCGGGGUUCUGUAGUAGGGGUUACAGGUGUGCGAGAGAGGGAGCUAAUCCCAGGUCUCUUAGGCGUGUUCCGGUCCUCUAGAUGGGAGAAGUGUGUUCUGUUUGCUUGGGAGUAUCGGUUGUGUCUGAGUUGUCUCCGGAGCCUCCUCCCGUCUCAGGUCCCCGAUUCUCCUUUCAUAGCACAAGGAGACCAUCGGGGUUACAGACGAGACCGAGCGUGGGGAGGAGUAAAGAGAUAAACAUAGCUAGGUAAAAAUACAACAAGAAAGGGGGGAACCAAGUUUCUAGGUCACCGGCGUCCUCGCCGGCCUUCGACUUCCGCCGGCGCAUUUGUCGGAGGAGGGUGGCCGCCAUCGCGUUCUGUCGAUGGCUUCCUCGGUGACUGUAGCCACCGGGCGUGAUGAUGGCAUUUCGUCGUGACCCUUUGUCUGUUGGGGGAGGCGGCGGAUCCUGCCAUUCUGCUGACGGCUCGCGGAGUGCGAACGUCGCAUCCCUGCCGCUGGGCACGCGGGGCGCGAGAACGUGCGAGGCUUCCCCCUACCCCAGGCGGCGCAGGCCAUGAGUGCCCUGUGGCAAAUCGGAGGAGGCCGCAGCUACUGUAGCUUGUACUGUGCAGCCACGUAUGGGUACUUGUGGCAGGUUGCGUGGUGGAUGCGGAUAUCCUUCUCCCUGACAGAUCUGCGGCGCAUUUAUGGCGAGAUCGACAUGGGGACCCACAAGACCCGCGCCCAAGGCGGAUACUUGUCUGGAGGGCCCGGGUUAGCCUGACCCCCUACGCUUGGGGUCGGGCGAGGCGGAGACUUGCGGCGGGGCGUCGGACGCUCCCGACACUAGACCUGCGGUCGCGCAAGGCGGAGCUUGGUCUUCCGGGGGUCGGGGGUGCCGGACCCCAGGAUGCGGGGUCGGGCGAGGUGGAGCGUAAUUCUUGCCUCCCAUGUUGGGCCGAUGGCAGUCUUUGUUACCUCUAGUGGGCUUGGGCCUUUAUGUUUUGUUGUUUCCAUGGGCUUCGAGAGGUCGUUAAUAUUUCCCCCCAACAGUAGCCCCCGAGCCUGUGGUGGAGUGGGGGCGCUCCUCCGGAGGCUACUAUCAUCGCCCCUAGGGAAUCCUCGCAGUUGAUCCGGGAUAGGAGGUGUUGUUUGCACGGCUUGACCGAGGGGGUCGAUUAGGCGACGCAUCCUGUGAGCGACUCGGUGCGGGAGGGUUUCUUGUUGUUCCCUUCUGUCUGAGAGCCUUAAGUCGAGACCACCUGCGUGGCCUUUGGUUGCAAGGCCAGCCCCCGAGCCCCCGCACGUUGCAGGGGACCGGUCGGAGGCUAGGUCGACUUUUGUUCAUUACCCUCAAGCGUCUGUUCGCUAGGACGGAGGGGGCGAGCCGUGCCAUGCUAUCCUCAUCGGACGAACCAUGGUGCUCAUUGAGUUACUAACGGGUUGAUUCGAGUGGGAUCCCGGUCCCCGUUCGGGGGGGGUCCGGCUUGGGCCAAGCUGGUGGCGUACCCCAGGCUCCGGUCGGCCAGUUCAUAUAGUUCCUGAGUCCGUUCGGUCGGACCGGGGGCUCAUUGCCUUUCUUCGGGGAAAAACCAUGAACUUUGAUGCCGGUCCAGACUCGAAUGUGAGAUUGAGACGCCCGGGGCUGUCGCGUGCCCGGGUGAUGGCCGCUAGCGGACCCGUCUCCUCUCACCCCUCACUCGGGGGUAUCCUGAGGCGGCUGUCGAACCCGUGGCGGGCCAGCCUUCGAACCUCUGGAUCGUAAUGGGCCGUAGGGGCGUUUUCAGCCCCGUAUCCCUUUUUACCUUUUGGUGGGCCUUGGGCCGAAUCAUGGAGGAGGUCGGGCCUUGGGCCGGAUGCGGAGGAUGUCGUGCCUUGGGCCGGAUGUGGGGGACGUCGUGCGUGUCUUCCGGGAGACGAAGUGGUGGAGGGUGCCAACCCGCGAAUCGAGGGAGGAGGGGAUGUUUCUACUGCAGGUCAUGCGCACGGUUUCCGAAAAGGCAGCGGGCGUGACGGGACGUACCUCGCGCCGCAUUUAUUGCGAUGGGGGCGUCUGUUCUGCUUCCCUCGUGCCUUCCCUAUAAAACGAGGACUUCGCCUCGCCGGUUCCGCCCGCCAUCUACCUUCAAGCCUUUUCGCCUCCUCGCGCGCCCUUAGCUUUCCUGUGCCCGCUUCGUCUUCCUCCGCCCAGUGCCGCGCCCUUUCUCCCCAUCCGCCGUCGAGUUCUUCUCCCUCCGGCGAUGGGAUCCUGGGCGCGUUCCCACUUCGGCCCCUCACGCGCCGAAGGCCUAGUGAGGAAAGGCCUCCUUUGCGAGAGGACGGAGACGGAUGAGUGGGGGUUCCCUGAGAUGGAAGAGGUGCCGACUCCGCCCACCGGCUACGUCGUUUCCUUUGCCCACUUCCACGAGAGGGGGUUUGCGACUCCGCCGAGCCUCUUCUUCCGCGGGCUUUUGUAUUACUACGGGCUUGAGCUGCAGCACCUCAACCCCAACGGGAUUCAGCACGUCGCGGCGUUCGUUGCGGUGUGCGAGGGGUUCCUGGGCAUUGAGCCCAACUUCUCGCUGUGGAAGUACUUCUUCACGGUCAGCCUAUACCAGAAGGCCGAGAAGAGGGGAAGCCAGCAGCGGUCGACCCCGGUGCCGAUAGGGUGCGUCGGAAUCCACCUCUGCCAUACUCGCGCCAAGGAGUAUAUCGCGAUGAAGACCGCGGCAUCCCACAAGGGGUGGCACCAGCAAUGGUUCUACGUGAAGAACUACUCCAACCCCCCCUGCCGGAGUUCACCGGCCGCAUUAUUGAAGCGGCGCCGGAGGUGUGGGUGUACGGCCCGGUGGAGAAGGAGAAGAAGCGGAUCACCGGCCUGCUGCAGGCCAUCGAGCACCUGAAGGAGAGGGGACUGACCGGAGCCGGAGUCAUCGGGGCGUACCACGCCCGGCGGGUGGCGCCGCUGAUGCUCCGGGUCCGCUCGCUCGCCGACAUGACCCCCGGUGCUCUCACCGAUGGCACUGUCCUCGCGACGGGUGCUCUCGCUGCCUCCGAGAUCCGGCAGCGGAUCCGGGAGGCGCUGGAGGACAAGGACGCCGAUUACCCGGUGCCCGGCCACCCUCCGAUGCGCCCGGACGAGAAUUUCAUUGAUCUGGUAAGGAUUUUGCGCGCCAGUUUCCCUCUCUUGCGUUUCUUGGUAUGCCGUUCUGACGCGAGGCCCUCUGUGUUUGCAGGGUAGCAUGACCCGGGUCGUCGACUUGCGUCCGCCAGUGUCGGAGGACGCCGAGUGGCGGUAGCAGAACCGUCUCCUUGCCGAGAAGCAAAAGUGACGCAAGGACAAGAGACAGCGAAGAAGAAGAAGAGGGCCGCCAAGGAGUUCCAGCGGCGGCGGUGGGGAUAGGUCGUGUCGGAUGACGAUGACGAUGAGAAGGAGGAGGAGGAUGACGAGGAGGAGGAGGAGUUUAUCCUGUCCCCCCGGUCAGGGGCGCUUGUUAUCCGGGAGCCGCGCUCCCAAGCGGCCAUGGGGGACAAGGCGGGCGAGCUGCCUGCCCGGACCCGAUCCUGCGAAGCUUUGGGGGCGCGCCCCAGGGGUCGGCGCAGAGCGCCCCCCGGGGGUCGACGGAGCCGACCCCCAUCCCUACACCUGCAGCCCAGGAGCAGAGGAGCAGCGACAAGCGGCCGUUGCCAGAUGCCCCGGGGUCGGCGUCCAGCUCAGAGGCGAAGCGCGCGCGCCGCCCUUGCGCUGGGGGAACGUGAGUUGAAUUUCCUUGCGAAUCUCGUUCCUUUCCAUGCAUUGUGUUUGUUUCCGCUGAUGCUGUUUGUUGUCUCACAGCACCGCCCCUCAAGGCCUUGUCCCGCCGUUGGCGCCAAAGAAGGCGUUGCGGUGUUGUCGCCUCUGCGGGGCGGACCGCGGCUCCGCCGGCGGCGAGUGGCGGGGUCACUGGUGAGACCGCGGGUCCUACCGCGGAGGUGGCCCCUGCGGCGGCAACCGGUGGAGUGGUGCCACCGCCGGGCAUGGGACAGGGUCUGGACCCCGCUCCGUCCUCCGCCUCUUCGGCCGACCCCGCGGUGCAGAGUAUCGCUCCUGGGGGCCCUCAGGCCGGGGAGGUGAUUGACCUCGACGCCGACGAGGUGGAGGAGACGGCGGCGGUGGAGACGGGGGCGGUUGCCCCAGCGGCCAUGACGGGGACGACGACGGCGACGGGGGAAGGAGAGUCUACCCCCGCGGCCACGGCGGGGACAGUGGCGACAGAGGAGGCGGGGACGCCCGCCCCGGCGGCUGCGACGGAGGAGGCGGCGGUGACGGAGACGGGGGCUUCCGCCCGGGAAGCCACAGCCGAGGUGGCAGCGGCGACGGAGGUGAAAGUGCCUGUUCUGGAGGCCACGGUGGGGGUGGGGACGCCUGCCUCGUGGCCACGACGGAGGGCGAGGCGGCCCCAGGGACACUUGCUCCGGCACCCGCGUUGGAGGCGGUGGCGCCGACGGGUUGGCCCGUGGCGGCCUCGACGGGGGCGGGGGUGCGUGCGCCGGGACCGUCGGUGAGGCCGGCGACUUCCGGGAUGGUGGUGCCCGUCUUGACGGCGGCGGCGGCGCGGUCGGCCCCCGCCCUUGCCUCUACCACUCCCAUUCCCAAGGCGUGGAGCGGAUCCGUCCUGCGUUGGUCGUCUCGUGACGACCCGCAGAGGCCCCUCUUCACGUUGGAUGAUGCCACAGAAUGGGGCAAGUGGCAGGCGCUGCAGGGCGGACUCGCUAACGUCCGCGCCGCUCUAUCUUCGGCGUUGGGGGAGCUGGACGGCGUCAUCUUCCCCGGUGGCCGGGUAUGGUGCUUUCUCCGUUGGUUAUUUUCUUCCCGUUACUUCGUCCCUGAUGGCACAUUGUUCUGCAGGCCCUCCAAGAAUGUAGCCGGGGAAAAUCUGAUUUCCUUUGGCUCGAGCAGGGGCUCUGGGAGCGCUUCAACUUGGAGUUGCAGCGGACCGGGGAGCUGACCAUGCAAGUCGCCACCGUCUAGCAUGUCAUCGACGAUCUGCGAAGGCACGAGCAGGCGGCACAGGAGGACGCGCGGCGGGCGGAGGCCAAGUUCCAGGUCGUUGCCGAAAGGGCUCGCUGCGACCGCGAGGAGUUCCAGGCCGUUGCCGAAAAGGCCCGCCACGACGCUGAGGAGCUCGCACGGCUGAAGGUGCAGCAUGAAGCUCUUCAGAAGAGCGGCAGAGGGCCUGGCAGGACCGGGACGCCGAGAAGGUCCGGAAGGAGGAGGCUGAGAAGGUGGCGGCCAACCUUGGGGCUGAGGUCAGCCAGCUCCAAGUGCAAGCGCGAGAGCUUCAGGCCUCCGUGGCCCAGGGGCUCGACCAGGAGCGCCAGCUGAAGGCCUAAUCCGAGGGUAUGACUCUGUUUAUUUCUUUGUCUUUGUGAUGUUGCGGUGAUAUUUUAUUUGGCGGGUUCUUCUGGAUGAUCCUUGCAGAUGAGCUCAACUGGCUGAGGGAGGUGCUUGACGCGGAGCGCGCUGAGCACGGCGACCUGCGGGACGCGGUCCGCGUCAUCUGUGACUUCCUUAGUGUGGUCCAGGGGGAGGGGACGAGCUCGCUGGCGGCUCGUGUCCUCGGGACGUACCGCCGGACCAGCGAGAUCGCCCUGGAAGCGCUUCGCACCGGCUUGAGGCAAGCCUUUGGGGUCUUCGGCUCCCACUAUUCCGGCAUCAACUUCGCCGGGAUGAGCGGGGGAUACGCCACCGGCUACUACGAGGCCGAGCUGGAUGAGAUCGACGUGUCGGUGCUCAGCCCGGCGGAGGCCUUGGUGAAGCUCCUCGAGGAUGAGGCCGUCCCGCCCGAAGAUCCCCGGACGAGUUAACUAUAUCGGGCUGGCGCCCCAGAUGUAAAUACGUUAGGGAAAGACUUGUUUUUUGUGAGGGCCGUAGAGGCCUUUUCUAUGAAUUGUCGUAAAAAAGUUUUUGAUUCCCUUUCUUGCUUUUUGGACUUGGAAAGUUUAGAGCACGUUGUCGGGCGUGUCAGUAAGCUUUGAUGAGCGAAGGCACCGUAGCCGCUGGGGCGUCGUUUUUUUUGCAGUCCGAUCAAUCUUGCCUGAACACCGUUCGUGCACUUUCUCCUUUUUAUGCCCAAAAGUUCAGAAAGAGGGUCGGCUCGGAAAGAGAAAGCGUUUUGAGAGGGUGUCAAGUGGCUUAGGUACUUGCGGCAGGUUGCGUGGUGGACGCGGAUAUCCUUCUCCCUGACAGAUCUGCGGCGCAUUUAUGGUGAGAUCAACAUGGGGACCCACAAGACCCGCGCCCAAGGCGGAUACUUGUCUGGAGGGCCCGGGUUAGCCCGACCCCCUACGCUUGGGGUCAGGCGAGGCGGAGACUUGCGGCGGGGGGUUGGACGCUCCUGACCCUAGACCUGCGGUCGGGCGAGGCGGAGCUUGGUCUUCCAGGGGUCGGGGGCGCCUUACCCCGGGAUGCGGGGUCGGGCGAGGCGGAGCGUAAUUCUUGCCUCCCAUGUUGGGCCGACGGCAAUCUUUGUUACCUUGGGUGGGCCUGGGCCUUUAUGUUUUGUUGUUUCCAUGGGCUUCGAGAGGUCGUUAAUAUUUCCCCCCAACACUAUGAGGAGGACUUGUGGGCAGAAAGUCAGCUACCACAAACUUGCCUCUGAAUAUUUGGAGUGCAAACAUUGGAUGGUGGUUGUGGAGAGCCCCAGCCAUACCUCGCACCCGUGGAGAGGUAAUUGUCGGAUUGCUUGGUUCGUCUCUAGAAUGCGACAAGGUCAGGCGCCACCUCUCACUGCUGCCAGUCAGAAGGCCGAGGGGCCAGUUUCAACAUAGUAAUGAGAAUCUCCGAAGGCCAAUAUGGUUAAGCAGCUAACCUCCAUGAUCAUAGACUUACGUUUAGAAAAUAGGAGGCUUAGCGAUGCGUUAACAGAGCAGAAGUUAGAAACAGAAGAACUUAAGGACGACUUCCGUGUCCUCCGCCUUGGUCUUUGUGCUAAGAUAAAGCGCUUGUACAAUGCCACGGGGAAUGACGGUCUCUACGAUGCAGCUCAAUAGACGUGCCCCUUGUAUCCUUUCCUUUAGGCACUUUAGAAUAUGUUUAUUUGUUUUCCUUCAUUUUAAUUUCCAAUAGAUUGUUAGCGCCUCCAAUUUAAUUUCAAUAAAGUGUAGACUCACCGGUCAUCCAACUUGAUGGAGUCCUUUUGUCACCUAGUUGUCUUUGGAAGAAGUAGCUGGGUACAAAAUAAGUGUGGGGGAGAGCCACAGACUCUCUAGAGCUGAAACAAUGCACAACACCCACAAAUAGAGAAAACCACGCUGCACCAGCACGUACGUGAAAGUGGAGCCAGAGCUGGACCCAUAGGGGUUUGGCCAACCCAAGGGGUGGCCCACUCGGGCCAUCUUCAUCCACCGCGUCGGUUUGUGUCUCUUUACCCCUGAUCUCCCUGAUUCAUGAGUUUGAAUGAAUUUUAAAUCUGAUCAACUAAUUCAAACUCAACUAAAAUGAAUCAACUGCUCCACCUGCUCUACAUGUUUUCUAUGGUUGGCUUGCAUAUGUUUUAUUUCAUGCUUAUCAUCUUGAUGCUUGUGAACAAAUAUCUUUAGGACAGCAUGCUCAUCUAAGUAGUUGAUGUGUAUGAUAUGGUUCGAUGAUAUGAUCUUCACUCUUAAUGCUUAAGUGCUUGGGAAAAUCUAUUUGAAAAUUUAAAAGCCUUUUUGAAAUCUCCUCUUUGAUGUGCCAAAGUCCUACCAAAGCCAUAUGAUAAGUUAUCUUGAAAAACCAUUUGCAUAUGUUGCUUGUCUUUGCAUUGAGCUUUGUCAAAUUGGUGUGACCCUUGUCACAAUUCUUUUCAUACUUUCAUGAUCAAGACUCAUGUGCACGCCAUAUACCCCUUGCUAUGCUUCUAUGAGAUGUUAGCAUUGUACCAUCCAUUCAUUCCACAAAAUAAAUGCUCCACCAUAUGUGUUGGUCUCCUUCUAAGAUUAUUGUUACAAAAGAGAUAUGGGCUAUCAAAAAAAAAUAUGAAUGUCCAAGAAAGUUGGACACAUGAAUGUCCAAUAAAAAGAAAAAGAAAGAUAGCCAUGUCCUCAGAAAUAUUUACAAAGGGAGAGAGAUCAUACAAAAAGGAGUUUCCAUUCCAUCCACCACAUCCAUACAUGUGCACAUCUUGAUCUGAUUGUAUGACUUAUUUUUCUCUUUGGAUCUGGUCUUUGACUUUGCAAUAUAUGUGAUGCAAGCAUGCCUUAUCCUUCAUAGCCUACCUUGAGCUCCACAUAUAGCCAUCAUUAGAAGUAGGAUGAAGAAAGGCAAGUCUAAUGCCUUGGUGAGGACAUAUACACAUUGAGUGAUCUGAGAGAAUCAAAUGAGGAGCUAAGCAAGGUUUUGUUUUGAAAACUAAUUGAAAAAUCCCAAGCUACUUGGCAUAAGGAGUUGAGGUGACUUGAUUCAAGACCAUUACAUUCCUCAACUACCCAAGAUGGCAUGAUAGACACUCCAAAGUUCACAAGUGCAGGUAUGGUUUGGAAUAUCUUUUAGGCUCGCUUCAUACCUUUGAAAGUUAUGUUUCACCUUAGUCCUUUCUCGUUCACUCAAGGAUAAGCAAAGGCUAAGUGUGGGGGUGUUGUUGAUGGCUCUUAAGUACAAAAUCUGCGCCAUCAACUCUUGCAUAAACACAUAAAAUAUGAGCAUCAACAAUAGUGGUAGGAGUUAUUACAAACGAAUUCCACAAGUCUUGGUGAAUAUUUGUAUGCAAGCCCAAUAGGAGAGAAAAGACACCUCAAAAGCAAGGAAACACACUCUCAACCAAUCAAGAGCAAGCACAUGGAACCAUGGGCCCACAACCAAAAGGAAAUCGACUACAUUCCAAACACCCUAUACCCACAUGAGAACCCAUAGGGCAGUGACCCAGAGCAAAGGUGAUGCCAGAGUGUAGAUGGUAGUUAGCAUGCCAAAUUUUGAACCGCAAGCGCUCGGAUUAGUUGUUUCUUUUCCCUUAGAGAUUCCCCCAAGGUUUAUCAAUCCAUGGAACAAGGGAUUUGCACGUUUCACUAAGCACUAAUCAAUGUAAUUGAAAGCUUUUCGAAUAAGAUAUGAUUAUGCUAACAAAGGAACUAAGCAAUCUAGAUUAAGAUGGAUAGAGAGUACAGGUUGUGAACAAGAUAGAUUAAACGCUUGUAGAUGCAAUCACCAUGCAUGAAUGAAUUAGAUCUAGGUGUUAUUGUGAGUGGUUGUGAACCAUGCCCAACACUUUCCCACCCGCAACAUUGUCACUACAUGUGGGUACUCAACUAUCGGAACAUAAGAACACAUCAAGAUGAUCAUUCUAGGUAAGCAAAUAAGCAACCCAAAGUAGCGCUGGCCAGCCUUUUCAUGAAAGAGCAUCAUCAAGAUAAGAUUGAUAACAAAAUAGAUCUCAACCAAAGGUUCAGCGAUUACAAAUCAAGAUCUUCGUAUAACCCCGAUGACAAAUAGAGGUAUUACCCCCAUGAUCUUACACAUGUUGAUGAAUUUUAGGGUAAAGGACACCCUGUAGAUCAACUGGACCAAAGAUGAUGAUGAACGGGGGCAGGGAAGGCCCAGGUUGAUCAGCCUGCGCACUUUUGAGCCGAUCAGCUCAGGGGGUUUCCUCCUCCCCUGGUGCUCCUCUUCGCGUGGCCUCCUCUGGAUCCAAUCUUCUCUUCAUUUCUCCUACUUGUGGCGGCAAUGGAUGGUGUUUGCAUGGUGAUUUCCUCUUCUCCCCAACUCUCCCUCCUUGAAGUCCAUGAGGGGGUAUUAAUAGUCUCCAAUAGGCGGCAGCUCUGGGUCAAUGUCAGUGAAAAAAUCCUAGAGAUCAUCGUACACUUCAUGCUGAGGAAACAAGAGGUUGACCGAGCCCUGGGAUAGACCAAGAGGAUCAUCCUAGAGGGUCCCAGGCUAAUCGGUCUAGGCCCUUCCUAGCCCUUCUAGUCCUCUCCUUCCUCGUGCUGGCUUUUCUCGAUGACCCUUGUCCAAAUAUCCAUGAAGCUCUAUAUACAUACCCCCUUGAUUAUGUUGUAUUUCCUGUCAAAAUACAAUGCUCCAAAAUACAACACAUAUGCAAUAAUAGGGUUAUUUCAGGUGCCAAUUGGUGGGUUAGUAUACGAAUAAGCAUGAAAAUACUGUUUAAAUGACACUAAAAGUGUGUCAAUAACGAGCACCAACAAUCCCCCCACGCUUAGAUCUUGCUCGUCCUCGAGCAAGUCUAGCGACUAAAAGAUCUUGAAUUAAACCUGAGCAAGCGAGUCAAGUACCUAGCCUUGAAACAAAAGAUUAGAGGAGCAGCAAAGAUAAUCAAAGUCUGGGUGUUCAAAGAUUUAUCUAAGCAAAGAUUCCCCUACAACUAUUAUUCAGAACCAAGUAACUUCAAAAAUCAACUACACUUAUUUUCUGGCUUUUUUCAGAGGGUUUUUCUUUCAUCAUAAAACAAUCUCCCUGCAACAAAAUUGAAAAAAGAAUUAUUUUCAAGGUGCUUACAUGUCGCUUAAAUGAAUGUUGGCUAUCCUACUUAUUUGCAAGCUCUCAUCUCUCAAAAUUCAUUCAAUUAUAUGGUGGAGUUUGGGUAAGGUUAGCUAGAAUCAACACGUAUAUUAUUGAAUUAAGAAAACCCUCUAACGGUGGCCUACCUUCCGAGCCAUUGAUCAUAAGAAUAUCCACAUAAUGUGAAGUUUUCAAGGAUGAGAAGAUAUAGAAUGGUGGACAUGUGCAAAGGCAAAGAAAUAUAGUGACUCUGAGGCACAAGCAAUGUCCUCGUCGUUGGAUUGCAUAUGGUUGUAAUGAAAAUAUGUUCCUUAAACAAGUCUAUCUUUUCUUUGCACCACUCUUGAUCUUCAUGACAGUAAAAACUCCUCCUUUAUUUCUUUCUCUCUUUUCCUAUUAUUUCUUUUUAUUUGUCUCAAUACUUUUAUUUCUUUAUUUCUUUAUUUUAAUCUCUUCUCUGAACCUCUUCUGAACACCACAUAAUAAAAAUAAGUUUUAGAUCCUUCCAGAGACCUUCCAGGAAUUUGCUACAUGAAAACCGAGGCAAGGAGACCCCAGGCCGAUUGGCCUAGCCACUCCUUUGCUCUCCUCUAGCUCUUCUUUCUGGUGAAGCUUCCUUAUCUUGUAUCUUUCCAAAAAUUUCAUAAAGCUCGACUAGAAACGGAACAGAUCUUCAUAUAAUGAGUUGUGUUCAAGGAAUUGGUAAUAAAAUUGAGAAAUUUGUGGUUCGGGUUUACGAAUUCAGUACAAAAAUAUGAUUGUUCCAAUGAAGAACUCUCAUUACUGAAUAUUGACGAGGCAAGCAUUCAAAGAUGGUAAAAAGGAUAUGAUCAAUUCUCAAAAUUAAAGCAAACCAAGAGAGAGCGAUCCUAAUUCAAUUCAAAGUGUCAAAUGUUGCUUAUGGUGGUAUGAAUAAAUAUUUUUAGGCAUUGGGUAGGAUAAAUAAAAACUCUCAACCUGGUUAAAAGAUAUUGAUCAAUCUUGUUUUUGCAGAGGUUUUAAAUAAAAAAUAAAAUUUUAAAUCACCUCCAAUUCAAAGCCUUACUCAUAAAUCAUAAUCAAAACUGAAGCACUUGAUCAUCAUAAAGCAUGGGUAUUGCAUAAACAAAUCGAUUACUAAAACUCCACAACUACGAUUUAGAAUUCAAGACAAUGCUCAUAAUCUAAAGUUGCAAAGAUAAAAUAAAAGACAACCAAGCCAAGGUAGACACUAAAAACACUUGCACGAUCCUUGAAUUUUAUUCAUGCUUCUUCUCACAAAGACGCUAAAGUAGCCAUGUAGGCCUAAGUCUUCCCAAAAGCUUAAGAAAACUACUACUUUAUCUACUUUUGGUUGAAAUAAAAAGACUAAUCUAGACUCUCACAUGAUUCGACUCGACCAAAUUAGAUCCAAAAACUCAUACGAGCGACGAUCUCCCCCCCCUCACGCUUAAAAUCUACGACCUCCUCGUCGUAGCCAUAUGGAGUACAAGGAAAAGAAGCUUGUAAACGCUCUAAUGACGCUACCCGCACUACUUGCACACGGGAUGGUUGCUGCUUCCUUCGCUUUGUUCUUCCUCAUGUUGCUGCACAUCCCGAAGAGCUUCCUCACGUUCCUCUGCAAGAACUUGAACUCGUCCUCCUGACGGCGAUCAUUAUCUUCUGCCUUUUGAUCCAGAGCUUGUAAGGCUUGCAUGAUGUCAUCGAACGCAUCGAAGAGGUAGUGGAUGUUCUUCCUGCAAGCUGUGGAACAUGUACGAUCAUGCUCCUCCGAUUCUGGCCCGUCGUCUUCUAGAUCCUUCUCUUUGCCCUUGUCUUGACGGUGGCUAUCUUGCUCCUUGCUCGCCUUCUUGCCUUCAGCCCAAUCCCAGUACGUGUUGUCAUCUUCUUCAUCGUCACGGCCUGCAGCACCCUAUGAUCCAUUGUCUAUCUUGUAUGAAAGAAUCAGAAGCUUGUUCUCCUCAGGGUGUCUUGCGCGGUGCAGCGUUUGCAAGUGCAAGACUUGCUAGUUCCUUUUACACAUUGUAAUGUUCAUUGCAUGCUCUAAUUGUUCUACAUUUGUAAUUUCUUGGUGAAGUUUGGUUACUGAUCCACUGUUUGAUUAACUCUUGGGCCCAAACACUGUACUACUUCUGAUUAGAUAUCUGUAUCUUGACUUUGACCAAAAAAAAUAUCCGGCAGUUUUUGCCAUUAAAGUUUCAUAAAUCAUCUUGCAAAAAUCGUACUAUACAACAAGGGACGGUUUAUUAUAAAAUAUACGUUCCCCUUAUCACAUGCCACUUCCACUCAAAAGGCAACGAAUCAGUUUUCAAUCCUGAGUGAGCAAUUUGCUUUUAUUACCGAUGCCUCCUAUUCCCUUGUGCACCAAGUUUAUUUUGGAUAGGGCUGCAAAAAACGACUAACCAGCUCGGAUUCUCCACCUGCAAAACCGCAUCUGCAGCAACCAACCCCACGCGGUGGAAAAAAAAACAAAACCUAGAAACCGGACGGGGGUGGAUGUGGGGCUCGGAGCCCAAGCAAAAAACGGAUCGGGAGCGCCGGAGCAGGCCAUCACCGGAUGUUAGAGAUAGAAAAUGGUUGAAGUUUGGAGUGGAAAUCAAACAAGCCUUGGAGCAAAGGAAAAAAAAAGAUCAAACCACUCAAGCAUUCAUUUGAUUUAGAAAAGAGAACAUUUGUUAAGGUGGGGAGUUGAAAUCAUCUUUUAAUUAGUUCCACGUAUCUGGUAUCAUUACAGUUGGUUUACUUGUGUAAGUAUAAGUAGCUCUGCCGAAGCCUUUGCUCCUAUAAUUUAGUAACUAGUACAAAUGGAUCAAUAGGAAAAUCAAGUUGCAAUCAUUUCUCAGCCAACCAAACCUAUGUAAAUCAAAUUAUUGUCCAUGCCCGGCAUGCACAGGUGCCUGCCAUGCAUGCAUUGUUGCUCCAUUGUAAUAACCAUUAUUGUCCAUCGAUGUUGCAGCGCAUGUGUGCACUGUGCAGACACCAAGCAUCGAGAUUAUGUACUAGUAAGGUGUUGAAAUAAUGGGCCUAGCCCAUAAGUAAUUUCAGAAUUUCAAAUAAAUCUCAAAGGCCCAUGUGGGCAAGAGGUGGAGUGGUGCAAGUCUUUAGUCCCACAUUGCUAGUCGAGGGGAGGGAUGACCAACUUAAAUAUGGAAGUUGUCUCCACUCCUCCAAGCUAUGUGUGAAGGGCGCGGGCGCGAGGCACUUGCGUGAAUGGUCCGCCGAAAUCUGGCCCCCCUUGCGGGGGCGCGGCUUCCUUUUGCCGUUUUAUUUUUUGGUUACUUGGUCGUUAAGUCAUGGAAUCCUAACCGGUUUAGAUCACGAUCGUGAAGGUUUUUGGGAAGCGCUCUGCGCGACUGCUCGAUCGCUUCUUCCGCUUCGUCAAGUUCUUCGUCGACUCCUUCACCACGGCUCGUCUACCUCUUCGUCGCUCGGGCCUCACUCGUCGUCGCGAACAACGUCAGGCUGCUGAUCGUCGUCGCCUGCUGUAUCCGGUAGUCGUCCAGGAGCCGGUUUUCAUCAAGAAAGAAACGUACGGUCUCUUAACUCACAUUAUGUCUUCCAUACUAGCUAUUAUGAUUGUUGCAGUCUGAUAGCUCUGGAUAGUAUGGUAGAAUGUCUGAUUCUAUUUGCAAUGAUAGACUUGUCUAGAUCUUGCGUAGACAUGUCUAGUUUAAUCUGCUGCUUGUUCAUCAUAUUCAUGAUUUAUUUCUGGAUUAAGUUAAAACUAAAAGUGCUUAUAUAUCCAACAUAAGGUACCAAGAACACGUGAAGCACCCGGGGGAGGCUGCUCCACUCCGCAUGCACAGGUGGGCACGGCACCACUACUCGUCUCCUUCAGGCUGAGGAUAAGUGAUGUACGCUGAUCAACAGACCACGACGGAACCAGCAAUAAUAGUUUCAGCCUGCCUCACAGUAAUUAAUAUAUCCUGUAUCCUCCGAGGACCCCUCCCCUUAAUCUUGGCCUAUUGCAUCCAAUAAUGAUAUGUGUGUUUAUCCAAAUUUACGGCACCUUUGGCGGGGGUUCCACCCAGCUCCGCCCUCUCCACCUUCGGUACUCCAUGGGAAACCAUUCCUUUGGAAUCAAGGAAGCUUGAACAGUAUAACGAAUAAAGUUUCAUAUAUCCAUUUGAUUUCACAUGAAAUAAAAUAUUCUGUCAGAACCAAUGGUUUCACUGAAGCUCCAGGCAGCGAGCGAAGGGGUGAGAGAGGAUAACGCUUACUGUGUGUUACCAUCGCGUGCACCAUGGAUGACCAACGCGCAGCCGAGAUGAAACGGCGGACCUAAACAGGUCCUCGCUAUUUUUGCAGGUUCUCGACCAGGCCAGUUCUUUAGGCCAACCUAUCAUUCACGAGUUAAACAUACGGUGGCUGGAGAAAUGUUCUAUUCUUUUAAACAAUACCAGCUGGUUCCUCCGUUUUUAUUCCACCAAUACAAGCACCACCUUGUAACAUUUCCUAUGUUUUUUUUCCUUUCGUCUGUUUUCUCACUACAUGCGUUGCUCUUUCAUGCAUUUUUUUCCAUUCCUGUAUUCCAAAUAGGUCUACAUGAACACAAAAUGAACUAGGGGACAGAAAAAGCCAGUGAAGUUAGUUUUGAGCUUCACCAGCUACUUGCUACAUAAAGUGUGCUAUAGUCGCAGAAAAGCUAAGCUGGAUCAGACGUGGCCGAAACAAUGCCAAAGAGCUAGGUCCCUAGCUGAUGGCAACACAUCAGAUGACUAGCCUGCUUUUCUGUAAUAAUGAUAUUGAGCAAUACACUGCAUGGCUAACCUGCUUUACAAUAAUUGUCAUUUUAUAAUAUUGGUCAUCACGAGAGAUGCACAUUGCAUACACCGGCCCAUCCCUAUAAAUAGCCAAGCCUUUCAGCCAUCUUGGGCACCUCCUCUCAGGGCCUCGUCUCACCAUCAGACAUCUCGUUCCCAGUUAUAAUUUGCGAGGUUAGAUCAGGCUGCGCCAUGGCGUCCGCAACUGCUGUCAAGAUCGUCGCCACCUUCAUGCUGGUGCUGACCAUGGGCCACCUGAUGGCCGAAGCAUCACCGCAGCCUCGGCGUGUGCUUGCAGAAACGGAGCAUGCUGCGGUGUCCGGGAAUCCUGGCCUCCCAGGUGAUGCUAGCGUCAUGCAGGUCCUCGAACCCGCCCUAGUUUCUCGGCUUGCCUGCAAACCAGAGUGCACAGUCCCUUGGCCUCCUUUUGUAUGUAUCUGCUAGAUCCUCUUCCUGGCUCAACGGAACUUCAGGGAAAUGGCUGUGACGUCGGCCAAAGAAUAAAUUGGAUGAACAUAAUAUACCCCGGGUAGUGUAGCUUGGGCUUUUGUUGAGCGUCUGGUGCUAGUUGUAUUUUGUUUGCUCAUGUGGCUUUGCUUCUGGUUGCAUAUUGGCUUUCCUAUCGCUCUCUGUUGCAGCUAUGGUUUCUGCCAGGUGUGUGUUAAUGCGGUUUGUAAGCGGUGCUUGUUCCUACCUUCUGUUUUCAAUAAAAGAAGUCGGAGUCUCCCUCCGACUCUUGUUAUCAGUCAACAAAAAUGAGUUGUAUCAUAUAUAUCUGCGUCUUUUUUCUACGUAUCUUUGGGCUGCUUCAGCUGGAAGUUUAUCGUAAGUACGUGUAUCAGGAUGAUCGUUUGAAUUAAAACGAAAUGAUAAUGUGUGGCUGCUAGAAAUGGAAUGAGCAUCUUACUAUAUUACUAAUUGGAAGCCUCCACGUGAAGCCACCUAGAAAUUCUAGGUGGACGUUUUAAAAAAAACAAAACUCAUAGAAGCCUCCACCACCUAGGAAUCCUAGGUGGACACUCUAAAAAGAGACAAAUCCUAGAAAUUCUAAAAAAAGAAAAAAAUAAUAACAAUAAGAUUUUUUUGCAGUCAAUUACAUAUAUUUUUUUGAGACACCGUGCUGCUAGCUCUUGCCAUUGCGACCAGUAAAGCAAGCAGAUAGUAAGAUGACAUGCGUGUGGAUUGAUUAAAACAAAUUCAGUUAGUUGAUUCUAAAUCGUAUGUAUCCUAAAAGGAAGAUAUGUGCGUGCAUGGUCCCUAGCGAUGACAUGUAGACAUGUAUUGCAAUUUCUUUUUUAAAAAACAUGUCUAUCUCUAAACCAACAAACAGAAAAAAUAUCAAUCUAAAUCUAAAUCUCUUCCGUUCUCACACGCCUAUUAAAGAGAAGACAACCAAUCCCAUCCAUGUUCCAUAGAAUCCAUCUAAAAGCUUGCUCACUGCGGACGGCAUUUGACGGCAAAUCAAUGAAAGAUCAUCCUCUCCAAAUAGCUGGACGGCAUCACCAUCUUUAUCUCACCAACCUACAGAGCUACAACGAUGUUGUAGAGAUCAACUAGGUAACCUACCAAUCACCCUCCCCUUUUCUAUAUGCUCUAAAGAACACGUGGAGUAAUUAUAGGCCUAUAGGAGCCGACUAACCUAGAUUAAUAUGAAAAAUAUUCCAAUAUUAAAAGCAAGCAGAUAGUAAUACUUGCCUUUGACCAUUUUUCUAGAACUGUUAUUCCUAUUGAAUGUUCAAGUGCUACGGCCAGGCAUCGAAUGCCUGCACGGAACCUUCCUAUUGAAUGGUUACUCUAGAGAUCAACGCACCGCGAGACAUUUUUAUGGAAUUUGUUUGAUUCCCCUUCUACAAUUAGAUUAAUUUUUCAUGGCAUAUAUUACUACUAUUAAAUUAUUUGUUUAUUGUCGGGCCUGCUGCAUGUGUGGUAUAUAUGACUUGCUUCUCACCAUUGUUCUCAAACUAUUAUUCCUAUCGAAUCUUUCUAUCGAAAUAUAUUUUAAUUACUUGAUUGUUGUUUGUGUACCAUAACUUCUGUAUAGAAAAAUUCCAUGUUUGUAGAUAAUGUCUUUUGUAUAGAAAAAUAGCCCAAUUAGAUCCAUCACCAUCUUUUGCUUAUGUAGUUGAACAAGUUGCAAUGUUGAACAAAACUUUAAGUGAAAUUAGACCAGGAAAAGGAAUUGUGGAACAUUAAGGCAAGGGUAACCAGAUUGUGGAAUGCAACCUUACUCAGUAGUGGCGAACAAUUAAGUCUUGACAUGAUCCUUAUUGAUCAAAAGGUAUGAUAGAUGUUCACUUUGAUUGCAUUAUUGGUAUAAUUUUUGGUUUACAAAUUAUUAAUGAUGAUGCAAAAUUAGGGAACCAUGAUCCACGGUGUUAUCAAUAAGCCCUAUAUGAAAAAGUUCAAACCAUUGAUUGAAGAAGGCAAUGUGUACAUAAUUGCAAAUGUCAGAAUCACACCAGAACCACAGAAGUAUCGGCCAGUGGAAAAUGACAGGAUAGUCAACUUCUUACCCACAACUGCACUAAAAACGAUCAAAGAUACUGAAGACAUUCCAAAGUAUAGUUUUAACUUCAUGAGCACGGAUAUGCUUUCAGCAAGAAUAAAUGUGGACAUGUACCUAUUAGGUAAAACAUUACUGGCUUUUCAAUUUUUACACUUCCACUCAUUAAAUGACCAUCUAAUAAUAAUACAUAUUUAUGUUUCAUAGAUGUUAUAGGUAUCUCAGCUCACAUUGGACCGAUAGAAGAAACAAGGACAAACUUCGGAUUUACUAAAAUCCGUGAUAUUGUGCUCCUGAUCGAGUAAUUCUCUUUUCUUUUGUAGAAAACAACUACAAAACUUUCAACAUUUACAUGUAUGUUAUAGAACUUCUGUUGAACUAAAAAAUAUCUUCUACAGUGCCCCUACAAAUAAUUAAUUUCGUAGUUGGAUAUUUAAAAUAUUUAUUAUUCACUUUUAAAUUUGUGGCCAUGAAGUUAAAGUUAGAUUUUGGGGAGACAAAGUUGAGGAAGUUGAUGAUAAGACAAAAUCCCAUGUCAUUGCAAUAACAUCUACAACUGUGAGUAAAUUUGGCAGUAAGUCUUCAUUCAAUAUGAGUUAUUCAAUAUUAGUCAUUCAACAAACUAACCUCGUAAGAAAAAUAAAUAAUUGAUGUUUUAUCAGGGUAUUCUCUAUCGUCAACCAAUGCAACAAAACUUUAUGUAGAUCUACCUAUUCCUGAAACUAAGGAUGCACAUGAUAGGUGAGAAAAAUUAGAUAUUGUUUUUCUAUUUUAAUCUAUGUAGCAUGCACUCUAACAUGAUACAUUCUUUCAUAUGAUAAAAAAAUGUUAGUUCAAUUGAAAAUAUUGUCAAAGAGAUUCAUAUUGAGGACCAUCUAAAAGGGACAUUGGAAGACCAAAUGCAGUACAAUAGAAGAACUUUAGAAGAAUUAAAUUUCAUAUUAUUUGAAACAUCAAAUCAGGUAUGGAUUAGUAUGUUCAUUGUACACUAUACUAUUUAAAGACUUACAUACAUAAUGAUGGUAUUGUUCCUACUUUCAGGAUGAGGUAUUUACUAUUGAAGCAACAAUAAAUGAAAUUAAUGCAACAUAUGGUUGGUUGUCACACCCGAUUUUAAGGACAAAAUUGAGUGCAUUAAAUACAUGUGCACCAGGAUCAAGUUACACACAUCCUAUGAGUACCGUCCUUCUUUGGCACAAAGAUAACCGGUGCUCCCCAUGGUGAUGAACUAGGCCGAAUAAACUAUUUUGCUGAUAAUUCCUCUAGUUGUUGUUUCAAUUCUUUUAAUUGUUCAACCAACAUUCUAUAAGGACGUUUGGAGAUAGGUGCAGUACCAGGUAAAAGAUCAAUAGCAAAUUCAAUGUCGCGGUCAGGUGGCAUACCUGGUAAAUCGUCGGGGAACACAUCCGGAUAGUCACACACCACUUUGAUAUCUUCCAAGGAUUUUCCAGCCAACUGAUUAACUGCACAAUCUGCUGCUGAGGGUAGAGUAGCUACAAACUCCACUUUCUCUCCAUCAGGACCUGUUAGCAGAACUGUCCUCUUGGCACACUGAAUCGUUGCAUCAAAAGCGGCUAACCACCUCAUCCCCAGAAUUACAUCGAUUCCACUGGACUCAAGGACGAUAAGAUCAGCCGGAAACUCUAUACCCAUUAUUCUCAGUUUAACUUGUGGACAGAUGUAUUGAGCCUUCAUUGACCCCCCAGGUGAACUCACUAGCAUAUGACGCCUCAUGGUAUGCAUGGGUAAAUUAUGCUUUGCUACAUAAUGACUAGUGACAAAAGAAUGCGAUGCUCCAGAGUCAAAUAAAACUGAUGCGGGGGCAGAGUUGACAAAGAACAUACCAAGCACUACAUCUGGAGCCUCCUUAGCAGUCUCGGCUUCCAUGUGGUUCACCUUGCCACAAACAAAGCUUUGCUGCCCCUGAUUGCCUUGUGGGGUCUGGUUCCCAUUCCUCGGUUGCUGCAUCUGAUUCUGCCGAGGAGCACUGCUGUUCUGCACGGGGGUAGCUGGCCCACCUCUCUUAGGACAAGAGCUGGCAUAGUGACCAACCUCGCCACACUUGAAGCAGGUAGGACCCACUGGAGCAUUGGGCCUUGUUGGAGUGCCAGUAGGGGUCAUCUGGCGGUUCUGCGUAAAGCUUGGGCGCGGAGUCUGCAUAGUCUGCAUCCCUGGAUGCUGGAACUGAGGGCUAGGGCGCUGGAAUGACUGCUGAGCAGGGCGCGGAAAUGAGUGCUGCCAAAAAUUCCCACUCGGGCCCCCUGCGCGGAACGGCGUCCCUUGCUGUGGAGCAAAGCGAGGGCGGGUGUUGCUUCCUGAAGACUACUGGGAAUUGAAUUUCCUCUUCAUCUCCCCGAGCUCGUUCCUCUUGUGUUCCAGGCCAAUUGCCUUGUCUAGCAUCUUCUGGAAACUGGGGAAGGUGUGCGACAUAAGCUGAUAUUGGAGUGGUCCAAUCAACCCAUCCAAGAAUAGCUCCUGCUUCUGCUCAUCAUCAGCAACAUCUUCGGGAGCAUAUCGGGACAACUGGACAAACUUGUCCCUGUACUCUGCCACUGUCAUGUUCCCCUGCUUGAGAGCAAGGAACUCCUUCUUCUUAAGCUUCAUCAAUCCGGAAGGAAUAUGAUGACUUCUGAAGCUAGUCCUGAAUUCAUCCCAGGUGAUGCCAUUAGCAUUGGCAUGGGUGGUGGUGUAAGCAUCCCACCAAUCAGCAGCUGGCCCUUCCAGGCGUCCUGAAGCAUACAGGACCUUCUCCCUGUCAGUACAUUGGGCGAUAUCCAGCAUCUUCUCCACUGUUUUCAGCCAAUCAUCAGCAUCUAAUGGAUCCGGAGAAUGUGAAAACGUCGGGGGCUUGUGGCUCAUGAACUCCCUAUGCCUGUCCCUUGGCGGCGGCUGCUGCUGGUUGUUGUUGUUGUUAUUGUUCAGCUGAGCUUGUAAAGCUGCCACGGUGUUGGUCAGUCCGGCGAGAAGCUGAGUCUGAGCUGCUAGAAACUGCUCCAUCCCUGCAGGUGCUUGUUGGUUCUGUUGCGGAGCGGUGUUGGGAUUGCUGCUGUUGUCCCUGUGGCGUGGCACUGUGGGACGGUCAACUCCUGAUCCGGACCUGGUGUUUACCAUCUGAGCGUUAGAGACAAUGGAUUUAGAUAGAUGUGUGAAAGAAUAACUGAGAAAGAUAAAGCGACCAGAUGUAAAAGUAACACAGAUUCUGUUAGCUCCAUUUAAUUAGGUGUGGUCGUCAGAAGAAGUGUCCAUAAAUUCUGAACAAUUACCAAGUCGUAACUUAUUAAAUUUGUAAACCAACCCAACUGGAAUCAUCUCAAUCGGACUUCUGGAUCUCGAGUUACAAAAUUAACAAGCUGACAGUGUCGGUCGAUAGGUUCAGAUUCUGAGUGCUUUACUAAUUCGCAUACACCUCCCAGACAGAUACACCAAAAAUUCUGAAAAAUUUACAGAUAGUACUCCACGAAAUUCUGAAACUAACCCCACUGGUUUCAUGUCAUUUGGACUUCUGUAGCUAGAGAUAUAAAUAAAAAAGUACUGGCGUGUCAGUUAAUGUCGAGAACAGAAUUGAAUGUCGCUUAGCUUGCGUGAUGGAUAGAUUUAGACAGAUGGUAGAUCAUGAUUAAGGAAGAUUAAAUACUGAUUUAGAACAGAAAUAAAACCCAACUAAGCACUUUAUUUAUUAAGACCAGUAUCGUGUGGCAAUUGCCCCACAUACCGCACUCAUUACAAAAUCCAACUCAAACAUGUAGCACAAAACCAAUCAUCUAAGCACACUUUAACUAACACACUCGAACGACGUCUAACGAUUACAAGAAUUUAAACUAAAACACUCCUAAUUUCCUAGAGGUCUUCUGCGGCGGUGCCGGGCGAGUCGUAGCGGGGACGCUUAGGCGACGGCGACGAAGCGGGAUGAACAGCAAACUCCUGCGGCGGCGGUGCUCCCGUCGCGGCAGCCAUAUUCGCAUCCCUCUCCCACCGGAGUUCCUGAACCUCCUGUUGAAGCUCCUGGAUGUGGUUGUUUGCUUCAUUCAAUGCGGUGAGAGCUGCCGACGUGUACUUGCGGAGGAAGUCUGUAGCCAUGUCAACCCCAUCGUUAGUAGCGAUGAAGGUUCUUGCUUCCCCACUAGCUCGGUAAGGAAGGAACCGAUGGUAAGUGUGCUGCAAUCGCGGCCGUUCCUUGUGGGAGACGACCUCAAGUGCCCUCCUGGCGGCCUCGGCAAUGCCGGAUUCCAUGGUCCUCCUUAUGGUCACAUCAUGGUGAAAAGCCUUCACCUCCCAUCCUCCCUCGUGCUCCUCACGAAGGACAACCUUCACCUCCCAAAAAGUGGGAUAGCGAGGGUGGGUGAACCGGGAGCACUUGUAGAGUGGCCUCAUGCCGUACCCCAAGCGGUGACAAGUCCACCUGAGUAUGUCGGCCAUGUGCACUCCUUGGCCAUAAUCUUCCUUCACCCAUUUGAUCCAUGUCUCGGGCUCGGGAUCUGCUUCGGGCUCAUCAUCCGUCAAGUCGACGACCGGUACGGGCGUCGGGGCUGGUGCAGGAGCGGGCGCCGGUGCUGGCGACGGUGCUGGUGACGGCGUGGUCUCCUGCUCCACGGUCACGGCGUCCCCGUCAGAGUCAUCCCCCGGAUGCUGGAAGAUCUCUUCCUCUUCUUCCUCGUCCCAAGGCUCCAUGGGGGCGUACGACGGCGCGAUGCCAUGACGCGGCGGACGGGUGCUCUUGCGUGCGGUCAACCGGGUGCGAGCCAUCUAACAGAAAGAAAGAAGAAAAUUUUAGAAUAAAAUUUUGAACAAAGCUAGAUAAUAAAAUAGCAAUAAGGAUGAGACAAAUCAAGUUUAAGAAUAAUUAAGUAGAUUUAAAUUAAGAAAGGUAGGAAUGGCUACUAGAUUAUUAUAAUCCUUAAAUACGACCAUUUUCUAACUAGGCUAACGUCCUACAGUCAACACGGCUCUGGUACCACUUUUGUCACACCCGAUUUUAAGGACAAAAUCGAGUGCAUUAAAUACAUGUGCGCCAGGAUCAAGUUACACACAUGUACGACAAUAGUGAAUAGUAAAGCCAGUGCUAAAUCGAAUAAAGAGAGUAUUAACCAUUAUUACAUGACCGAAUGUCUCAAAUAAACCACAAAGUCUAAUUAUUACGCAGCGGAACUCCAAAGAUGACGACGACUCCAUAGGCAGCUGACUGAAGAAACGUACGCCUAGAACUCCUCGAAGUCGUGGAAGUACUCCUCUUCCCAAUUAACUUGGUCUGAACAGCGGUUUUGCAAGGGUGAGUACACUUAUGGUUGGUACUCAACAAGUCGUGGGAAGUAGUGUAGUGUAAGGCUAAUUCAAGGUAUGGCUAAGGCGUAAAUAGCAUUCGCUUUUAAUUAAGUUGGUCAAAUUUUAUUAGCAUUUACUAAGUAUAAGUUCAUACCACCCGAAAUUAAACAUGAACAUAAAGUAAACCACAUGUGCAUGAAAUGAUAACAAAUUAAAUCCAUCUUCCGAUAAUAUUAUCAUGUGAGGGUCCAGGCCGCUCUUAACCGUGAGCACGGCUGAUUGAUCAGUUUAACACUCUGCAGAGGUGGCACAUCUUUACCCACAAGUCGCGUAAAAGUUCAAAAGAACUUUGGACCCAACCAUGCGGUGUUUGCAAGGCACCAUACCACACUUCCGAGGUGUGAUUGCAUAGGGACGCUACGAGGCCUUUACAAAGAUUCAUUAAUCAGUGGUAACCCGCUAAGGUUUCGGUGUCUGGCGUGCACCACCCAUCCCAGGUAAAAUGCAACGACUCAGUCCCCCCCCUUGAAUCAUCACGAGUAAGGUCACCCCAGACUAAGGUUUCUAAUUAAUCAGCCAAGACCAGAGCUAUUUAGUCUUGUGGUAGCACUGUUUUCCUGGGUGGUCGCUCCAUGUUCUGAUUAACAAAUAAUGAUCUUGUCUUAAUGAAAGGUAUAACAGAAAUAAGGCAAGAUUAAGCAUUGUUUUUAGUUAAACCACCAUGUACCAAGUAAGCACUAAGCAUGAGCUACCCAACAUAAAGUAAACCGGUUGGUCAAGGCAAAGGUAAAACAAUCUAGGCCAACCUUAAUUGGGACCCAUCAAUUUAAUCUUAAUAUGUGCACAGCAUAAAUGUUGAGUACGAGAAAGUAAAGGUGUAUAGGACAAAAAGGUAGUGAUCAAGGACACGACUUGCCUUCUUGGCCUUGCUCCUGCUGUUCGUACUCCUCGAAGGCUUGAUCGGCAACUCCCUCGAACUGCGGGGCGUCUACACGCAUCACACGAGCACAUACAAGCAAACAUGGGCAAAAGUAAGAAAACAGUAUACCAAACAUAGUCAAACAGAGAAAACAAGCUUGAAAAGAUGAUCUACGCUUUAAAACGAACACGCGGAUAUAAAGAACGCGAAAAACGGAGUUAAGAUGCAAAAGAUAUGAUUAAAACAAAAUCCAGGGACUUUUCUGUAAGAAAAACAAAACUUUUAGGGCCUAUCCGCGAAAACCGAGGGCUUAUACGUAAUUAUGCGUAUAAACCGAGGGUCUGAUGCGUAAAAACAUCAAACCCGGACGGCGGGUUGAUUUCUGGAAAGGUCAAGGGUUAAACCGAAAAAUGCGAGGGCAGAUCUGUAAAUACUUUCAACGCGAUCUGGACCGCGGGUUGAUUUGCGAAAAAGGCGGGGGCUAAAGUGCAAAAACUGCACGGCGCGGCUCGGUUGACCGGUACGCGAUCUUGAUUGACUCGCGUCCGGCCGUCGGAUUAAGAUCCGACGGUCGCGGUGAUCCGCGACAUCGCGGCGGCGGCGGCGAGCGGCGGCGAGCGGCGGCAAGCGGCGGCGGGUCGCCGGAGUUAGGCAAAAUAGCGCCACGAGGCACGGUUUAACGCGCGGGUUGCACCAAAAAAGAGAGGGGAACACGUCGAUCCCGUUUUGGGGGUUCUUGUCGACGGGGGCUCACCGGCGACGGCGAACGGCGGCGAGGAAGAGGCGGCGGCGCUAGGAGCUCGGGCGGCUAGGGUUUCGGGGAGCUGCGGCGCUGGUUUUGGGCGGAGGAGACUGGGAGGAGGCGGCGGCUUUUAUAGGGCUUGGAGAUAGAGCCGGCGCGGGUUCAAAUCCCCCGGAGGAGUCGGAGCGGAUGGAGUCCGGGGCGGAGACGGCGCGCGGCGGUUGCGGAGUUCUGACCGGAUUCGGCCGGAGGUGGGAGACGAUGGGUGGGGUCCACCCGUCAGUGGCGGAGGGGAGCGGUAGACGGGCCGGCGCGACCGUGGGCUGGCGCGCGCUCGUGGGCUGCGGGGAGCGGGAGAGAAGCGGCGAGCGGGCGCUGGCGGAGCAGGCCGAGCGGAGGUAGAGCUGGGCCGCGGAGAAAAAGGAGGAGGCCGGCGGGCUGCUUCGCAGGCCGGUAAGGAUGAGGCGGCCGGGCCGAAGAAGAAAAAGAAAAGGAGGGACAAGGAGCUUUCGGCCGAGGGAAAAGAAGAAGAAAAAGAAAAGGAAGAAGAAAAGGGAAAAGGUUUUGGAAUUUGAAUUUAAAUCUGAAAUUCAAAAUUUGAUUCAAACUCAAGCAACCAAAAAUUAUGCUCCAGCAUGAAUGCACAAAUAAUUCCUAUGAUGAAUUAAUUGAAUUAAAGAAAAUGAAUUUAAAUGCCUAGAAAUUAAAUAACACCCUAAUUUGAGCAAAUUUUAAUGAAUUUGAAUUAUUGAAAUUUUGGGUGUUACAUUGGUACUACAUCUCAUGUAGUAGAGGCGAUUGUAAGAAGCAACUUGAAAAGAAGUUUGAUCACUACUAUUGCAAUAAAUGUGACAAGAGAGCCGAACCUAAAGCCCAGUAAAUUAUUUAGUAGUUUACAAUCUUAUUAUAAUACUUCUAUUUCUAAUAGGAGAAUAAUAUUUUCAGAUUCAAAUUAAGCUUCAAAUAAGUGAUCCAACAACAAGUGCAACUUGUGUACUUUUGACAAGGAAGCAGAAAUGAUAAUUAAUGAAUGAGCAGAUUCGAUGAUCACCUCAGUUGAUCAUGAUAAUAAGUAGCUACCAAAAUCAAUUCAGGAAAUAUGUGAAGAAACAUUGAUUUCUCAAUUCAGAUUGACCGAGUACAACUUGACAAGUUUUAGACCUGAUUAUACUGUUUCAAAGAUAUUUUUUCCAAAAGAAAAGGGCAGUUCAAGAAUUGGUAUGGAAAGUGUAAAAAAGGUAACACUUUAUUAUUAAUUUUUUAUUGCACUUUUUUCUUUUGAAUCCGUAAUACUUAAUAAUUUUACUAUAUCAAUGAAACAAAUUCUAACCUAAAUUUAUUUUCUUUUUUAUUAUUUGUAGGAAGUAGAAGACAACUCAGACAAAUGCUACACGAUAACUACCGAGAAUGAAGAGGUAGACACUGAUGACUCUUUUACCGAGAAAGUAACAUUCGUAGAAGAAGCCAUAAGGACUGGGGAAAGAUUGGCUAGAAAAGUAUACUCACUUCCAUGUCAGUGUUCAUUCUAUUUACAAUACAUGCAAAAAAAAUAUUAUUCAUGCAAAAUUGCAGGUCUACUAAGCAUUAAAGGAAUAGCGGAUAGUGCAAUAUGUAAUCUGAGCAGCAUGCAUUACAAAGUGCUCUACUGCAAUUAAAUUAAAAAACAUGAUAUAUGUUGAAUUCUUAGACUUUAUUAUUAUACUUUUCUACGUGACAAUUCACAAUUUUUUAGAAAAAAGAAGAUCCCAGAAGAAGUGACCAUGAAAAAAGGUCUAUGACCAGCAAUAAGAAAAAAUGCAAGCAUAGAAACAAAUCCGUAGAAAACAUAGAAAAUAAGGUACUCCAUAAACAAAAGUAUUCUCUUAUAUUUUUAUUAAAUAUUUUUUUAACACUUGACAAGUUCUUUUUUAGGAUCAAUAUAUCAGCAAUUCAGAUGUCAUUGGAGAUGAAACCUUAGUUCAUCCAAAAGGUCAAAAAAAAACAUCUGAAGAAAGGUGUUUGGCUGAAAAGGAAAAGCAAAAAAGUGGUAAUGCAGACAAACACAUGCAGAAAAAUAUAAAAACAUGUCAUAGGGAGGCAGACCAAUCUUGCAAGGAGGUAUAGACGAAACGUGAUACACGACCUGCCUACCUUGUCGUGGAUACCCCAAGAAGAUGUCAUAGAGGUGCAGACCAAGCUAGCAAGGAGGUCGAAACGUGAUACACGGCCUGCCUACCUUGCCGUGGAUAUUAGCCCUGAGAUCAUUCUACUGUUCAAGGAAUAACACUCAAUGCUGCUGCUGCUGCUGACCUGGCUCCAUAAAGUUAUACUCCUCUAGGUGCUUGCACUAACUUUAUCUGAAGUAUUAUUCUCUCUGCACUGUAUAUAUGGUUAUGGAGUUUGCUGGAGUAUCCGGGGCGAAGAACCUACAUAAUACGUCUUGGAACUAAUUGACAUUGAUUCACAGACAAACUCUACAAGGUGCUGUUCUUGCCAUUUUAGAGCAUCCAAAGGACUAUAAAUAACAUAGUUUACCAUAUACCAUAUACCAUAUACCAUAAUAUGUUAGCUAAAAUAAGAGCAUACACAUGUUGCAGGAGUCCAAAAGCACCGGUUGAGGACCAGGUACAUUGAAUUACUAGAAAAAGACAGGGGACAAGGUUUAGGUAACCACAUGAAACAUUUGAAUUUAUUGUACUAUGAACACUUAGUUACCAUGCCAGGAGCACAUAGUUAACACUAACAUUUAGCCACUUUAGAUCAUCCCGAAUCACCAAUGACCCUCAAUAGUGACAAAUUUUGGUUUAAAUGCCAUCACCAAUGAUCCUCAAUAGUGACGUAUUUAGGUUUAAAUCCCGUCACUAAUAACCCUCAAUAGUGACCUGUUUUGGUUUAAAUCUCAUUACCACUGAUCCUCAAUAGUGAUGUGUUUUAGCAAAACAUGUUAUCAAUGACUUGUCAUUGGUGACGUGUUAAAACGCGUUAUCUCAAUGGCAAAUCAUUGGUGACGUGUUAUCUCAAUGUUAUCAAUGUUCUAUUCUUUUCAACAAUACCAGCUCGUUCCUCCGUUUUUAUUCCACCAAUACAAGCACCACCUUGUAACAUUUCCUAUGUUUUUUUUCCUUUUGUCUGUUUUCUCACUACAUGCGUUGCUCUUUCAUGCAUUUUUUUCCAUUCCUGUAUUCCAAAUAGGUCUACAUGAACACAAAAUGAACUAGGGGACAGAAAAAGCCAGUGAAGCCAAUUUUGAGCUUCACCAGCUACUUGCUACAUAAAGUGUGCUAUAGUGACGUGUUUUAGCAAAACAUGUUAUCAAUGACUUGUCAUUGGUGACGUGUUAAAACGCGUUAUCUCACUGGCAAAUCAUUGGUGACGUGUUUUAAAAAAACAUGUCACCGUGAGAGUCAUUGGUGAAGGGUAAUUAAAAUGCGUCACUAAUGUUGUAGCAUUAGUUAUGAUAAUUUAGUAACGCAAAAAUCUACCAUCAGUAUUGAGCUUUAGAGCCAUCGCUAAUGUGGGUUUCUUACAUAGUGAUGCAAGCUCUACAAGGUGCUGUUGCUGCCAUUUUAAAGCAUCCCAUGACUACAUGUUAAUAACAUAGUUUACCAUAUAUCAUAAAAAUAUUAGUUACAAUAAGCACAUACGCAUGUGGAAGAGUCCGAAUGCACCGGUUGAGGACUAAACACAUUGAAUUACUAGAACCAAAUGUAUGUUUAGAACAAAGACAGGGGUCAAGGUUUGGGUAACCGCAUUAAAAACAUUGGAUUUUACUGUACAUGAACACUUAGUUACCAUUACCAUGCCUUGAGCACCUAGUUACAACAAACAUUAAUUUAGCCACUUUAGAGCUUCCAGAAUCGCUAUAAAUAAUAUACCUACGCCGUACCAUGAAAACAUCAAGAAGAGAGACGGAUACAUGGACCACCAUCAAGCGAGUAGUGACAGCACGCACAAGAAUACCCGGAACCUGUUAGCUUGUCUGUAGUGAUCUGUUUUCUUCCCCAUAAAAUCCAUGAGUAUUGCCACAAAUAAUGAAAGAGGCUGACCAAGCUAGCAAGGAGGUAGAGCAAACGUGAUACACGGCCUGCCAAGAUUGCCCUGGAUACGCCAAUAAGAGCGACAGAUACAUGGAUCACACCAAUAUGGUGAAACGUAUAUUCAUCACACAAGCAAAGCUGGUCAGUUUAUCCAUGGUCAAAUUGUGGUCUUUGUUUUCACUUGAGAGCUAAUUGAGGCACUAUAAUAUGGGCAGGCCUAUCUUCAACAGACAUGACAGCUACAGGGAACUUGACAUAAUUUGCUGGGCCGCCUGUGCACAAUUAUUUGUUUUAUUGUCCUUGCAUAGAAUGCUAAAAUACUCUUUACAAAAUGUUGGAUCUAAUAUUUGAAAUAUAGAGUAGUAAUCAUAUAUUGAUCAACAACUUGAAAUUAUCUGUACAUUCUCGGUGAAGCUGUUGAACUAAUUUUUGCAAAUUAUUAAUUCAUCUCAUUACGUAAAGAAAAAAGUAAGUGGAUAAGAUAUUUCGUGGACCACAUCACUGCAAACAUGUCAUGGAGAGACAGACCAAGGAGGCAGGACGUGAUACACGACUUACCCUAGGUUGCCGUGGAACCGCCAAGAAGAGAUACAGAUACAUGGACCACACCAUCUUGGGAGUAGUGACAGCAUAUAUGCAGAAGAAUACCCCGUGCCUAUUUGCAUGCAUGUCUCAAGUGAUCUGUUUUCUUCAGAAAAUACAUGAGCAUUGCCAGAAAGAAUGGCAAGAGACAAACAUGUCAUAGAGACUUGCAUGUCUUGCCUUGGAUACGCCAAGAAGAGGGACACAUACAUGGAUAACACAAAUCUAGUGACACGUAUAUUCAUCACAAAGGCAAAUCUGAUAAUUUUAUCCAUGGAGCAGACCAAGGAGAAAUUGAUGACGGACAUGUGAUCUCUGUAUUCAGUUGAAAGCUAAUUGAGCUACACUAAUAUGAGCAGGACUAUAUUCAAGAGACUUGUUGAGAGCUACAGGGAACUUGUAAUAAUUUGCUGGGCGGCCUGCGCACAAUGAUUUGUUAUACAUAGUUGAAAUAUUUCAAGAAUUUAUCAACCUCAUACUCUGAAACCCUUGGUGCAAUGUACUCUGCUUUCCGAGGUAGACUGUUCACGUAAAAUGAGGUCAUGCGUAAGACGGAAUCGGAUUGGAUUCACAGGGAAUCAGAUUUGGAUAGCACCUUUUAGCAGGUUUUUAGUCAAAUGCAAAUUCGGAUCCACAUGUGGUUGAAUGCGAGUUCAAAAUUCUACUUGGAUAUCCAUUUAAUUUAGGUGAUAGCAAUUAGCACAAAAUGUUGGAUGAACAAAAUCAUAGUUAGACAUACAAUUACAUGUAUGGUUAAAGUAUAAUACAAUACACCAAGAUUAUUCCUUGAAAAUAUUUCUUAAAAAUAUUAUAAUAAAUGAAUAAAUAUAAUUGUGGCCACCAACAAAUAGUCGGUGGUCGCUAAGUUGGAGCCAUUUCUGGUUACUAAUGCGGCCUUCUCCUCGACCAGCGACGACAGCUGAGCUUGUUCCUUCUGACACUAAAUCAUCAGAGUCUUCCCUCCACUACUAUAGAAUGCACCUUUAGCACCAAUUGGGAAAUCCCCUUCAGUAUUGGAUGCUGCAACCAGUGCUAUAUAUCAAAAUGGAGACUAAAAGCCUCGGUCUUGGGUACCGGUUGCAUAACGCAUUACUAAAGGAGGCAAAAGAGAAAUGUAACAAAAAAAAUAUUUUGAAUUCCAAGAAUGUUUCACUAUUCAAGAUGACUAGCUGAGAGUCAACAGACAAGAUACUAGGAAUGUGGGUGCUUGAAUGCAUUUGUACAGAGGUCAUACUAUUUACAAACUCUUCUAUGUUUCCAUAUGACUACCUACUUCAAUGUCACGCGAGCCAUUCAGCUGGACACAUGGCACACUAGCUUGCAUGUCGAAUCCAUGAUUAAUUAUUUGCACUUGUGAUCUCUUACCAGUAUUUGUCCAGACUAGAAACGUGCAACACAUUUUUAGGAUAUGGACACGCAUAUAUUUGGACUAGUAUACAGGUCACCUUUGGAUGCGUACAAGGAUGACCGGGAGGGACUAAUGGAUACAAGGAAGGGACCAUCAGGAUUAAUAUUGACAUAUGCCACAUGACAAUCUUCAUUGUCAUGCAAUCCCUAUCAACAAUCAUGGAAUCCCUAGUGUACUAAUCCCUGGAGGGUUGUGUGGAAAUUUAUUUUACCUUGCGGUGAAAAUCUCAUGAGCAGUCAUUAGUUAAGCUGACUAGCUGAGAUAUAAUAGACAAGCUAGUAAGAUUGGGAGCAUCAAUGCAUCCAUACAGGGUCACAAUAUCCUUUCCAUUCACUUUUAUAUAUAACCCUACGAAUACAAGUCCAACGAAAUGCGGGCCUUUCGAUCAAGAUAAAUUAAAUGGCCCACUUGUAUUUCUAAUCCAGGAUUAACUAUGCCCUCUGUUCAUCUCUUGCAAGCACGUGCAACACAUUUUCACGAUAUGGACAUGCAUGGAGGUUAUUAUACUGUUUGGACAAACUCUGAUGUGCCAUGACCUAAAUGCUUAGGGCCUGUUUGGUUUGAGUUGCUUAUUAUAAGCAACUUAAAGUUGCUUAAAGUUGCUUAUUUGAAGUUGCUUAUUUUUAGUCUAAACUGUUUGGAUACCCUUGCUUAUGAGCAUUGAAUGAGUUGGACAUUGUCAAAUUUGCCCCAUGUGUUGCUACCCCUCCAAUUUGCCUCCCCACCCUUCUUCUUCCUGCACACGUCCGAUCCCGGGGGCCGACGGCGGGCAGGGAGCAGCAGCAGCUGGCCAGGGCGGCGGUGGGGCGGGAGCGGCGGCGCACACCAGCACGCGCUCGCACGCCAGGUGCUAGGGCGCGGCGAGGCAGUCGUCGUAGCCCACCGGGAGCGGGUGCUCGGGCGCGAGGCGGUACUCGACGGAGAUGCCGAGCGUCGGGCGCGCGGCGGCGAGCGCGUUGAGGAAGCGAUGGUAGUGCGGCGACGUCGCGGACUCCGCCACGAAGCCGCCGCCGUGGACGUACACCACCACGGGCAGCUUCGUCUUGCCGUCGGCGGCCGCGGCCGCGGCCUGGGGUGGCAGGUAGAGGCGGACGGAGCAGGAGCCGAGGUCGACGUCCCUGGAGUCGACGCCCGUGGCGGCGUCCAGGCUGGGCCCGACCGGCGGCGGCACGAGCGGGCGCUCGAUGCGGCCGCUCUUGUAAAUCCGACGGGUCUGUGCGGAGGCGGGCGGCGGGCGGGAGCGGCGGGUGGGAGCGGCGGCAGGUGGUGCGGAGGCCGGCGGCGGCGGGUGGCGCGGAGGAAGGGGAGCUGGUGAGUGGUGACAGGGGAGGGGGGGAGAGAGAGGGGGGGUAGGGUGCAUUGAAUGAGGGCAGGAGGUGUAAAGUGCACCUUUUAGUCCCCAUGAGCAACCAUAAGCAGCCCAAGAGUUGCUUAUUUGCUUAUAAUAAGCAACCUCAUAAGCAAGAGUGAUUGGUUUCAUAAGCAACUUAUUUGCUUAUUUUAAGUUGCUUAUGCAUAAGCAUGUGAAACCAAGCAGGUCCUUAACCUAUGGUUGUGGCACCACACAGUACAUAGUAUUUAAUAAUGCUAUUCGUUUGGUAUGUGCACAAGGGCACGCAUGAAAUGUCUGGCCCACGGUAAACAAGUACGGACGCUGCAAAUAAUCUACUCUGCUCGUCCAGUCCCUAGCCUAUAAAUAGAUGCCAUGCUAGCUCUUGUUGUGCUCACAAUUAAUCCUGACUACACACGAGCUUCUCUCCCUGGCCAAGACACAAUCAUAGUAUGAUGAAGAACAUGGCACUAGCCGGCAAUGGUAUGAAGAACUUAAUCCUCGCUGUUCUCUUACUGUGUCUAGUUAUAGGGCAGAUACAAGUGGAAGCUAAGAGCUGCUGCCCAUCCAUUACUGCAAGAAAUAUCUACAAUGCCUGCCGUAUCACGGGUACAUCCCGUCCAACGUGUGCAAAACUGUCAGGCUGCAAAAUUAUCAGCGGGGACAAAUGCAAGCCCCCUAACGACCACCUCACCCUUGACCCGGACACUGGUAAAUAAUAAAUUUAUCUCACUUGAUUUCUUCGUGUUUUGAGUCGUUAAUGUAUUUUCCAUCUGAUGAAACGUAUUGGUUUUGCAUUGAAGAGGAAGUUAAUGUGCUUAACUUCUGCAAGUUGGGGUGUGCGUCGUCUGUGUGCAACAACAUCAACGCUGGUAAGCACCUUUUGCUCAGACGGAGAAAACAAUAAUCAUUAAUUAGCGGCAGCUAGAAUCCUAUAAUCUAAUAUAUUUAUAUAUAUAUAUAAUUUUAUCAGCUCUGGGAAAUGAAGAGGCGAACGAUGCCGUUGAGAGUUGCGACCAAGCCUGCUCUAGCUUCUGCAACGUGCACGUUGGCGCUGCCACCGUGGUUGCUUAAGCAAAUGCAUCCAACUGGAUCGUCCUUGUGCUAAAUAAUUGGAUAUCGUAUCCACUUAAAGCUGCCUUGUGUAGUACGUUUUUGUUUGUGUCUCUCUUUAUAUUCCAAUAAGGUCGGUGAUCUUGAUGCCACACACUCAGACGUGUGUUCAUCUCCAGAUACUACUCCAUGCUACCUGCCCUUUGUGUUUUGUUCAAUAACUGGGUAUCAUAUCCCAGCCAGUGUGCCAUCUGUUUUGUGUUUAUUUCCUUCUAGUUUCAAAGGGGUUAUCAUGAUGUUACCUUCUUUCGAUAUGGUGCUUUGCAUGACUACUGUUGUAUGGUACCAUCUUGUUGGCCAAUAAAUACAUCUUAUCCUAUGACCCUUUGCUAUGACCCUUUGCAAAUAAGUACAAGAUUGUUAAAUACUCGGUAUAAAUUGACUACUGCUGUGAGUUCCCUUUCAGCUUAUCGUAGGCAUACAUUAUUGCUAGCACGGUGAAGACAACCAACACGAAUGGUCAAGUAAACGUACCGGUACUUUUGUAUACCAACACCCUUGCUUAAAUGUACCGGUGUUACUCCCCACUAGCACAUAUAUUCUUAUAUGCUAGCCGGCUUGAAAAUUAACCGAUUAAAAUAAUUAUUUCAAGACAGAAAUAACUUAUCGGCUUCUCGAAGCAUGUGUAAUGUGAAUUCAAGGACUUGAUGGAAGUUGAAUCGCUUAAUCUAGAUUGCUUUCAGGAUUUUGGGUAACUAAAUUUAACAUUUGCACAUACAAAUGUUAAUGUACAAAUAUUAAAUAUAGUUACCCAAGCAGAAUAUGAAGAUACUCUAUAGUAUAUAUAUACUAUAUAAAUCUAGUUAACAUUUAGUCUAAAUGUUAAAUCUAGUUACCUAAAAUCCUGAAAGCAAAAUGUAUAAAUAUAUAUCUUUUAAGGAAUCCCAAAGCAAGAGUUCAGUGGCAUUCUAUAGUCCCAUGCUGCUAGUUUGAGUUGGUCGAAGCCAACUUAAAUAGGAGAGCUCUCUCACUUCUCUAAAUACGUAACUGAAGGAGAGAAGGGGGCUUGGUUACACAACGCACGCACGCACGCAUAUUUGCGUUCUUUUCGCGUAACCAACCGCGUGACUUGAAACUUGCGACGUAGCGUGCUGCCAAGUCAAGUUGAUAUAACCUUUUUGCCGUAGGCGUGUAAUCUUUUGACAACGGUCAUUGGAGGUGAUAAGCACGCAGUCAAUACCUUAAUCCUGAGUUAAUAGGGCGGUUACUACUGCCAAUUAGUGGGGCAAUUUUGUAGGGGAAACGGUUAGCAGAGGGCUACCAUCUUCUCUAUAAGAAGUUCUGGAGACGUCCAGGAACACACAUGUACAUGUGAGAGACCCACGAAUUCCUUCCCAUCUCCCUUUUCCAUCUGGUGAAGUGUGCUAUGGUACUGAGCUGCUGGAUCUCGCCGGCUCUUCUCCUUGGCGUGCACCGAGGAGGAGGGUGAGCGGUAUCUCCGAGCUAUUGCCGUCAGGAAGCCUGCACGAGGGACAACAAUAAAGUUUUUGGGUAGCGCAACUACGCAACCGCUCGAUUCGAUCGACUAUGUUCUGCGCUGCCUCAUCUUCGAUCUGCACUGCAACACGUAACCCUGCAGCAAGUCUACACAAGGACGGAGCACUAAUCUGUAAGUCCUAGAUUGGUUUCUUACAGAGUUGUAGGUUACACAAGAUCUAGAAUUGUUACAUACUUAUUAUUAUGGGUUACAUGAUGUUUUGUACGGUUACGUCUAUUUUGCAUAUGCUAUUUUUACAUACCGUUUACAUGCAUAUGUAAUGGUUACGCCUAGCUAUUUGAAUCUAGAAUUGGGUUACAUAGCAGUAGCAAUGACUUACGUAAUAUGCCUCAUGUUUAUAUCUGGUAGAAUUUAACACGUAUCUCCAACAUAUUUUGAGGCAGUAUAAAUUUCAAUUCCUUUUGCUGCUCUGUUAAAUCCCGUCUUUCGUGUGGCCCAACACUCUAGUAUGCAUGUAGCACCAAGCUUGUUUGAGCCGCUUUGUGCUCUGAUUUUGCUGUCUGUAUCAGGUUGGACUGUUUCUUUGUCUUGCGAUGUAUAGCUUCAUAUCUUCUAGAGGUUAGACAGCAAAACCCGCGUUCUCUUAAGGCAACAACUCGAAGAAUCUGCAGCGCUCCUGAUAUAUCACUGCUGCAGAAACAAUCUUUAGUACUGAUUUCCAACCCCCUUUAGUAUCGGUUUGGCAAUCAGUACCACUACGUCGGUACUAAAGGGAGUUCUCUAGAAUCGGGUCAAAUAACUGGUACUAAAAGUGCUCCUCUACUACCAGUUGGUAACACCAAUAGGUAGUAACUUUUUUUGCACCCAAAAAAUUAAAGAAAAACAGCCGGGAGGCUCGCGCACACACGCAUCAUGAGUAAUAUGCGCGUGCAUGGUUUGUGGGAUUCCAACCCACGACCAAGCUAUAAGCACGUAGUUACAAAAAAAUUAAACACUUAGACAUUUUAGAGCAUCCCAAAUAACUACAAAUUCUUUAGUUUACCAUAUACCAUAAAAUAUUAGUUAAAAUAAGAGCAUACGCACGUCGGAAGAGUCCCAAUGCACCGGUUGAGGAUCAGACCAGGCACUUUGAAUGCACAUGCCAUAAGAUAAUUCUGCAGGACGAUGAUUGCAAUAAUGGACCAUCGAGAAGAUAGGGGCGAUGGGGUUGCCUCAUCAAUUAUGACUUGGCGCAACAAGACCAGCAAAGUCUUUAUCGACAGGGGUGGAUCAAGGGGUGGGGCGGGUAGAGCUCCAAUCUUCCUACCGCCGCUCGAACAAUGGAGCCCCCCUUAGCCCCUCCAUAAAUUUUUAGGUAGAAGAAAAAAGAAGAGAAGGGAAGGAAGGGGAAGAAUAGGGAGCCCCUCCUAAGUAGGUCGCCAUCGUGCUUCCCAACGCAUGAUCGCCGCACCGCAUCCAUUCCUCUACAAGCCUCCAGCGUCUCUCCUGCCGCUACCUCUGAACCAUGUGCAGCUGCAGACCCAACUAGUGUCUUGUCACCCAUCUCAAUCCCAACAGAGCGGCGGCUCCUGCCAGCACAAAUCUCCCUCCGCCUGUUCUUCACGAUCGAUGGCCACCACAAGCAUAAACCUCGCCUUCGCAUCCACGCAAAAGGGUCGCCGGUGUGCCUUCUCGCAUCGCUUCUCAGCCUCCUUCACUUGCGGCUGGCCAAGAACCGUGCCACCACCUCGGGUGCGCGCCACCGCUCCAGGGCCGCUACCCCAUGCGUGCGGCCGCCGCCGGCCACCACGCGUGUGCAACCGUGUCGCACCGCUUCCCUGCUCUGUGCCACCACUGCUACUGCACCACCAGCUCCACCACCUUGGGCUGGUCGCCAGGGUGACUGAUUGGUGGAUUAUUACUACAAAUAAGUUCCUUAUUAUCUGCAACUACUAUUAACUCAGGGAUACAUGCGUCUUUUGCUUCUCCUGUUAAUAUGUCCUAAAAUAUCUAGAAUGCCUUAUAUUUCUGGACGGAGGAAGUAUUUGAAUAAAAUGAACCAAUUUUAAAAAAUGUGUUGUACACUACUACAGAAAGAACUAUCAGUGUCAAACCCAAAAAUGUCGUCACUGCCAGUUUUGGGCAUCGUUGGUGAAAGGUUGGCGGUGAUGGGUAUCCCCUUCAACAACGGCACUAGAGCUAACAGUGAUUGACAUUAGAAAACGAAAAAGGGGACCCACCUAGCCACCCCUGCAACCCGGCUGGCCGUGCCUCCCGUCAUCCCCACCACCUCGCCUCCCCCGUGACCCCCCGCCGGCGCCCUUGCGCCUAGCCCCCUCGCCUGCCUGGCCGGCCACCCUCGUCACGAGAGAGAGGGGUGCAUGUUGUAUAAUUGCGUGAAUUUUUAAUGUUUAAUUUCAUGUAAGUUUCAUAUAAUAAAUUGUACAAGUUUUAUUGUAUAUAUGAAUUCCAUAUAUAUAUAUUUAUAAUUUAAUGUAUGGUUUCAUGUGUAUAUUUCAAUAAUGUGUAUAUUUAGUAGAUAGCCGAUUUUCUUUUUCUACAAGACAAGGGUUGAUGUAUAAUUACGUGUAUAUGUUUAUUGUACGGGCAAUUAGGACAAGUUUUGUAUAAAUUUCUUUUAUUUCAUGGUUGUUGUAUGGUUUCAUGUAUAUACAUUUAUUGUACUACUUGAGACAAUUUUUAAUUUAAUGUUUCUAUGGUUACAUGUGUGUAUAACUAAUUGUAUUAUUAGUUAAGAUGGGAGCCAAAGAGGAUGAAAGGUAUAUAAUGGAGCAGAUUAUUGCUGGCGGUAGUGGCUCAAACGUUGCAAGAACCUACAUCAAGGGUGAGGGUAGCUAGGUGGACAUGUACCUCAACAUGUCCAGUGAUGGCAAUGACGAUGAGGAGCACGAGCAUGACGUUUAUGAUAGUGCGGAACAAGACAUUGCAGAAUUGGAAGGUUCUAAUGAGGUGUGCUUCAUGUUGAUGAUCUGGUUGGCUUUUUUUCUUUGGUCACACCUUAGUUACCAUAGAACUUCGUCUCGGGAGAAGAUUGGAGGUGCUAUGGUGAUUGGAAUUUUAUUGCCUCCAAAUAUGAUUUCCAUCGAAUCAUAUCCCUUGUAUUUAUCUUCUUUUUAUUUGUGAGAGCAUCUUCUUUAUGCUUGCAAAACAAUUCAAGUGCACAUACUACACCUAGGGUGAUGAUUAGGAGUAGAAACAAUUGCCAACAAACGAACACCACAUCCUAAGAUUCUUAACUUGUGGUAUAAUUAGUCUAGUAAAAAGAAAGAUAAAAACCUAAUGGGUGUACGUGAGUGCAAUGCGUAUAUGCAUAUGAGUGGAAGGCAUAUAAGCAAAGAUAAUAUUUACACAUAGAUCUAAGCACCAUGUUUACAACUAAGUUGCUGAAUUUCUCCAUAGCUAUAGAGAUUAAUGAACCAAGGUCAAAACACCAUGUCUAUCCCAAGAUCAGUAAUUCUUUAUAGCACAAGAAAAAGAAAGCGCAUUGCAAAGUUUAUAAACCAACCAAUGCAGCAUGAAAACAAGAUGAAUAGCUAGCAAGGUUUAUUAAACUGAAUGAUGACGGUCUGCAAGCAAGUUUGAACACCAUCUUUACACAAGAUUGCAAAUGGAAAAUUCCCAUAUGAAGAACUAACAUGGAUAUGAAAUCAUUCAUCAUAAAGCGUAAAGAACAACCAAGCCAACCAUAUGCAAAGCAUGAAUGGAAUGCAAUGAAGGUGCAAGAGAACAUUUUUGGAUGAACCCAUUAUGAUGAUGGCAAAAUGCGCCGUGCCCCCCAGCCCCCGCGGUGAGAUCCCGCCGCUCGCUGCCGCCAGACCCUAUUAGGCCUCCACCGGCAGGUCCACCCACGGUCCCGCGCGACGUGGCAGCCUCUUGGCUCUCGGCGCUCGCGGCACGCCAGUGCUGGCGCAGCCCCACCAGGCGACUACCCUCCCCCCAUAAGGCCUCGGCCCCUCCCCAGCGCCGCCCCCCAACACCAGGACUGCCUGCUGCCCCCCACCGUGAGGUAAUCGAAAUCGACUGCUCAAUCUCUCAAUCUGUUGAUAUGAUGCACACGGUUGCAAAAAUAGAUGUGUCAAAAUAGAUGUUUUGCCAAUUGCUAUAGAUGCAUACGGUUGACAUGAAGUCAAAAAUGACAUUUGGUUCCUUGUAGGCAGUCAAAAAUGAAGAAGUCAAAAAAUAUUGAUCUGAAAUCAAUGUGGGAAAGGGCUAUGAAGACACGCAGGUAGAUUCCCUUGUGAACUUUUUAUGUCGUUCGUCUAAAUAAUUUUUUGCAAUGGGCAUACCCUACUCUGAAAUCCUGGGUCCGCCACUGAUGAUGAUGGUCUAAAAAUAAACCAAGCCUAGAUUAAUUAGCCACAACUGAAAUUAAGCAAAGGUUAAUGUCAUUGACCCUAGCUCUAUCCUAGCUUUUACCAAAGUUCCGGCACAUAUAGUGGUUGGGCCCACUCUCUCUGCUUCCCUCUCUGCUGCAUGCACGCACACGAGCAACGGGAGGCCCGACGAAGCCCAGAAGGGUUCGGCCGAACCAGUAUGAGCGCCGCUCCCUCCCAGCCUUCGCGCAGAUGCUCCUCCAACGUUCCUUGACCCCUCCCUCAGCGUCCCGUUGGGUUUAACAUUGCAGGAGAGGAGUCCCUUUUUUAAAAUCUCAACCACCUCCUCUCCCCAUUCACUCCACUCUCAUCUCCAUCAAACUCACCAAGAUCCGCACCGGAAAUCCCUGCUUACCACCAUGGCUGGCAAAGCCCUCAUCCCUUUCACCAACUUGGGCUUGACCACUGAUCUCGAUGGGGAAAUCACUCUGGCAAAUAUGCGUGUAACACUGCCCCCUUUGCCGAGGGUUAAAGCCAAAACACUCAGCAAAGUGGAUAGUACCCCCCUUUUUACCCGUUUUGUCAUGUAUAACGGACCCCUCUCAAUUCACAAUAGACAUCAUCAUAGGCAUUUAUAAUAAACAAUCACAGGCAUAAUUCACAAUCACCAUUACAAGCAUUAUUCAUAAAUAUCACAGACAUAAUCCAAAGUAAGCAUGAAACAAGCCAUAAAUCCAAGUUCAAGUCACAACUAAGUUUCAUCCAAGUUCAAGUCACAAAUGCAAUGUCUAAAUCCAUGGAGGCCAAGGAGACCACUGCGACAAAUCUUGGUCUUCAUUAUUCGAAGCCGCCGAUUGAUUCUGCACAUAGGAUAGGACAUUCUGAGCUAACAUCUAAAGUUGUCAAAAUUAAAGUAUUCAAUCUUAAGCACAAUGUGUCAAAUGACUCACAGGAGUAGUUGUGGGUGGCUGAGGCGGAGGGAACAGCAUCGAUGGCGGUGGCAAAGAUUGACCCAUGCUCGAAGCAAAAUUCUGCAUGUACUGGAACAUCUGGUCCAUCCUCAUCCGAUUUUCUUCCUCCAUCCUCUGCCGCUCGGCCUCUAACCUCCGCUGAACCAUCUGCUCCAUCCUCGCCGCCAUCUCCUCUUGUUGCUUCCUUGCUGCUUCCACCUGGGCCUACAAUAUUUCAUUGCAAUGUUACAAUGCAAAGCUAAAGUAUAGCAACCAACGAACAAUGAAUGGAAGAGAAAGAACCUGGAGAGCCUCCAUCUGGAACUGUCCAAUGGUUGGUCGUAGCCGUAUCGCCGGGCUCGAGUCCGUGCUCCUUGCUUGGAUCUGGGAGAGAGUGGCAGUAGAGGCCGUGUUGAUUACGCCGUCGCCAAUCCAAUAUCGGCCAUGCUUCUUGCCUCCUCCCACCCUCAUCACGAUUUCUCCAUCAAUAUCCUCAGAGCUUGAAUCGAAGUCUGGCCCGUGAACCUCCCUUGCCAUCACUGUAUAUUCCUUUGCCGAGUGCCCGAGAUAAAGCACUCGGCAAAUAGAAAACACUCGGCAACUUUACUGUUUCCCGUAGUGUCGCUAUUUUUGCAGGUUCUCGACCAGGCCAGUUCUUUGGGCCAACCUAUCAUUCACGACUUAAACAUACGGUGGCUGUAGAAAUGUUCUAUUCUUUUCAACAAUACCAGCUGGUUCCUCCGUUUUUAUUCCACCAAUACAAGCACCACCUUGUAACAUUUCCUAUGUUUUUUUUUCCUUUCGUCUGUUUUCUACAUGCGUUGCUCUUUCAUGCAUUUUUUUCCAUUCCUGUAUUCCAAAUAGGUCUACAUGAACACAAAAUGAACUAGGGGACAGAAAAAGCCAGUGAAGCCAAUUUUGAGCUUCACCAGCUACUUGCUACAUAAAGUGUGCUAUAGUGACGUGUUUUAGCAAAACAUGUUAUCAAUGACUUGACAUUGGUGACGUGUUAAAACGCGUUAUCUCAAUGGCAAAUCAUUGGUGACGUGUUUUAAAAAAACAUGUCACCGUGAGAGUCAUUGGUGAAGGGUAAUUAUAAUGCGUCACUAAUGUUGUAGCAUUAGUUAUGAUAAUUUAGUAACGCAAAAAUCUACCAUCAGUAUUGAGCUUUAGAGCCAUCGCUAAUGUGGGUUUCUUACAUAGUGAUGCAAGCUCUACAAGGUGCUGUUGCUGCCAUUUUAAAGCAUCCCAUGACUACAUGUUAAUAACAUAGUUUACCAUAUAUCAUAAAAAUAUUAGUUACAAUAAGCACAUACGCAUGUGGAAGAGUCCGAAUGCACCGGUUGAGGACUAAACACAUUGAAUUACUAGAACCAAAUGUGUGUUUAGAACAAAGACAGGGGUCAAGGUUUGGGUAACCGCAUUAAAAACAUUGGAUUUUACUGUACAUGAACACUUAGUUACCAUUACCAUGCCUUGAGCACCUAGUUACAACAAACAUUAAUUUAGCCACUUUAGAGCUUCCAGAAUCGCUAUAAAUAAUAUACCUACGCCGUACCAUGAAAACAUCAAGAAGAGAGACGGAUACAUGGACCACCAUCAAGCGAGUAGUGACAGCACGCACAAGAAUACCCGGAACCUGUUAGCUUGUCUGUAGUGAUCUGUUUUCUUCCCCAUAAAAUCCAUGAGUAUUGCCACAAAUAAUGAAAGAGGCUGACCAAGCUAGCAAGGAGGUAGAGCAAACGUGAUACACGGCCUGCCAAGAUUGCCCUGGAUACGCCAAUAAGAGCGACAGAUACAUGGAUCACACCAAUAUGGUGAAACGUAUAUUCAUCACACAAGCAAAGCUGGUCAGUUUAUCCAUGGUCAAAUUGUGGUCUUUGUUUUCACUUGAGAGCUAAUUGAGGCACUAUAAUAUGGGCAGGCCUAUCUUCAACAGACAUGACAGCUACAGGGAACUUGACAUAAUUUGCUGGGCCGCCUGUGCACAAUUAUUUGUUUUAUUGUCCUUGCAUAGAAUGCUAAAAUACUCUUUACAAAAUGUUGGAUCUAAUAUUUGAAAUAUAGAGUAGUAAUCAUAUAUUGAUCAACAACUUGAAAUUAUCUGUACAUUCUCGGUGAAGCUGUUGAACUAAUUUUUGCAAAUUAUUAAUUCAUCUCAUUACGUAAAGAAAAAAGUAAGUGGAUAAGAUAUUUCGUGGACCACAUCACUGCAAACAUGUCAUGGAGAGACAGACCAAGGAGGCAGGACGUGAUACACGACUUACCCUAGGUUGCCGUGGAACCGCCAAGAAGAGAUACAGAUACAUGGACCACACCAUCUUGGGAGUAGUGACAGCAUAUAUGCAGAAGAAUACCCCGUGCCUAUUUGCAUGCAUGUCUCAAGUGAUCUGUUUUCUUCAGAAAAUACAUGAGCAUUGCCAGAAAGAAUGGCAAGAGACAAACAUGUCAUAGAGACUUGCAUGUCUUGCCUUGGAUACGCCAAGAAGAGGGACACAUACAUGGAUAACACAAAUCUAGUGACACGUAUAUUCAUCACAAAGGCAAAUCUGAUAAUUUUAUCCAUGGAGCAGACCAAGGAGAAAUUGAUGACGGACAUGUGAUCUCUGUAUUCAGUUGAAAGCUAAUUGAGCUACACUAAUAUGAGCAGGACUAUAUUCAAGAGACUUGUUGAGAGCUACAGGGAACUUGUAAUAAUUUGCUGGGCGGCCUGCGCACAAUGAUUUGUUAUACAUAGUUGAAAUAUUUCAAGAAUUUAUCAACCUCAUACUCUGAAACCCUUGGUGCAAUGUACUCUGCUUUCCGAGGUAGACUGUUCACGUAAAAUGAGGUCAUGCGUAAGACGGAAUCGGAUUGGAUUCACAGGGAAUCAGAUUUGGAUAGCACCUUUUAGCAGGUUUUUAGUCAAAUGCAAAUUCGGAUCCACAUGUGGUUGAAUGCGAGUUCAAAAUUCUACUUGGAUAUCCAUUUAAUUUAGGUGAUAGCAAUUAGCACAAAAUGUUGGAUGAACAAAAUCAUAGUUAGACAUACAAUUACAUGUAUGGUUAAAGUAUAAUACAAUACACCAAGAUUAUUCCUUGAAAAUAUUUCUUAAAAAUAUUAUAAUAAAUGAAUAAAUAUAAUUGUGGCCACCAACAAAUAGUCGGUGGUCGCUAAGUUGGAGCCAUUUCUGGUUACUAAUGCGGCCUUCUCCUCGACCAGCGACGACAGCUGAGCUUGUUCCUUCUGACACUAAAUCAUCAGAGUCUUCCCUCCACUACUAUAGAAUGCACCUUUAGCACCAAUUGGGAAAUCCCCUUCAGUAUUGGAUGCUGCAACCAGUGCUAUAUAUCAAAAUGGAGACUAAAAGCCUCGGUCUUGGGUACCGGUUGCAUAACGCAUUACUAAAGGAGGCAAAAGAGAAAUGUAACAAAAAAAAUAUUUUGAAUUCCAAGAAUGUUUCACUAUUCAAGAUGACUAGCUGAGAGUCAACAGACAAGAUACUAGGAAUGUGGGUGCUUGAAUGCAUUUGUACAGAGGUCAUACUAUUUACAAACUCUUCUAUGUUUCCAUAUGACUACCUACUUCAAUGUCACGCGAGCCAUUCAGCUGGACACAUGGCACACUAGCUUGCAUGUCGAAUCCAUGAUUAAUUAUUUCCACUUGUGAUCUCUUACCAGUAUUUGUCCAGACUAGAAACGUGCAACACAUUUUUAGGAUAUGGACACGCAUAUAUUUGGACUAGUAUACAGGUCACCUUUGGAUGCGUACAAGGAUGACCGGGAGGGACUAGAAAUGGUCUAGUUUUGAUUGGACUACAAAACUUUUUGUACAGUGAAUAGAGAAUAUAUAUUAUUGUUGGAAUACGAGGUAGGCUACACUAUCGCAAUUCUGAUAUUCUACCGCGUAUAACCAAGAAGAACUGUCGUAUAAGGAUCACGGGAUUACCACUCGACGCACUACUGGUGCGGAAGAUGUAGAUAUGCGUCGAUGCAGUGAAGACGAUCACGUAGUCGUAUGUAGUCGAUCAACGUAGUCGUACAUAGUCGAUCACGUCCAGCAGCUCCUCAGCAGCUCGUCCACGUGCAGCAAGAUCGCCUCCGGUACCGCGGCUCGUCGUUGGCUUGUCGUGGCUCGUCGACGGCUCGUCGGCGGCUCGUCCAAGUGCUGCAGGCGCAACACCUCCAAGGUAUCCACACGUGCAGGGAGGAAGCGUCGCAAGCCGGACUGCUAGAUCCACGAGUUGCAACAGGCGAGGGCGUGGGAGGCGCGGCAGGUGUGUUUCGCCAAAAAGGUGUAAACCCUAGGGCGCCCCCACCCCUCUAUUUAUAGAGGUUCCUGACGGGCCUCUGGAUCCGAGGCCCAUUAGUACUUCUAAACCUAAUCCAACUCGGAUCAGAUCCGAAUUGGGCUUCCAGCCCCUUAAGUGUGUGACCCUAUAAGUUCGGAUACGUAUAGACAUGGCCCGAGUACUCCUACUCGGCCCAAUAGUCGGUAGCGGCCUCUAGCAAGACGUGCCAACUCCUAUACGCACACGAAGAUCAUAUCAGACGAACCAUCACAACAUAAUAUACAUGCUAUUCCCUUUGCCUCACGAUAUUUGGUCUAGCUUCAAGCCGACCGCUCUUUCUCAGUCCUGUGAUUCGGAAUCCCUUUGUAGGUUAACUCUUAACCGUACGUAGCAUGGCCAUGCAUUUUCGGAUCUGAUCACUCGAGGGGCCCAGAGAUAUCACUCUCAAUCAGAGAGGGGCAAAUCCCAUCUUGAUUGACCAUGUCUCAUAGCAUGCUUCUUGACAAACCUAAAAACUACCUUUAUAACUUCCCUGUUACGGCGUAGUGUUUGAUAGCUCCUAAGUAGGUCGAUCCACAUCUAGAAUACAUGCGACAAUUUCAGGUCUAAGGACAAAGCGUAUAUGUUGUUUAAAGAGAGAACUACUUCUCGUGUUGGGUCAGUCCCAGCACAUGUCUCCACAUGUGUCCACAUUAUUAGUUCAACAUCUCCAUGUCCAUGACUUGUGAAACAUAGUCAUCAACUAAUACAUGUGCUAGUCUAAUAUUCAUGUGUGUCCUCACAUGAACUCCGACUAGGGACAACUUUAGAAUAACCAUACAAGUAAAGAGUUUCACAUACAAUUCACAUAAUUGCAAAUCAAUUCAAGUAGCCUUCAAUGGAUAUUCAAUGAACACAACAUACAAAUCAUGGAUACAAAUGGAAUAUCAUCAUCUCUAUGAUUGCCUCUAGGGCAUACCUCCAACAGUCUCCCACUUGCACUAGAGUCAAUCUAGAAGGUACCUAAUACCCAUAGCUCUUACAUGCGCAUCAUGCUUAGCCUGCGGGAGUGGUUUUGUCAACGGAUCAGAAAUGUUCAGAUCCGUGUGUAUUUUGCAUAUCUUGAUCUCACCCCGGUUAACGAAGUCUCGAAUGAGAUGAAAUCGCCGCAUUACAUGUUUGUUCUUCUGGUGGUUCCUUGGCUCCUUUGCUUGCGCAAUUGCCCCAUUGUUAUCACAGUAGAGAUUCAAUGGGCUGGACCCAUUCGGGAACACACCAAGCUCAAUGAGGAAAUUCCUUAUCCAAACACCUUCCUUCGCGGCUUCCGAAGCCGCGAUGUACUCGGCUUCUGUCGUAGAAUCGGCCACCGUCUCCUGCUUGGAACUCUUCCAACUAACAGCACCACCAUUUAGCGUGAACACAAAUCCUGUUUGUGACUUUGAAUCAUCUCUGUCGGUUUGGAAACUAGCAUCGGUGUAACCUGUUACAACGAGCUCCUCCUCACCUCCAUAGACGAGGAAUAUAUCUUUAGUCCUUCUCAAGUACUUAAGAAUGUUUUUCACCGCUGUUCAGUGACUCUCACCUGGAUCAGAUUGGUGUCUGCUUGUCAUACUUAGCACAUAUGAAACAUCUGGGCGAGUACUUAUCAUUGCAUACAUGAUAGAUCCAAUAGCCGAGGCAUAUGACACUCUACUCAUGUGAUCCCGCUCAUCAGCAGUCGAAGGACACUGAGUCUUGCUGAGAUGUAUGCCAUGUGACAUAGGCAAGAACCCUUCCAUGCUGAACCGCUUCAACACUUUGUCAAUGUAAGUAUCUUGGCUUAAACCUAUAAGCCUUCUCGAUCUAUCUCUAUAGAUCUUAAUGCCCAGAAUAUAUGCCGCUUCCCCUAAGUCCUUCAUCGAAAAACUAUUUUUCAGUGAAGUCUUUAUGGACUCAAGCAUAGGAAUGUUAUUUCCAAUCAGUAAUAUGUCAUCCACAUAUAAGAUUAGAAAUACUACAGAGCUCCCACUAACCUUCUUGUAAACACAAGACUCUUCUUCGUUCUUGGUGAAGUCAAACCCUUUGACCACUUCAUCAAAACGAAUGUUCCAACUCCUAGAUGCUUGCUUCAAUCAAUAAAUGGAUCUCUGAAGCUUGCAUACCUUUCCAGCAUUUUUCGGAUCGACAAAACCCUUGGACUGUAUCAUAUACACGUCCUCAGUUAGGUUUCCAUUCAGGAAAGCUGUCUUGACAUCCAUCUGCCAUAUCUCAUAAUCGAAAUAUGCAGCCAAACUUGAUUGUCUCCCAUGGACUCUAUUUCGGAUUGCAUGGCAUUCUGCCAUUUUUCGGAGUCUGGGUCCAUCAUUGCUUCUGCAUAUGUCACAGGCUCAUCAUUGUCCAACAAUAAUAUUUCCUGCAUUUCGCGGAGCCUUGCCGACCUUCGUGGUUGUGGCGGUGCUUCUCUUGCCAUGGGUAUCUCAACUUGUUCUGCUACGUUAGCAUCACUCAUUGAUUCUUGCCCGAUCGGCUCAUCUUGAACUUCUUCAAGAUGCACUGUCUUUCCACUCUUUUCUCCUUUGAGAAACUCUUUCUCUAGGAAAACCCCGUUCCGAGCGACAAACACUUUGCCUUCUGAUCAGUUGUAAAAAUAAUAUCCCAAAGUUUCCUUUGGAUAUCCCACGAAAAUGCACUUAUCCGACUUGGGUGCGAUCUUGUCCGACUGAAGUCGCUUGACAAACACAUCACAUCCCCAAAUCUUUAGAAAAGACAAACUAGGAACCUUUCCAGUCCAUAUCUCAUAUGGUGUCUUAACUACGGAUUUAGAUGGUACCCUAUUAAGUGUGAAAGCUGCUGUUUCUAGAGCGUAUCCCCAAAAUGACAACGGUAGGUCCGACUGGCUCAUCAUUGAUCGAACCAUGUCUAACAAAGAUCGAUUACGUCGCUCGGACACACCGUUUCUCUGAGGUGAUCCAGGCGGCGUAAGUUGUGGAACAAUUCCGCAACUCUUUAGAUGAUUGCUAAACUUGUGGCUCAAAUACUCGCCUCCACGAUCAGAUUGUAAGGCCUUAAUUUUCUUGACACGCUAAUUUUCAACUUCAUUCUGAAAAUCCUUGAACUUUUCAAAGGUUUCAGACUUGUGCCUCAUCAAGUAGACAUAGCCAUAUCUACUAAAAUCAUCAGUGAAAGAUAUGAAGUAUUGGAAUCCUCCUCUAGCCGUCGUGCUCAUUGGUCCGCAUACAUCACUAUGUACGAGUUCCAACAAGUCUACUGCUCUCUCAGGAAAUCCUGUGAAAGACGUCUUGGUCAUCUUGCCUAGCAAGCAAGCCUCACAUGUCUCGUAUGAUUCAAAAUCAAACGAAGUUAGAAGUCCAUCAGAAUGGAGCUUCUUCAUGCGUUUUUCACUUAUAUGACCCAAACGACAAUGCCACAAGUAGGUAGGACUCAAAUCAUUAGGCCGAGGCCUUUUAGCACUUACAUUACAGACAGGUGAACCAUCAAGAUUUAAAACAAAUAAUCCAUUCACAAUGGGUGCAAAAGCCAUAAACAUAUUAUUCUUAGAGAUCACACAACCAUUGUUUUCACUCGCAAAUGAAUAACCAUCCUUCAUCAAGCAUGAAGGAGACAAAAUGUUUCGACUUAAACUAGGAACAAAAUAACAAUUAUUCAACUCCAUAAUAAAUGCUGACGGGAGGUGGAGUUGCAUCGUCCCGACGGUCAACGCAGCAACUCUUGCAUUAUUGCCCACGCGGAAAUCAACUUCUCCUCUUUCCACGCUUCUACUUCUUAUCAUUCCCUGCAUCGAAUUGCAAAUAUGAGCAACCGAUCCGGUAUCAAAUACCCAAGAAUUAAUAAUUGUAUCAGCGAGAAAUAUGUUGUCUAUGACAUUAACAACAAGCGUACCUGAGGUAGAAGUACUCUUACUUCCUCCAUUCUUCAACGAAGCUAGGUACUGCUUGCAGUUUCUCUUCCAGUGACCAAGUUCAUGACAGUAAAAGCACUCUUUGUCUGGAGCAGGUCCAGGUCCAGCUUUAACCUUGGGCGCUCGCUGGGUUUGGCUUGGAAAUUCCAGCCUUGCCCUUCUUCUUCCAAGAAUUGCCCUUCUUCUUAAAGCUAGGCUUGUUCUGUAUAGCCAUCACAUGGCUAGUACAAGCGCUUUUCUUGAUGUCUACCUCUGCUGUCUUGAGCAUACCACACAGUUCAUUCAAACCCUUCUCCGUCCCAUGCAUAUGGUAGUUCGAGAUGAAGUUCCCAUAGCUAGGCGGAAGAGAUGAAAGAAUGAAGUCAGUGGCCAACUCUUUGCCCAUUGGGAAGCCCAGCUUCUCCAAUCGCUGAGUGUAACCAACCAUGUUGAUUACAUGUGGUCCUACUGCUGCGUCUUCUGCUAGCUUGCACUCCAGAAAAGCUUUGGACACAUUGAACCUUUCAGUCCUAGCCUGUGUCUGGAACAUGUCCUUGAGCGCCACGAUCAUAUCGUGUGCCUCAUGAUUUGUUUCGAACUGCAUCUGCAGCUCGGGUUCCAUGCAAGCAAGCAUAAGGCAGCUUACCUCAAGAUUAGCAUCAAAUGCCUUCUUGUAAGCAGCCUUAACGGCAGCAGAUGCAUCAUCAGCAGGUACUGGUGGUAGUGGGGUAUCUAGAACAUCUUCCUUUUUAUCGGCCCUGAGAACAAUUCUCAGGUUACGGAUCCAAUCCGAGUAGUUUGUUCCAUUCAACUUGUCCUUCUCAAGGACCGAGCGCAAAGCAAACGAUGUGGUGGUGUUGCUAGGUGCCAUUUAAUCUACAACAAAAGUAAUGCAAAAUACACUAAGACAAACGUAUCCAUGAUAGAGCAAAUUACAUUAAACUAUUUUAACAGAAUCUACUCCCACUAAAAUCAAUAUCCCUCUAUUGAAACUUAGUGAUUCAGGAUCCACAACUAACAAGUCUACUAGUGAGCUUUAGCAUCACCGCUAGCAAACGAGGUAGAUCGGUAAGCAACUUUUGCUAAUCAUAUCACAUAUGACUCCUGUUGUUGGGUGACAUCUCCAUGUCUCGGCGCCCAACCAUUAUGCCCCAAGGUCCUUAACCGUUAAGAUGACCUCGUUAAGCAAACCAACCCUUAUGCGUGUAAGUGUCCGACACAAACCCGUCUAGUCAAGGAAAACUAGUGGCACCCUAAUUUCAUAGACCCACCACUAAUUGUACAAGACAUGGGACGGUGCAAGUUUUAGUUGGGAGGGCAUACUAACUUAAAUUUUUUGUGAGGGAUCGUUCUACUUCUAACAUCACAGCAUGCAGAAAGUAAAACAUAAACAGAAUAGCAUUCACACAGCUGUGACACAGUAUGGCCCGUUUUUAUAUGGUGAUCUCCAUCUCCAUAGAACCUGUUCACCAUGGUGAUCUCCAUCUCCAUGUUCCAUGUGCGCCAUCCUCCUGGUGAGGAGUCCUCCAAGAACUAGAACAUGCUAUUACACCUAAUAGCUAGUAAAGAAUCUAGUAAUGAAGAUUACAUAGUUGCUUGGAUCAUCACAGAUUGGUACGCAGACCAUUAAAUACAAUAAAGUGACAACACAUAUGGCUCCUGCCGUGUUGCCGUACGCGCGACACGCAGGUCACGAAUGAGUUACACACAUGCAUCACAUACACAAGGGGGCCAUACUGAUCACAAGAUACAUACAUACAUCCUGCAAAACAGAGUUAGGCGUCCUAACGUUCCAAACUUCGAAGGCCCGAAACUCCAUCUUCCAAGCCGAAUUUGGGAAAUCUAAUUUUGCCGAAAACGGCAAAGCGGUUGAAUUUCAUGUGUAACUUUUUCUGUAGAUCAAUUUUCAUAUAAAAUUCGCCCCGAUCCGAGAUCGUACCGAAAAGUUACGGCUGAUUUACCGAAGCAUACGCAUACGGCAAAAAUUCCGACCCCGGCAGUAGAUCCCAUCUACUAUUGCACAUCUAAUGCGCCUGGCGUAUGAUCCUGGAUUUCGAUUCGACCAAUCAUAUUGAUCUUCGCUCACUGCAACUGGAAUUACGUGUAUCACUUAACUCGUCGGCGGCUCGUCGGCGGCUCAUCCAAGUGCUGCAGGCCCAACACCUCCAAGGUAUCCACACGUGCAGGGAGGAAGCGUCGCAAACCGGACUGCUAGAUCCGCGAGUUGCAAUAGGCGAGGGCGUGGGAGGCGCCGCAGGUGUGUUUCGCCAAAAAGAUGUAAACCCUAGGGCGCCCCCACCCCUCUAUUUAUAGAGGUUCCUGACGGGCCUCUGGAUCCGAGGCCCAUUAGUACUUCUAAACCUAAUCCAACUCGGAUCAGAUCCGAAUUGGGCUUCCAGCCCCUUAAGUGUGUGACCCUAUGGGUUCGGAUACGUAUAGACAUGGCCCGAGUACUCCUACUCGGCCCAAUAGUCGGUAGCGGCCUCUAGCAAGACGUGCCAACUCCUAUACACACACGAAGAUCAUAUCAGAUGAACCAUCACAACAUAAUAUACAUGCUAUUCCCUUUGCCUCACGAUAUUUGGUCUAGCUUCAAGCCGACCGCUCUUUCUCAAUCCUGUGAUUCGGAAUCCCUUUGUAGGUUAACUCUUAACCGUACGUAGCAUGGCCAUGCAUUUUCGGAUCCGAUCACUCGAGGGGCCCAGAGAUAUCACUCUCAAUCAGAGAGGGGCAAAUCCCAUCUUGAUUGACCAUGUCUCAUAGCAUGCUUCUUGACAAACCCGAAAACUACCUUUAUAACUACCCUGUUACGGCGUAGCAUUUGAUAGCCCCUAAGUAGGUCGAUCCACAUCUAGAAUACAUGCGACAAUCUCAGGUCUAAGGACAAAGCGUAUAUGUUGUUUAAAGAGAGAACUACUUCUCGUGUUGGGUCAGUCCCAGCACAUGUCUCCACAUGUGUCCACAUUAUUAGUUCAACAUCUCCAUGUCCAUGACUUGUGAAACAUAGUCAUCAACUAAUACAUGUGCUAGUCUAAUAUUCAUGUGUGUCCUCACAUGAACUCCGACUAGGGACAACUUUAGAAUAACCAUACAAGUAAAGAGUUUCACAUACAAUUCACAUAAUUGCAAAUCAAUUCAAGUAGCCUUCAAUGGAUAUUCAAUGAACACAACAUACAAAUCAUGGAUACAAAUGGAAUAUCAUCAUCUCUAUGAUUGCCUCUAGGGCAUACCUCCAACAAUUAUUUCAUGUAAAUUUUUGACAAUUUUUUAAAAUUGUUUGAUAUUUUUUAAAUUUUUUUUAAAAUAACUUUGCCGAGUGUCCUAUUGUAGACACUCGGCAAAGCAGCCUUCACCGAGUGUUACCCCUGGGACACUCGGCGAAUUAAUGCCCGGCCGCUCAAGAAUAUGUGCCCGGCCCCCUCACUCUCCCGGCCCCCCUCACUCUCACUCCCCUCACUCCCUCCUCUCUCCCUCCUCUCUCCCUCUCGCCGCCGCCCGAAACCCCCGCCGCCGCCCGCCGCCCGGCAUGCCGCCCAGCGCCCCCCGCCGCCGCCCGGCGCUCCCGAAUCCGCCGCCGCCCGCCCGGCGCCCGGCCCCCGGAUCCGCCGCCGCCGGCCGCCCGGCGCCCCCGGAUUCGCCGCCGCCCGCCCGGCCCCCGGCCCCCGGAUCAGCCGCCGCCCGCCGCCCGGCGCACGGCGCCCCCGGAUCCGCCGCCGCCUGCCCGGCGCCCGGCCCCUGGCCCCCUGAUCCGCCGCCGCCCGCCCGGAUCCGCCGCCGCCCGCCCGGCGCCCGGCCCCCGGCCCCCGGAUCCACCGCCGCCCCCCCGGCCCCCGGAUCCGCCGCCCGCCCGUCCCCUCCACCGGAUCCGCCGGCGCCGGGGCCUGAAGAGAAGAGAAGAGGAGAGGAUGGUGGCGGCGGCGGCCGCGGCGGCGGAGCAGGUGGCAGAGCAUGCAUGAUUUUUUUUUAUUUUUUCAAUAAUUGUUCGCCAAGUGUUUUCUGGGCACUCGGCAAAGUCUUUGCCGAGUGCCCGACACAAAACACUCGGCGAACCAGUGUUUGCCGUCAAGAUUUUUGCCGUGUGUCGUUUGCCGAGUGUUACACUCGGCAAACGCUUUGUCGAGUGUUUUUGGGGUUUCGCGGAGUGACCCUGGCACUCGGCAUCACGCAUGUUUCCCUUAGUGAACUUGAAAUUAUCUGUACAUUCUCGGUGAAGCUGUUGAACUAAUUUUUGCAAAUUAUUAAUUCAUCUCAUUACGCAAAGAAAAAAGUAAGUGGAUAAGAUAUUUCGUGGACCACAUCACUGCAAACAUGUCAUGGAGAGACAGACCAAGGAGGCAGGACGUGAUACACGACUUACCCUAGGUUGCCGUGGAACCGCCAAGAAGAGAUACAGAUACAUGGACCACACCAUCUUGGGAGUAGUGACAGCAUAUAUGCAGAAGAAUACCCCGUGCCUAUUUGCAUGCAUGUCUCAAGUGAUCUGUUUUCUUCAGAAAAUACAUGAGCAUUGCCAGAAAGAAUGGCAAGAGACAAACAUGUCAUAGAGACUUGCAUGUCUUGCCUUGGAUACGCCAAGAAGAGGGACACAUACAUGGAUAACACAAAUCUAGUGACACGUAUAUUCAUCACAAAGGCAAAUCUGAUAAUUUUAUCCAUGGAGCAGACCAAGGAGAAAUUGAUGACGGACAUGUGAUCUCUGUAUUCAGUUGAAAGCUAAUUGAGCUACACUAAUAUGAGCAGGACUAUAUUCAAGAGACUUGUUGAGAGCUACAGGGAACUUGUAAUAAUUUGCUGGGCGGCCUGCGCACAAUGAUUUGUUAUACAUAGUUGAAAUAUUUCAAGAAUUUAUCAACCUCAUACUCUGAAACCCUUGGUGCAAUGUACUCUGCUUUCCGAGGUAGACUGUUCACGUAAAAUGAGGUCAUGCGUAAGACGGAAUCGGAUUGGAUUCACAGGGAAUCAGAUUUGGAUAGCACCUUUUAGCAGGUUUUUAGUCAAAUGCAAAUUCGGAUCCACAUGUGGUUGAAUGCGAGUUCAAAAUUCUACUUGGAUAUCCAUUUAAUUUAGGUGAUAGCAAUUAGCACAAAAUGUUGGAUGAACAAAAUCAUAGUUAGACAUACAAUUACAUGUAUGGUUAAAGUAUAAUACAAUACACCAAGAUUAUUCCUUGAAAAUAUUUCUUAAAAAUAUUAUAAUAAAUGAAUAAAUAUAAUUGUGGCCACCAACAAAUAGUCGGUGGUCGCUAAGUUGGAGCCAUUUCUGGUUACUAAUGCGGCCUUCUCCUCGACCAGCGACGACAGCUGAGCUUGUUCCUUCUGACACUAAAUCAUCAGAGUCUUCCCUCCACUACUAUAGAAUGCACCUUUAGCACCAAUUGGGAAAUCCCCUUCAGUAUUGGAUGCUGCAACCAGUGCUAUAUAUCAAAAUGGAGACUAAAAGCCUCGGUCUUGGGUACCGGUUGCAUAACGCAUUACUAAAGGAGGCAAAAGAGAAAUGUAACAAAAAAAAUAUUUUGAAUUCCAAGAAUGUUUCACUAUUCAAGAUGACUAGCUGAGAGUCAACAGACAAGAUACUAGGAAUGUGGGUGCUUGAAUGCAUUUGUACAGAGGUCAUACUAUUUACAAACUCUUCUAUGUUUCCAUAUGACUACCUACUUCAAUGUCACGCGAGCCAUUCAGCUGGACACAUGGCACACUAGCUUGCAUGUCGAAUCCAUGAUUAAUUAUUUGCACUUGUGAUCUCUUACCAGUAUUUGUCCAGACUAGAAACGUGCAACACAUUUUUAGGAUAUGGACACGCAUAUAUUUGGACUAGUAUACAGGUCACCUUUGGAUGCGUACAAGGAUGACCGGGAGGGACUAAUGGAUACAAGGAAGGGACCAUCAGGAUUAAUAUUGACAUAUGCCACAUGACAAUCUUCAUUGUCAUGCAAUCCCUAUCAACAAUCAUGGAAUCCCUAGUGUACUAAUCCCUGGAGGGUUGUGUGGAAAUUUAUUUUACCUUGCGGUGAAAAUCUCAUGAGCAGUCAUUAGUUAAGCUGACUAGCUGAGAUAUAAUAGACAAGCUAGUAAGAUUGGGAGCAUCAAUGCAUCCAUACAGGGUCACAAUAUCCUUUCCAUUCACUUUUAUAUAUAACCCUACGAAUACAAGUCCAACGAAAUGCGGGCCUUUCGAUCAAGAUAAAUUAAAUGGCCCACUUGUAUUUCUAAUCCAGGAUUAACUAUGCCCUCUGUUCAUCUCUUGCAAGCACGUGCAACACAUUUUCACGAUAUGGACAUGCAUGGAGGUUAUUAUACUGUUUGGACAAACUCUGAUGUGCCAUGACCUAAAUGCUUAGGGCCUGUUUGGUUUGAGUUGCUUAUUAUAAGCAACUUAAAGUUGCUUAAAGUUGCUUAUUUGAAGUUGCUUAUUUUUAGUCUAAACUGUUUGGAUACCCUUGCUUAUGAGCAUUGAAUGAGUUGGACAUUGUCAAAUUUGCCCCAUGUGUUGCUACCCCUCCAAUUUGCCUCCCCACCCUUCUUCUUCCUGCACACGUCCGAUCCCGGGGGCCGACGGCGGGCAGGGAGCAGCAGCAGCUGGCCAGGGCGGCGGUGGGGCGGGAGCGGCGGCGCACACCAGCACGCGCUCGCACGCCAGGUGCUAGGGCGCGGCGAGGCAGUCGUCGUAGCCCACCGGGAGCGGGUGCUCGGGCGCGAGGCGGUACUCGACGGAGAUGCCGAGCGUCGGGCGCGCGGCGGCGAGCGCGUUGAGGAAGCGAUGGUAGUGCGGCGACGUCGCGGACUCCGCCACGAAGCCGCCGCCGUGGACGUACACCACCACGGGCAGCUUCGUCUUGCCGUCGGCGGCCGCGGCCGCGGCCUGGGGUGGCAGGUAGAGGCGGACGGAGCAGGAGCCGAGGUCGACGUCCCUGGAGUCGACGCCCGUGGCGGCGUCCAGGCUAGGCCCGACCGGCGGCGGCACGAGCGGGCGCUCGAUGCGGCCGCUCUUGUAAAUCCGACGGGUCUGUGCGGAGGCGGGCGGCGGGCGGGAGCGGCGGGUGGGAGCGGCGGCAGGUGGUGCGGAGGCCGGCGGCGGCGGGUGGCGCGGAGGAAGGGGAGCUGGUGAGUGGUGACAGGGGAGGGGGGGAGAGAGAGGGGGGGGUAGGGUGCAUUGAAUGAGGGCAGGAGGUGUAAAGUGCACCUUUUAGUCCCCAUGAGCAACCAUAAGCAGCCCAAGAGUUGCUUAUUUGCUUAUAAUAAGCAACCUCAUAAGCAAGAGUGAUUGGUUUCAUAAGCAACUUAUUUGCUUAUUUUAAGUUGCUUAUGCAUAAGCAUGUGAAACCAAGCAGGUCCUUAACCUAUGGUUGUGGCACCACACAGUACAUAGUAUUUAAUAAUGCUAUUCGUUUGGUAUGUGCACAAGGGCACGCAUGAAAUGUCUGGCCCACGGUAAACAAGUACGGACGCUGCAAAUAAUCUACUCUGCUCGUCCAGUCCCUAGCCUAUAAAUAGAUGCCAUGCUAGCUCUUGUUGUGCUCACAAUUAAUCCUGACUACACACGAGCUUCUCUCCCUGGCCAAGACACAAUCAUAGUAUGAUGAAGAACAUGGCACUAGCCGGCAAUGGUAUGAAGAACUUAAUCCUCGCUGUUCUCUUACUGUGUCUAGUUAUAGGGCAGAUACAAGUGGAAGCUAAGAGCUGCUGCCCAUCCAUUACUGCAAGAAAUAUCUACAAUGCCUGCCGUAUCACGGGUACAUCCCGUCCAACGUGUGCAAAACUGUCAGGCUGCAAAAUUAUCAGCGGGGACAAAUGCAAGCCCCCUAACGACCACCUCACCCUUGACCCGGACACUGGUAAAUAAUAAAUUUAUCUCACUUGAUUUCUUCGUGUUUUGAGUCGUUAAUGUAUUUUCCAUCUGAUGAAACGUAUUGGUUUUGCAUUGAAGAGGAAGUUAAUGUGCUUAACUUCUGCAAGUUGGGGUGUGCGUCGUCUGUGUGCAACAACAUCAACGCUGGUAAGCACCUUUUGCUCAGACGGAGAAAACAAUAAUCAUUAAUUAGCGGCAGCUAGAAUCCUAUAAUCUAAUAUAUUUAUAUAUAUAUAUAAUUUUAUCAGCUCUGGGAAAUGAAGAGGCGAACGAUGCCGUUGAGAGUUGCGACCAAGCCUGCUCUAGCUUCUGCAACGUGCACGUUGGCGCUGCCACCGUGGUUGCUUAAGCAAAUGCAUCCAACUGGAUCGUCCUUGUGCUAAAUAAUUGGAUAUCGUAUCCACUUAAAGCUGCCUUGUGUAGUACGUUUUUGUUUGUGUCUCUCUUUAUAUUCCAAUAAGGUCGGUGAUCUUGAUGCCACACACUCAGACGUGUGUUCAUCUCCAGAUACUACUCCAUGCUACCUGCCCUUUGUGUUUUGUUCAAUAACUGGGUAUCAUAUCCCAGCCAGUGUGCCAUCUGUUUUGUGUUUAUUUCCUUCUAGUUUCAAAGGGGUUAUCAUGAUGUUACCUUCUUUCGAUAUGGUGCUUUGCAUGACUACUGUUGUAUGGUACCAUCUUGUUGGCCAAUAAAUACAUCUUAUCCUAUGACCCUUUGCUAUGACCCUUUGCAAAUAAGUACAAGAUUGUUAAAUACUCGGUAUAAAUUGACUACUGCUGUGAGUUCCCUUUCAGCUUAUCGUAGGCAUACAUUAUUGCUAGCACGGUGAAGACAACCAACACGAAUGGUCAAGUAAACGUACCGGUACUUUUGUAUACCAACACCCUUGCUUAAAUGUACCGGUGUUACUCCCCACUAGCACAUAUAUUCUUAUAUGCUAGCCGGCUUGAAAAUUAACCGAUUAAAAUAAUUAUUUCAAGACAGAAAUAACUUAUCGGCUUCUCGAAGCAUGUGUAAUGUGAAUUCAAGGACUUGAUGGAAGUUGAAUCGCUUAAUCUAGAUUGCUUUCAGGAUUUUGGGUAACUAAAUUUAACAUUUGCACAUACAAAUGUUAAUGUACAAAUAUUAAAUAUAGUUACCCAAGCAGAAUAUGAAGAUACUCUAUAGUAUAUAUAUACUAUAUAAAUCUAGUUAACAUUUAGUCUAAAUGUUAAAUCUAGUUACCUAAAAUCCUGAAAGCAAAAUGUAUAAAUAUAUAUCUUUUAAGGAAUCCCAAAGCAAGAGUUCAGUGGCAUUCUAUAGUCCCAUGCUGCUAGUUUGAGUUGGUCGAAGCCAACUUAAAUAGGAGAGCUCUCUCACUUCUCUAAAUACGUAACUGAAGGAGAGAAGGGGGCUUGGUUACACAACGCACGCACGCACGCAUAUUUGCGUUCUUUUCGCGUAACCAACCGCGUGACUUGAAACUUGCGACGUAGCGUGCUGCCAAGUCAAGUUGAUAUAACCUUUUUGCCGUAGGCGUGUAAUCUUUUGACAACGGUCAUUGGAGGUGAUAAGCACGCAGUCAAUACCUUAAUCCUGAGUUAAUAGGGCGGUUACUACUGCCAAUUAGUGGGGCAAUUUUGUAGGGGAAACGGUUAGCAGAGGGCUACCAUCUUCUCUAUAAGAAGUUCUGGAGACGUCCAGGAACACACAUGUACAUGUGAGAGACCCACGAAUUCCUUCCCAUCUCCCUUUUCCAUCUGGUGAAGUGUGCUAUGGUACUGAGCUGCUGGAUCUCGCCGGCUCUUCUCCUUGGCGUGCACCGAGGAGGAGGGUGAGCGGUAUCUCCGAGCUAUUGCCGUCAGGAAGCCUGCACGAGGGACAACAAUAAAGUUUUUGGGUAGCGCAACUACGCAACCGCUCGAUUCGAUCGACUAUGUUCUGCGCUGCCUCAUCUUCGAUCUGCACUGCAACACGUAACCCUGCAGCAAGUCUACACAAGGACGGAGCACUAAUCUGUAAGUCCUAGAUUGGUUUCUUACAGAGUUGUAGGUUACACAAGAUCUAGAAUUGUUACAUACUUAUUAUUAUGGGUUACAUGAUGUUUUGUACGGUUACGUCUAUUUUGCAUAUGCUAUUUUUACAUACCGUUUACAUGCAUAUGUAAUGGUUACGCCUAGCUAUUUGAAUCUAGAAUUGGGUUACAUAGCAGUAGCAAUGACUUACGUAAUAUGCCUCAUGUUUAUAUCUGGUAGAAUUUAACACGUAUCUCCAACAUAUUUUGAGGCAGUAUAAAUUUCAAUUCCUUUUGCUGCUCUGUUAAAUCCCGUCUUUCGUGUGGCCCAACACUCUAGUAUGCAUGUAGCACCAAGCUUGUUUGAGCCGCUUUGUGCUCUGAUUUUGCUGUCUGUAUCAGGUUGGACUGUUUCUUUGUCUUGCGAUGUAUAGCUUCAUAUCUUCUAGAGGUUAGACAGCAAAACCCGCGUUCUCUUAAGGCAACAACUCGAAGAAUCUGCAGCGCUCCUGAUAUAUCACUGCUGCAGAAACAAUCUUUAGUACUGAUUUCCAACCCCCUUUAGUAUCGGUUUGGCAAUCAGUACCACUACGUCGGUACUAAAGGGAGUUCUCUAGAAUCGGGUCAAAUAACUGGUACUAAAAGUGCUCCUCUACUACCAGUUGGUAACACCAAUAGGUAGUAACUUUUUUUGCACCCAAAAAAUUAAAGAAAAACAGCCGGGAGGCUCGCGCACACACGCAUCAUGAGUAAUAUGCGCGUGCAUGGUUUGUGGGAUUCCAACCCACGACCAAGCUAUAAGCACGUAGUUACAAAAAAAUUAAACACUUAGACAUUUUAGAGCAUCCCAAAUAACUACAAAUUCUUUAGUUUACCAUAUACCAUAAAAUAUUAGUUAAAAUAAGAGCAUACGCACGUCGGAAGAGUCCCAAUGCACCGGUUGAGGAUCAGACCAGGCACUUUGAAUGCACAUGCCAUAAGAUAAUUCUGCAGGACGAUGAUUGCAAUAAUGGACCAUCGAGAAGAUAGGGGCGAUGGGGUUGCCUCAUCAAUUAUGACUUGGCGCAACAAGACCAGCAAAGUCUUUAUCGACAGGGGUGGAUCAAGGGGUGGGGCGGGUAGAGCUCCAAUCUUCCUACCGCCGCUCGAACAAUGGAGCCCCCCUUAGCCCCUCCAUAAAUUUUUAGGUAGAAGAAAAAAGAAGAGAAGGGAAGGAAGGGGAAGAAUAGGGAGCCCCUCCUAAGUAGGUCGCCAUCGUGCUUCCCAACGCAUGAUCGCCGCACCGCAUCCAUUCCUCUACAAGCCUCCAGCGUCUCUCCUGCCGCUACCUCUGAACCAUGUGCAGCUGCAGACCCAACUAGUGUCUUGUCACCCAUCUCAAUCCCAACAGAGCGGCGGCUCCUGCCAGCACAAAUCUCCCUCCGCCUGUUCUUCACGAUCGAUGGCCACCACAAGCAUAAACCUCGCCUUCGCAUCCACGCAAAAGGGUCGCCGGUGUGCCUUCUCGCAUCGCUUCUCAGCCUCCUUCACUUGCGGCUGGCCAAGAACCGUGCCACCACCUCGGGUGCGCGCCACCGCUCCAGGGCCGCUACCCCAUGCGUGCGGCCGCCGCCGGCCACCACGCGUGUGCAACCGUGUCGCACCGCUUCCCUGCUCUGUGCCACCACUGCUACUGCACCACCAGCUCCACCACCUUGGGCUGGUCGCCAGGGUGACUGAUUGGUGGAUUAUUACUACAAAUAAGUUCCUUAUUAUCUGCAACUACUAUUAACUCAGGGAUACAUGCGUCUUUUGCUUCUCCUGUUAAUAUGUCCUAAAAUAUCUAGAAUGCCUUAUAUUUCUGGACGGAGGAAGUAUUUGAAUAAAAUGAACCAAUUUUAAAAAAUGUGUUGUACACUACUACAGAAAGAACUAUCAGUGUCAAACCCAAAAAUGUCGUCACUGCCAGUUUUGGGCAUCGUUGGUGAAAGGUUGGCGGUGAUGGGUAUCCCCUUCAACAACGGCACUAGAGCUAACAGUGAUUGACAUUAGAAAACGAAAAAGGGGACCCACCUAGCCACCCCUGCAACCCGGCUGGCCGUGCCUCCCGUCAUCCCCACCACCUCGCCUCCCCCGUGACCCCCCGCCGGCGCCCUUGCGCCUAGCCCCCUCGCCUGCCUGGCCGGCCACCCUCGUCACGAGAGAGAGGGGUGCAUGUUGUAUAAUUGCGUGAAUUUUUAAUGUUUAAUUUCAUGUAAGUUUCAUAUAAUAAAUUGUACAAGUUUUAUUGUAUAUAUGAAUUCCAUAUAUAUAUAUUUAUAAUUUAAUGUAUGGUUUCAUGUGUAUAUUUCAAUAAUGUGUAUAUUUAGUAGAUAGCCGAUUUUCUUUUUCUACAAGACAAGGGUUGAUGUAUAAUUACGUGUAUAUGUUUAUUGUACGGGCAAUUAGGACAAGUUUUGUAUAAAUUUCUUUUAUUUCAUGGUUGUUGUAUGGUUUCAUGUAUAUACAUUUAUUGUACUACUUGAGACAAUUUUUAAUUUAAUGUUUCUAUGGUUACAUGUGUGUAUAACUAAUUGUAUUAUUAGUUAAGAUGGGAGCCAAAGAGGAUGAAAGGUAUAUAAUGGAGCAGAUUAUUGCUGGCGGUAGUGGCUCAAACGUUGCAAGAACCUACAUCAAGGGUGAGGGUAGCUAGGUGGACAUGUACCUCAACAUGUCCAGUGAUGGCAAUGACGAUGAGGAGCACGAGCAUGACGUUUAUGAUAGUGCGGAACAAGACAUUGCAGAAUUGGAAGGUUCUAAUGAGGUGUGCUUCAUGUUGAUGAUCUGGUUGGCUUUUUUUCUUUGGUCACACCUUAGUUACCAUAGAACUUCGUCUCGGGAGAAGAUUGGAGGUGCUAUGGUGAUUGGAAUUUUAUUGCCUCCAAAUAUGAUUUCCAUCGAAUCAUAUCCCUUGUAUUUAUCUUCUUUUUAUUUGUGAGAGCAUCUUCUUUAUGCUUGCAAAACAAUUCAAGUGCACAUACUACACCUAGGGUGAUGAUUAGGAGUAGAAACAAUUGCCAACAAACGAACACCACAUCCUAAGAUUCUUAACUUGUGGUAUAAUUAGUCUAGUAAAAAGAAAGAUAAAAACCUAAUGGGUGUACGUGAGUGCAAUGCGUAUAUGCAUAUGAGUGGAAGGCAUAUAAGCAAAGAUAAUAUUUACACAUAGAUCUAAGCACCAUGUUUACAACUAAGUUGCUGAAUUUCUCCAUAGCUAUAGAGAUUAAUGAACCAAGGUCAAAACACCAUGUCUAUCCCAAGAUCAGUAAUUCUUUAUAGCACAAGAAAAAGAAAGCGCAUUGCAAAGUUUAUAAACCAACCAAUGCAGCAUGAAAACAAGAUGAAUAGCUAGCAAGGUUUAUUAAACUGAAUGAUGACGGUCUGCAAGCAAGUUUGAACACCAUCUUUACACAAGAUUGCAAAUGGAAAAUUCCCAUAUGAAGAACUAACAUGGAUAUGAAAUCAUUCAUCAUAAAGCGUAAAGAACAACCAAGCCAACCAUAUGCAAAGCAUGAAUGGAAUGCAAUGAAGGUGCAAGAGAACAUUUUUGGAUGAACCCAUUAUGAUGAUGGCAAAAUGCGCCGUGCCCCCCAGCCCCCGCGGUGAGAUCCCGCCGCUCGCUGCCGCCAGACCCUAUUAGGCCUCCACCGGCAGGUCCACCCACGGUCCCGCGCGACGUGGCAGCCUCUUGGCUCUCGGCGCUCGCGGCACGCCAGUGCUGGCGCAGCCCCACCAGGCGACUACCCUCCCCCCAUAAGGCCUCGGCCCCUCCCCAGCGCCGCCCCCCAACACCAGGACUGCCUGCUGCCCCCCACCGUGAGGUAAUCGAAAUCGACUGCUCAAUCUCUCAAUCUGUUGAUAUGAUGCACACGGUUGCAAAAAUAGAUGUGUCAAAAUAGAUGUUUUGCCAAUUGCUAUAGAUGCAUACGGUUGACAUGAAGUCAAAAAUGACAUUUGGUUCCUUGUAGGCAGUCAAAAAUGAAGAAGUCAAAAAAUAUUGAUCUGAAAUCAAUGUGGGAAAGGGCUAUGAAGACACGCAGGUAGAUUCCCUUGUGAACUUUUUAUGUCGUUCGUCUAAAUAAUUUUUUGCAAUGGGCAUACCCUACUCUGAAAUCCUGGGUCCGCCACUGAUGAUGAUGGUCUAAAAAUAAACCAAGCCUAGAUUAAUUAGCCACAACUGAAAUUAAGCAAAGGUUAAUGUCAUUGACCCUAGCUCUAUCCUAGCUUUUACCAAAGUUCCGGCACAUAUAGUGGUUGGGCCCACUCUCUCUGCUUCCCUCUCUGCUGCAUGCACGCACACGAGCAACGGGAGGCCCGACGAAGCCCAGAAGGGUUCGGCCGAACCAGUAUGAGCGCCGCUCCCUCCCAGCCUUCGCGCAGAUGCUCCUCCAACGUUCCUUGACCCCUCCCUCAGCGUCCCGUUGGGUUUAACAUUGCAGGAGAGGAGUCCCUUUUUUAAAAUCUCAACCACCUCCUCUCCCCAUUCACUCCACUCUCAUCUCCAUCAAACUCACCAAGAUCCGCACCGGAAAUCCCUGCUUACCACCAUGGCUGGCAAAGCCCUCAUCCCUUUCACCAACUUGGGCUUGACCACUGAUCUCGAUGGGGAAAUCACUCUGGCAAAUAUGCGUGUAACACUGCCCCCUUUGCCGAGGGUUAAAGCCAAAACACUCAGCAAAGUGGAUAGUACCCCCCUUUUUACCCGUUUUGUCAUGUAUAACGGACCCCUCUCAAUUCACAAUAGACAUCAUCAUAGGCAUUUAUAAUAAACAAUCACAGGCAUAAUUCACAAUCACCAUUACAAGCAUUAUUCAUAAAUAUCACAGACAUAAUCCAAAGUAAGCAUGAAACAAGCCAUAAAUCCAAGUUCAAGUCACAACUAAGUUUCAUCCAAGUUCAAGUCACAAAUGCAAUGUCUAAAUCCAUGGAGGCCAAGGAGACCACUGCGACAAAUCUUGGUCUUCAUUAUUCGAAGCCGCCGAUUGAUUCUGCACAUAGGAUAGGACAUUCUGAGCUAACAUCUAAAGUUGUCAAAAUUAAAGUAUUCAAUCUUAAGCACAAUGUGUCAAAUGACUCACAGGAGUAGUUGUGGGUGGCUGAGGCGGAGGGAACAGCAUCGAUGGCGGUGGCAAAGAUUGACCCAUGCUCGAAGCAAAAUUCUGCAUGUACUGGAACAUCUGGUCCAUCCUCAUCCGAUUUUCUUCCUCCAUCCUCUGCCGCUCGGCCUCUAACCUCCGCUGAACCAUCUGCUCCAUCCUCGCCGCCAUCUCCUCUUGUUGCUUCCUUGCUGCUUCCACCUGGGCCUACAAUAUUUCAUUGCAAUGUUACAAUGCAAAGCUAAAGUAUAGCAACCAACGAACAAUGAAUGGAAGAGAAAGAACCUGGAGAGCCUCCAUCUGGAACUGUCCAAUGGUUGGUCGUAGCCGUAUCGCCGGGCUCGAGUCCGUGCUCCUUGCUUGGAUCUGGGAGAGAGUGGCAGUAGAGGCCGUGUUGAUUACGCCGUCGCCAAUCCAAUAUCGGCCAUGCUUCUUGCCUCCUCCCACCCUCAUCACGAUUUCUCCAUCAAUAUCCUCAGAGCUUGAAUCGAAGUCUGGCCCGUGAACCUCCCUUGCCAUCACUGUAUAUUCCUUUGCCGAGUGCCCGAGAUAAAGCACUCGGCAAAUAGAAAACACUCGGCAACUUUACUGUUUCCCGUAGUGUCGCUAUUUUUGCAGGUUCUCGACCAGGCCAGUUCUUUGGGCCAACCUAUCAUUCACGACUUAAACAUACGGUGGCUGUAGAAAUGUUCUAUUCUUUUCAACAAUACCAGCUGGUUCCUCCGUUUUUAUUCCACCAAUACAAGCACCACCUUGUAACAUUUCCUAUGUUUUUUUUUCCUUUCGUCUGUUUUCUACAUGCGUUGCUCUUUCAUGCAUUUUUUUCCAUUCCUGUAUUCCAAAUAGGUCUACAUGAACACAAAAUGAACUAGGGGACAGAAAAAGCCAGUGAAGCCAAUUUUGAGCUUCACCAGCUACUUGCUACAUAAAGUGUGCUAUAGUGACGUGUUUUAGCAAAACAUGUUAUCAAUGACUUGACAUUGGUGACGUGUUAAAACGCGUUAUCUCAAUGGCAAAUCAUUGGUGACGUGUUUUAAAAAAACAUGUCACCGUGAGAGUCAUUGGUGAAGGGUAAUUAUAAUGCGUCACUAAUGUUGUAGCAUUAGUUAUGAUAAUUUAGUAACGCAAAAAUCUACCAUCAGUAUUGAGCUUUAGAGCCAUCGCUAAUGUGGGUUUCUUACAUAGUGAUGCAAGCUCUACAAGGUGCUGUUGCUGCCAUUUUAAAGCAUCCCAUGACUACAUGUUAAUAACAUAGUUUACCAUAUAUCAUAAAAAUAUUAGUUACAAUAAGCACAUACGCAUGUGGAAGAGUCCGAAUGCACCGGUUGAGGACUAAACACAUUGAAUUACUAGAACCAAAUGUGUGUUUAGAACAAAGACAGGGGUCAAGGUUUGGGUAACCGCAUUAAAAACAUUGGAUUUUACUGUACAUGAACACUUAGUUACCAUUACCAUGCCUUGAGCACCUAGUUACAACAAACAUUAAUUUAGCCACUUUAGAGCUUCCAGAAUCGCUAUAAAUAAUAUACCUACGCCGUACCAUGAAAACAUCAAGAAGAGAGACGGAUACAUGGACCACCAUCAAGCGAGUAGUGACAGCACGCACAAGAAUACCCGGAACCUGUUAGCUUGUCUGUAGUGAUCUGUUUUCUUCCCCAUAAAAUCCAUGAGUAUUGCCACAAAUAAUGAAAGAGGCUGACCAAGCUAGCAAGGAGGUAGAGCAAACGUGAUACACGGCCUGCCAAGAUUGCCCUGGAUACGCCAAUAAGAGCGACAGAUACAUGGAUCACACCAAUAUGGUGAAACGUAUAUUCAUCACACAAGCAAAGCUGGUCAGUUUAUCCAUGGUCAAAUUGUGGUCUUUGUUUUCACUUGAGAGCUAAUUGAGGCACUAUAAUAUGGGCAGGCCUAUCUUCAACAGACAUGACAGCUACAGGGAACUUGACAUAAUUUGCUGGGCCGCCUGUGCACAAUUAUUUGUUUUAUUGUCCUUGCAUAGAAUGCUAAAAUACUCUUUACAAAAUGUUGGAUCUAAUAUUUGAAAUAUAGAGUAGUAAUCAUAUAUUGAUCAACAACUUGAAAUUAUCUGUACAUUCUCGGUGAAGCUGUUGAACUAAUUUUUGCAAAUUAUUAAUUCAUCUCAUUACGUAAAGAAAAAAGUAAGUGGAUAAGAUAUUUCGUGGACCACAUCACUGCAAACAUGUCAUGGAGAGACAGACCAAGGAGGCAGGACGUGAUACACGACUUACCCUAGGUUGCCGUGGAACCGCCAAGAAGAGAUACAGAUACAUGGACCACACCAUCUUGGGAGUAGUGACAGCAUAUAUGCAGAAGAAUACCCCGUGCCUAUUUGCAUGCAUGUCUCAAGUGAUCUGUUUUCUUCAGAAAAUACAUGAGCAUUGCCAGAAAGAAUGGCAAGAGACAAACAUGUCAUAGAGACUUGCAUGUCUUGCCUUGGAUACGCCAAGAAGAGGGACACAUACAUGGAUAACACAAAUCUAGUGACACGUAUAUUCAUCACAAAGGCAAAUCUGAUAAUUUUAUCCAUGGAGCAGACCAAGGAGAAAUUGAUGACGGACAUGUGAUCUCUGUAUUCAGUUGAAAGCUAAUUGAGCUACACUAAUAUGAGCAGGACUAUAUUCAAGAGACUUGUUGAGAGCUACAGGGAACUUGUAAUAAUUUGCUGGGCGGCCUGCGCACAAUGAUUUGUUAUACAUAGUUGAAAUAUUUCAAGAAUUUAUCAACCUCAUACUCUGAAACCCUUGGUGCAAUGUACUCUGCUUUCCGAGGUAGACUGUUCACGUAAAAUGAGGUCAUGCGUAAGACGGAAUCGGAUUGGAUUCACAGGGAAUCAGAUUUGGAUAGCACCUUUUAGCAGGUUUUUAGUCAAAUGCAAAUUCGGAUCCACAUGUGGUUGAAUGCGAGUUCAAAAUUCUACUUGGAUAUCCAUUUAAUUUAGGUGAUAGCAAUUAGCACAAAAUGUUGGAUGAACAAAAUCAUAGUUAGACAUACAAUUACAUGUAUGGUUAAAGUAUAAUACAAUACACCAAGAUUAUUCCUUGAAAAUAUUUCUUAAAAAUAUUAUAAUAAAUGAAUAAAUAUAAUUGUGGCCACCAACAAAUAGUCGGUGGUCGCUAAGUUGGAGCCAUUUCUGGUUACUAAUGCGGCCUUCUCCUCGACCAGCGACGACAGCUGAGCUUGUUCCUUCUGACACUAAAUCAUCAGAGUCUUCCCUCCACUACUAUAGAAUGCACCUUUAGCACCAAUUGGGAAAUCCCCUUCAGUAUUGGAUGCUGCAACCAGUGCUAUAUAUCAAAAUGGAGACUAAAAGCCUCGGUCUUGGGUACCGGUUGCAUAACGCAUUACUAAAGGAGGCAAAAGAGAAAUGUAACAAAAAAAAUAUUUUGAAUUCCAAGAAUGUUUCACUAUUCAAGAUGACUAGCUGAGAGUCAACAGACAAGAUACUAGGAAUGUGGGUGCUUGAAUGCAUUUGUACAGAGGUCAUACUAUUUACAAACUCUUCUAUGUUUCCAUAUGACUACCUACUUCAAUGUCACGCGAGCCAUUCAGCUGGACACAUGGCACACUAGCUUGCAUGUCGAAUCCAUGAUUAAUUAUUUCCACUUGUGAUCUCUUACCAGUAUUUGUCCAGACUAGAAACGUGCAACACAUUUUUAGGAUAUGGACACGCAUAUAUUUGGACUAGUAUACAGGUCACCUUUGGAUGCGUACAAGGAUGACCGGGAGGGACUAGAAAUGGUCUAGUUUUGAUUGGACUACAAAACUUUUUGUACAGUGAAUAGAGAAUAUAUAUUAUUGUUGGAAUACGAGGUAGGCUACACUAUCGCAAUUCUGAUAUUCUACCGCGUAUAACCAAGAAGAACUGUCGUAUAAGGAUCACGGGAUUACCACUCGACGCACUACUGGUGCGGAAGAUGUAGAUAUGCGUCGAUGCAGUGAAGACGAUCACGUAGUCGUAUGUAGUCGAUCAACGUAGUCGUACAUAGUCGAUCACGUCCAGCAGCUCCUCAGCAGCUCGUCCACGUGCAGCAAGAUCGCCUCCGGUACCGCGGCUCGUCGUUGGCUUGUCGUGGCUCGUCGACGGCUCGUCGGCGGCUCGUCCAAGUGCUGCAGGCGCAACACCUCCAAGGUAUCCACACGUGCAGGGAGGAAGCGUCGCAAGCCGGACUGCUAGAUCCACGAGUUGCAACAGGCGAGGGCGUGGGAGGCGCGGCAGGUGUGUUUCGCCAAAAAGGUGUAAACCCUAGGGCGCCCCCACCCCUCUAUUUAUAGAGGUUCCUGACGGGCCUCUGGAUCCGAGGCCCAUUAGUACUUCUAAACCUAAUCCAACUCGGAUCAGAUCCGAAUUGGGCUUCCAGCCCCUUAAGUGUGUGACCCUAUAAGUUCGGAUACGUAUAGACAUGGCCCGAGUACUCCUACUCGGCCCAAUAGUCGGUAGCGGCCUCUAGCAAGACGUGCCAACUCCUAUACGCACACGAAGAUCAUAUCAGACGAACCAUCACAACAUAAUAUACAUGCUAUUCCCUUUGCCUCACGAUAUUUGGUCUAGCUUCAAGCCGACCGCUCUUUCUCAGUCCUGUGAUUCGGAAUCCCUUUGUAGGUUAACUCUUAACCGUACGUAGCAUGGCCAUGCAUUUUCGGAUCUGAUCACUCGAGGGGCCCAGAGAUAUCACUCUCAAUCAGAGAGGGGCAAAUCCCAUCUUGAUUGACCAUGUCUCAUAGCAUGCUUCUUGACAAACCUAAAAACUACCUUUAUAACUUCCCUGUUACGGCGUAGUGUUUGAUAGCUCCUAAGUAGGUCGAUCCACAUCUAGAAUACAUGCGACAAUUUCAGGUCUAAGGACAAAGCGUAUAUGUUGUUUAAAGAGAGAACUACUUCUCGUGUUGGGUCAGUCCCAGCACAUGUCUCCACAUGUGUCCACAUUAUUAGUUCAACAUCUCCAUGUCCAUGACUUGUGAAACAUAGUCAUCAACUAAUACAUGUGCUAGUCUAAUAUUCAUGUGUGUCCUCACAUGAACUCCGACUAGGGACAACUUUAGAAUAACCAUACAAGUAAAGAGUUUCACAUACAAUUCACAUAAUUGCAAAUCAAUUCAAGUAGCCUUCAAUGGAUAUUCAAUGAACACAACAUACAAAUCAUGGAUACAAAUGGAAUAUCAUCAUCUCUAUGAUUGCCUCUAGGGCAUACCUCCAACAGUCUCCCACUUGCACUAGAGUCAAUCUAGAAGGUACCUAAUACCCAUAGCUCUUACAUGCGCAUCAUGCUUAGCCUGCGGGAGUGGUUUUGUCAACGGAUCAGAAAUGUUCAGAUCCGUGUGUAUUUUGCAUAUCUUGAUCUCACCCCGGUUAACGAAGUCUCGAAUGAGAUGAAAUCGCCGCAUUACAUGUUUGUUCUUCUGGUGGUUCCUUGGCUCCUUUGCUUGCGCAAUUGCCCCAUUGUUAUCACAGUAGAGAUUCAAUGGGCUGGACCCAUUCGGGAACACACCAAGCUCAAUGAGGAAAUUCCUUAUCCAAACACCUUCCUUCGCGGCUUCCGAAGCCGCGAUGUACUCGGCUUCUGUCGUAGAAUCGGCCACCGUCUCCUGCUUGGAACUCUUCCAACUAACAGCACCACCAUUUAGCGUGAACACAAAUCCUGUUUGUGACUUUGAAUCAUCUCUGUCGGUUUGGAAACUAGCAUCGGUGUAACCUGUUACAACGAGCUCCUCCUCACCUCCAUAGACGAGGAAUAUAUCUUUAGUCCUUCUCAAGUACUUAAGAAUGUUUUUCACCGCUGUUCAGUGACUCUCACCUGGAUCAGAUUGGUGUCUGCUUGUCAUACUUAGCACAUAUGAAACAUCUGGGCGAGUACUUAUCAUUGCAUACAUGAUAGAUCCAAUAGCCGAGGCAUAUGACACUCUACUCAUGUGAUCCCGCUCAUCAGCAGUCGAAGGACACUGAGUCUUGCUGAGAUGUAUGCCAUGUGACAUAGGCAAGAACCCUUCCAUGCUGAACCGCUUCAACACUUUGUCAAUGUAAGUAUCUUGGCUUAAACCUAUAAGCCUUCUCGAUCUAUCUCUAUAGAUCUUAAUGCCCAGAAUAUAUGCCGCUUCCCCUAAGUCCUUCAUCGAAAAACUAUUUUUCAGUGAAGUCUUUAUGGACUCAAGCAUAGGAAUGUUAUUUCCAAUCAGUAAUAUGUCAUCCACAUAUAAGAUUAGAAAUACUACAGAGCUCCCACUAACCUUCUUGUAAACACAAGACUCUUCUUCGUUCUUGGUGAAGUCAAACCCUUUGACCACUUCAUCAAAACGAAUGUUCCAACUCCUAGAUGCUUGCUUCAAUCAAUAAAUGGAUCUCUGAAGCUUGCAUACCUUUCCAGCAUUUUUCGGAUCGACAAAACCCUUGGACUGUAUCAUAUACACGUCCUCAGUUAGGUUUCCAUUCAGGAAAGCUGUCUUGACAUCCAUCUGCCAUAUCUCAUAAUCGAAAUAUGCAGCCAAACUUGAUUGUCUCCCAUGGACUCUAUUUCGGAUUGCAUGGCAUUCUGCCAUUUUUCGGAGUCUGGGUCCAUCAUUGCUUCUGCAUAUGUCACAGGCUCAUCAUUGUCCAACAAUAAUAUUUCCUGCAUUUCGCGGAGCCUUGCCGACCUUCGUGGUUGUGGCGGUGCUUCUCUUGCCAUGGGUAUCUCAACUUGUUCUGCUACGUUAGCAUCACUCAUUGAUUCUUGCCCGAUCGGCUCAUCUUGAACUUCUUCAAGAUGCACUGUCUUUCCACUCUUUUCUCCUUUGAGAAACUCUUUCUCUAGGAAAACCCCGUUCCGAGCGACAAACACUUUGCCUUCUGAUCAGUUGUAAAAAUAAUAUCCCAAAGUUUCCUUUGGAUAUCCCACGAAAAUGCACUUAUCCGACUUGGGUGCGAUCUUGUCCGACUGAAGUCGCUUGACAAACACAUCACAUCCCCAAAUCUUUAGAAAAGACAAACUAGGAACCUUUCCAGUCCAUAUCUCAUAUGGUGUCUUAACUACGGAUUUAGAUGGUACCCUAUUAAGUGUGAAAGCUGCUGUUUCUAGAGCGUAUCCCCAAAAUGACAACGGUAGGUCCGACUGGCUCAUCAUUGAUCGAACCAUGUCUAACAAAGAUCGAUUACGUCGCUCGGACACACCGUUUCUCUGAGGUGAUCCAGGCGGCGUAAGUUGUGGAACAAUUCCGCAACUCUUUAGAUGAUUGCUAAACUUGUGGCUCAAAUACUCGCCUCCACGAUCAGAUUGUAAGGCCUUAAUUUUCUUGACACGCUAAUUUUCAACUUCAUUCUGAAAAUCCUUGAACUUUUCAAAGGUUUCAGACUUGUGCCUCAUCAAGUAGACAUAGCCAUAUCUACUAAAAUCAUCAGUGAAAGAUAUGAAGUAUUGGAAUCCUCCUCUAGCCGUCGUGCUCAUUGGUCCGCAUACAUCACUAUGUACGAGUUCCAACAAGUCUACUGCUCUCUCAGGAAAUCCUGUGAAAGACGUCUUGGUCAUCUUGCCUAGCAAGCAAGCCUCACAUGUCUCGUAUGAUUCAAAAUCAAACGAAGUUAGAAGUCCAUCAGAAUGGAGCUUCUUCAUGCGUUUUUCACUUAUAUGACCCAAACGACAAUGCCACAAGUAGGUAGGACUCAAAUCAUUAGGCCGAGGCCUUUUAGCACUUACAUUACAGACAGGUGAACCAUCAAGAUUUAAAACAAAUAAUCCAUUCACAAUGGGUGCAAAAGCCAUAAACAUAUUAUUCUUAGAGAUCACACAACCAUUGUUUUCACUCGCAAAUGAAUAACCAUCCUUCAUCAAGCAUGAAGGAGACAAAAUGUUUCGACUUAAACUAGGAACAAAAUAACAAUUAUUCAACUCCAUAAUAAAUGCUGACGGGAGGUGGAGUUGCAUCGUCCCGACGGUCAACGCAGCAACUCUUGCAUUAUUGCCCACGCGGAAAUCAACUUCUCCUCUUUCCACGCUUCUACUUCUUAUCAUUCCCUGCAUCGAAUUGCAAAUAUGAGCAACCGAUCCGGUAUCAAAUACCCAAGAAUUAAUAAUUGUAUCAGCGAGAAAUAUGUUGUCUAUGACAUUAACAACAAGCGUACCUGAGGUAGAAGUACUCUUACUUCCUCCAUUCUUCAACGAAGCUAGGUACUGCUUGCAGUUUCUCUUCCAGUGACCAAGUUCAUGACAGUAAAAGCACUCUUUGUCUGGAGCAGGUCCAGGUCCAGCUUUAACCUUGGGCGCUCGCUGGGUUUGGCUUGGAAAUUCCAGCCUUGCCCUUCUUCUUCCAAGAAUUGCCCUUCUUCUUAAAGCUAGGCUUGUUCUGUAUAGCCAUCACAUGGCUAGUACAAGCGCUUUUCUUGAUGUCUACCUCUGCUGUCUUGAGCAUACCACACAGUUCAUUCAAACCCUUCUCCGUCCCAUGCAUAUGGUAGUUCGAGAUGAAGUUCCCAUAGCUAGGCGGAAGAGAUGAAAGAAUGAAGUCAGUGGCCAACUCUUUGCCCAUUGGGAAGCCCAGCUUCUCCAAUCGCUGAGUGUAACCAACCAUGUUGAUUACAUGUGGUCCUACUGCUGCGUCUUCUGCUAGCUUGCACUCCAGAAAAGCUUUGGACACAUUGAACCUUUCAGUCCUAGCCUGUGUCUGGAACAUGUCCUUGAGCGCCACGAUCAUAUCGUGUGCCUCAUGAUUUGUUUCGAACUGCAUCUGCAGCUCGGGUUCCAUGCAAGCAAGCAUAAGGCAGCUUACCUCAAGAUUAGCAUCAAAUGCCUUCUUGUAAGCAGCCUUAACGGCAGCAGAUGCAUCAUCAGCAGGUACUGGUGGUAGUGGGGUAUCUAGAACAUCUUCCUUUUUAUCGGCCCUGAGAACAAUUCUCAGGUUACGGAUCCAAUCCGAGUAGUUUGUUCCAUUCAACUUGUCCUUCUCAAGGACCGAGCGCAAAGCAAACGAUGUGGUGGUGUUGCUAGGUGCCAUUUAAUCUACAACAAAAGUAAUGCAAAAUACACUAAGACAAACGUAUCCAUGAUAGAGCAAAUUACAUUAAACUAUUUUAACAGAAUCUACUCCCACUAAAAUCAAUAUCCCUCUAUUGAAACUUAGUGAUUCAGGAUCCACAACUAACAAGUCUACUAGUGAGCUUUAGCAUCACCGCUAGCAAACGAGGUAGAUCGGUAAGCAACUUUUGCUAAUCAUAUCACAUAUGACUCCUGUUGUUGGGUGACAUCUCCAUGUCUCGGCGCCCAACCAUUAUGCCCCAAGGUCCUUAACCGUUAAGAUGACCUCGUUAAGCAAACCAACCCUUAUGCGUGUAAGUGUCCGACACAAACCCGUCUAGUCAAGGAAAACUAGUGGCACCCUAAUUUCAUAGACCCACCACUAAUUGUACAAGACAUGGGACGGUGCAAGUUUUAGUUGGGAGGGCAUACUAACUUAAAUUUUUUGUGAGGGAUCGUUCUACUUCUAACAUCACAGCAUGCAGAAAGUAAAACAUAAACAGAAUAGCAUUCACACAGCUGUGACACAGUAUGGCCCGUUUUUAUAUGGUGAUCUCCAUCUCCAUAGAACCUGUUCACCAUGGUGAUCUCCAUCUCCAUGUUCCAUGUGCGCCAUCCUCCUGGUGAGGAGUCCUCCAAGAACUAGAACAUGCUAUUACACCUAAUAGCUAGUAAAGAAUCUAGUAAUGAAGAUUACAUAGUUGCUUGGAUCAUCACAGAUUGGUACGCAGACCAUUAAAUACAAUAAAGUGACAACACAUAUGGCUCCUGCCGUGUUGCCGUACGCGCGACACGCAGGUCACGAAUGAGUUACACACAUGCAUCACAUACACAAGGGGGCCAUACUGAUCACAAGAUACAUACAUACAUCCUGCAAAACAGAGUUAGGCGUCCUAACGUUCCAAACUUCGAAGGCCCGAAACUCCAUCUUCCAAGCCGAAUUUGGGAAAUCUAAUUUUGCCGAAAACGGCAAAGCGGUUGAAUUUCAUGUGUAACUUUUUCUGUAGAUCAAUUUUCAUAUAAAAUUCGCCCCGAUCCGAGAUCGUACCGAAAAGUUACGGCUGAUUUACCGAAGCAUACGCAUACGGCAAAAAUUCCGACCCCGGCAGUAGAUCCCAUCUACUAUUGCACAUCUAAUGCGCCUGGCGUAUGAUCCUGGAUUUCGAUUCGACCAAUCAUAUUGAUCUUCGCUCACUGCAACUGGAAUUACGUGUAUCACUUAACUCGUCGGCGGCUCGUCGGCGGCUCAUCCAAGUGCUGCAGGCCCAACACCUCCAAGGUAUCCACACGUGCAGGGAGGAAGCGUCGCAAACCGGACUGCUAGAUCCGCGAGUUGCAAUAGGCGAGGGCGUGGGAGGCGCCGCAGGUGUGUUUCGCCAAAAAGAUGUAAACCCUAGGGCGCCCCCACCCCUCUAUUUAUAGAGGUUCCUGACGGGCCUCUGGAUCCGAGGCCCAUUAGUACUUCUAAACCUAAUCCAACUCGGAUCAGAUCCGAAUUGGGCUUCCAGCCCCUUAAGUGUGUGACCCUAUGGGUUCGGAUACGUAUAGACAUGGCCCGAGUACUCCUACUCGGCCCAAUAGUCGGUAGCGGCCUCUAGCAAGACGUGCCAACUCCUAUACACACACGAAGAUCAUAUCAGAUGAACCAUCACAACAUAAUAUACAUGCUAUUCCCUUUGCCUCACGAUAUUUGGUCUAGCUUCAAGCCGACCGCUCUUUCUCAAUCCUGUGAUUCGGAAUCCCUUUGUAGGUUAACUCUUAACCGUACGUAGCAUGGCCAUGCAUUUUCGGAUCCGAUCACUCGAGGGGCCCAGAGAUAUCACUCUCAAUCAGAGAGGGGCAAAUCCCAUCUUGAUUGACCAUGUCUCAUAGCAUGCUUCUUGACAAACCCGAAAACUACCUUUAUAACUACCCUGUUACGGCGUAGCAUUUGAUAGCCCCUAAGUAGGUCGAUCCACAUCUAGAAUACAUGCGACAAUCUCAGGUCUAAGGACAAAGCGUAUAUGUUGUUUAAAGAGAGAACUACUUCUCGUGUUGGGUCAGUCCCAGCACAUGUCUCCACAUGUGUCCACAUUAUUAGUUCAACAUCUCCAUGUCCAUGACUUGUGAAACAUAGUCAUCAACUAAUACAUGUGCUAGUCUAAUAUUCAUGUGUGUCCUCACAUGAACUCCGACUAGGGACAACUUUAGAAUAACCAUACAAGUAAAGAGUUUCACAUACAAUUCACAUAAUUGCAAAUCAAUUCAAGUAGCCUUCAAUGGAUAUUCAAUGAACACAACAUACAAAUCAUGGAUACAAAUGGAAUAUCAUCAUCUCUAUGAUUGCCUCUAGGGCAUACCUCCAACAAUUAUUUCAUGUAAAUUUUUGACAAUUUUUUAAAAUUGUUUGAUAUUUUUUAAAUUUUUUUUAAAAUAACUUUGCCGAGUGUCCUAUUGUAGACACUCGGCAAAGCAGCCUUCACCGAGUGUUACCCCUGGGACACUCGGCGAAUUAAUGCCCGGCCGCUCAAGAAUAUGUGCCCGGCCCCCUCACUCUCCCGGCCCCCCUCACUCUCACUCCCCUCACUCCCUCCUCUCUCCCUCCUCUCUCCCUCUCGCCGCCGCCCGAAACCCCCGCCGCCGCCCGCCGCCCGGCAUGCCGCCCAGCGCCCCCCGCCGCCGCCCGGCGCUCCCGAAUCCGCCGCCGCCCGCCCGGCGCCCGGCCCCCGGAUCCGCCGCCGCCGGCCGCCCGGCGCCCCCGGAUUCGCCGCCGCCCGCCCGGCCCCCGGCCCCCGGAUCAGCCGCCGCCCGCCGCCCGGCGCACGGCGCCCCCGGAUCCGCCGCCGCCUGCCCGGCGCCCGGCCCCUGGCCCCCUGAUCCGCCGCCGCCCGCCCGGAUCCGCCGCCGCCCGCCCGGCGCCCGGCCCCCGGCCCCCGGAUCCACCGCCGCCCCCCCGGCCCCCGGAUCCGCCGCCCGCCCGUCCCCUCCACCGGAUCCGCCGGCGCCGGGGCCUGAAGAGAAGAGAAGAGGAGAGGAUGGUGGCGGCGGCGGCCGCGGCGGCGGAGCAGGUGGCAGAGCAUGCAUGAUUUUUUUUUAUUUUUUCAAUAAUUGUUCGCCAAGUGUUUUCUGGGCACUCGGCAAAGUCUUUGCCGAGUGCCCGACACAAAACACUCGGCGAACCAGUGUUUGCCGUCAAGAUUUUUGCCGUGUGUCGUUUGCCGAGUGUUACACUCGGCAAACGCUUUGUCGAGUGUUUUUGGGGUUUCGCGGAGUGACCCUGGCACUCGGCAUCACGCAUGUUUCCCUUAGUGAACUUGAAAUUAUCUGUACAUUCUCGGUGAAGCUGUUGAACUAAUUUUUGCAAAUUAUUAAUUCAUCUCAUUACGCAAAGAAAAAAGUAAGUGGAUAAGAUAUUUCGUGGACCACAUCACUGCAAACAUGUCAUGGAGAGACAGACCAAGGAGGCAGGACGUGAUACACGACUUACCCUAGGUUGCCGUGGAACCGCCAAGAAGAGAUACAGAUACAUGGACCACACCAUCUUGGGAGUAGUGACAGCAUAUAUGCAGAAGAAUACCCCGUGCCUAUUUGCAUGCAUGUCUCAAGUGAUCUGUUUUCUUCAGAAAAUACAUGAGCAUUGCCAGAAAGAAUGGCAAGAGACAAACAUGUCAUAGAGACUUGCAUGUCUUGCCUUGGAUACGCCAAGAAGAGGGACACAUACAUGGAUAACACAAAUCUAGUGACACGUAUAUUCAUCACAAAGGCAAAUCUGAUAAUUUUAUCCAUGGAGCAGACCAAGGAGAAAUUGAUGACGGACAUGUGAUCUCUGUAUUCAGUUGAAAGCUAAUUGAGCUACACUAAUAUGAGCAGGACUAUAUUCAAGAGACUUGUUGAGAGCUACAGGGAACUUGUAAUAAUUUGCUGGGCGGCCUGCGCACAAUGAUUUGUUAUACAUAGUUGAAAUAUUUCAAGAAUUUAUCAACCUCAUACUCUGAAACCCUUGGUGCAAUGUACUCUGCUUUCCGAGGUAGACUGUUCACGUAAAAUGAGGUCAUGCGUAAGACGGAAUCGGAUUGGAUUCACAGGGAAUCAGAUUUGGAUAGCACCUUUUAGCAGGUUUUUAGUCAAAUGCAAAUUCGGAUCCACAUGUGGUUGAAUGCGAGUUCAAAAUUCUACUUGGAUAUCCAUUUAAUUUAGGUGAUAGCAAUUAGCACAAAAUGUUGGAUGAACAAAAUCAUAGUUAGACAUACAAUUACAUGUAUGGUUAAAGUAUAAUACAAUACACCAAGAUUAUUCCUUGAAAAUAUUUCUUAAAAAUAUUAUAAUAAAUGAAUAAAUAUAAUUGUGGCCACCAACAAAUAGUCGGUGGUCGCUAAGUUGGAGCCAUUUCUGGUUACUAAUGCGGCCUUCUCCUCGACCAGCGACGACAGCUGAGCUUGUUCCUUCUGACACUAAAUCAUCAGAGUCUUCCCUCCACUACUAUAGAAUGCACCUUUAGCACCAAUUGGGAAAUCCCCUUCAGUAUUGGAUGCUGCAACCAGUGCUAUAUAUCAAAAUGGAGACUAAAAGCCUCGGUCUUGGGUACCGGUUGCAUAACGCAUUACUAAAGGAGGCAAAAGAGAAAUGUAACAAAAAAAAUAUUUUGAAUUCCAAGAAUGUUUCACUAUUCAAGAUGACUAGCUGAGAGUCAACAGACAAGAUACUAGGAAUGUGGGUGCUUGAAUGCAUUUGUACAGAGGUCAUACUAUUUACAAACUCUUCUAUGUUUCCAUAUGACUACCUACUUCAAUGUCACGCGAGCCAUUCAGCUGGACACAUGGCACACUAGCUUGCAUGUCGAAUCCAUGAUUAAUUAUUUGCACUUGUGAUCUCUUACCAGUAUUUGUCCAGACUAGAAACGUGCAACACAUUUUUAGGAUAUGGACACGCAUAUAUUUGGACUAGUAUACAGGUCACCUUUGGAUGCGUACAAGGAUGACCGGGAGGGACUAAUGGAUACAAGGAAGGGACCAUCAGGAUUAAUAUUGACAUAUGCCACAUGACAAUCUUCAUUGUCAUGCAAUCCCUAUCAACAAUCAUGGAAUCCCUAGUGUACUAAUCCCUGGAGGGUUGUGUGGAAAUUUAUUUUACCUUGCGGUGAAAAUCUCAUGAGCAGUCAUUAGUUAAGCUGACUAGCUGAGAUAUAAUAGACAAGCUAGUAAGAUUGGGAGCAUCAAUGCAUCCAUACAGGGUCACAAUAUCCUUUCCAUUCACUUUUAUAUAUAACCCUACGAAUACAAGUCCAACGAAAUGCGGGCCUUUCGAUCAAGAUAAAUUAAAUGGCCCACUUGUAUUUCUAAUCCAGGAUUAACUAUGCCCUCUGUUCAUCUCUUGCAAGCACGUGCAACACAUUUUCACGAUAUGGACAUGCAUGGAGGUUAUUAUACUGUUUGGACAAACUCUGAUGUGCCAUGACCUAAAUGCUUAGGGCCUGUUUGGUUUGAGUUGCUUAUUAUAAGCAACUUAAAGUUGCUUAAAGUUGCUUAUUUGAAGUUGCUUAUUUUUAGUCUAAACUGUUUGGAUACCCUUGCUUAUGAGCAUUGAAUGAGUUGGACAUUGUCAAAUUUGCCCCAUGUGUUGCUACCCCUCCAAUUUGCCUCCCCACCCUUCUUCUUCCUGCACACGUCCGAUCCCGGGGGCCGACGGCGGGCAGGGAGCAGCAGCAGCUGGCCAGGGCGGCGGUGGGGCGGGAGCGGCGGCGCACACCAGCACGCGCUCGCACGCCAGGUGCUAGGGCGCGGCGAGGCAGUCGUCGUAGCCCACCGGGAGCGGGUGCUCGGGCGCGAGGCGGUACUCGACGGAGAUGCCGAGCGUCGGGCGCGCGGCGGCGAGCGCGUUGAGGAAGCGAUGGUAGUGCGGCGACGUCGCGGACUCCGCCACGAAGCCGCCGCCGUGGACGUACACCACCACGGGCAGCUUCGUCUUGCCGUCGGCGGCCGCGGCCGCGGCCUGGGGUGGCAGGUAGAGGCGGACGGAGCAGGAGCCGAGGUCGACGUCCCUGGAGUCGACGCCCGUGGCGGCGUCCAGGCUGGGCCCGACCGGCGGCGGCACGAGCGGGCGCUCGAUGCGGCCGCUCUUGUAAAUCCGACGGGUCUGUGCGGAGGCGGGCGGCGGGCGGGAGCGGCGGGUGGGAGCGGCGGCAGGUGGUGCGGAGGCCGGCGGCGGCGGGUGGCGCGGAGGAAGGGGAGCUGGUGAGUGGUGACAGGGGAGGGGGGGAGAGAGAGGGGGGGUAGGGUGCAUUGAAUGAGGGCAGGAGGUGUAAAGUGCACCUUUUAGUCCCCAUGAGCAACCAUAAGCAGCCCAAGAGUUGCUUAUUUGCUUAUAAUAAGCAACCUCAUAAGCAAGAGUGAUUGGUUUCAUAAGCAACUUAUUUGCUUAUUUUAAGUUGCUUAUGCAUAAGCAUGUGAAACCAAGCAGGUCCUUAACCUAUGGUUGUGGCACCACACAGUACAUAGUAUUUAAUAAUGCUAUUCGUUUGGUAUGUGCACAAGGGCACGCAUGAAAUGUCUGGCCCACGGUAAACAAGUACGGACGCUGCAAAUAAUCUACUCUGCUCGUCCAGUCCCUAGCCUAUAAAUAGAUGCCAUGCUAGCUCUUGUUGUGCUCACAAUUAAUCCUGACUACACACGAGCUUCUCUCCCUGGCCAAGACACAAUCAUAGUAUGAUGAAGAACAUGGCACUAGCCGGCAAUGGUAUGAAGAACUUAAUCCUCGCUGUUCUCUUACUGUGUCUAGUUAUAGGGCAGAUACAAGUGGAAGCUAAGAGCUGCUGCCCAUCCAUUACUGCAAGAAAUAUCUACAAUGCCUGCCGUAUCACGGGUACAUCCCGUCCAACGUGUGCAAAACUGUCAGGCUGCAAAAUUAUCAGCGGGGACAAAUGCAAGCCCCCUAACGACCACCUCACCCUUGACCCGGACACUGGUAAAUAAUAAAUUUAUCUCACUUGAUUUCUUCGUGUUUUGAGUCGUUAAUGUAUUUUCCAUCUGAUGAAACGUAUUGGUUUUGCAUUGAAGAGGAAGUUAAUGUGCUUAACUUCUGCAAGUUGGGGUGUGCGUCGUCUGUGUGCAACAACAUCAACGCUGGUAAGCACCUUUUGCUCAGACGGAGAAAACAAUAAUCAUUAAUUAGCGGCAGCUAGAAUCCUAUAAUCUAAUAUAUUUAUAUAUAUAUAUAAUUUUAUCAGCUCUGGGAAAUGAAGAGGCGAACGAUGCCGUUGAGAGUUGCGACCAAGCCUGCUCUAGCUUCUGCAACGUGCACGUUGGCGCUGCCACCGUGGUUGCUUAAGCAAAUGCAUCCAACUGGAUCGUCCUUGUGCUAAAUAAUUGGAUAUCGUAUCCACUUAAAGCUGCCUUGUGUAGUACGUUUUUGUUUGUGUCUCUCUUUAUAUUCCAAUAAGGUCGGUGAUCUUGAUGCCACACACUCAGACGUGUGUUCAUCUCCAGAUACUACUCCAUGCUACCUGCCCUUUGUGUUUUGUUCAAUAACUGGGUAUCAUAUCCCAGCCAGUGUGCCAUCUGUUUUGUGUUUAUUUCCUUCUAGUUUCAAAGGGGU